rnacentral:lncRNA from 1 species
UUCAUGCACCUAGCUGAAGUGAAAAUGGUCUUCUACGAACAAAAGAAACCCAACAGCUCCAUGUUCUACAUACGAUCUAUCCACAUAGCAUCACUCCUGUCGCAUGCCGGAAAUAACCCAAUGGGAUCCAAGGCUAUCUCCGUAGGGUGCUGCCGGCAAAACACAGUCAGACCCUCCAAAGUUGCUGACUCCCAUGUGUCGUCCAGGUGGUACCCAACUAUCACCACCUCAAGGCGUGGCUAGUCAGGGUGCUCUGGGUGGGGGAGUACAGUCAUGUGUACAUUGCAGCGUGGGACUCCGUAUUCCUCGUACUCUCUACCUGAGUAGCAAGGUGGGGAGGUGUACCCGAAUGCGCAUAGAGUGUCCCACAAGAUGGAAGGGAAACCCUCCCAGUGGAGGCACUCAGAGUGCACACUCCCAUCCAUGUUUACUACAACAUAGACUGGAUCAGCCAUCUGGAGAACAAAAAGAAAGCGAGAAGGUGUGAGAACUAGAUAAUCACUUAGUCAAAACCCAAAACAGAAUUCUAGUAAGUUAGAUAAAUAUCCAUAACUCAAAAAGUAACUAUCCAAAAAUUCUAAAACUUCACCAGAAGAUUCUUUAGAUAGUUGGUUACAAGUUUGGUAUUCAAGGUUCUUGCUGAAACAGAUCCUAAGAACUUGAUAAACUCAGAUUCUCACAGUGUGGUUCAUUCUAGAAAAAAAUCCGUAACAGUGCAAGGCAAAACAGAUCACAACUCCUAAACCACUUACCCAACAGUUUUGAAAUUUUACUAGAAUGUGCUCUGCUAAGUUCUUAACAACUUUGUCUUUAAGGUGCUAGACAGAAACCAAACUUAAGGGGAUUGAAAAAUUAAAAUCCUAACAAGUGUACAGUCUGGAUUUUUCGGCAAGCAGUGGGUUACCAAGUUAAGCAUAUCUCAAGAUCCACUUGGUCAAAUUUUAUGAAAUUUUUACCAGCAUGUCACUUAGGAAAUUUCACACAACUUUCUUAUAGGAUGUUUCUGGAGAAAGCAAAAUUUACCAACUCAAAAGAUUUUAACGGCUCUUACUAGUCGAAUUGUUUUAUCCGUCGUUAACUUAUGUCAUCGUGGUUAGCGGACCUACAGAAAAUUUCAACCAGAACCUUUCGUGCCAGCACUCAUGAAAUCAUCCACAUUCAUUAUCGUUCACUAUAGAAAUGGCACUUGCACAAUUUACACUAUACGGGCAAUGCUCAUACGCUAAGAAGCAUAUUCACUUUUCAUGUGCUGCCAUCAUAUUUGCUGGGGGUAUGUUACGGAAUCGCCACACCCCUGUGUCAACCUUUAUUUUUGGGUACCGCCACCAUAUUUGCAUAUCAUGCCGGGAGCAUGUUACAGAAUCGUCGUACCCCUGCGCCAACCGUUGCAGGAAUUAAAAGUGCUAGGAGUCAGUAUAAGAUAACCAAUAGUUUAAUUAGCCACCUAAAAACCACCCCAAAAUUCCCCUAGGGCUUCUUGUACUAAGUUCAUCCUUAACAAAUUUACGAAUUUUUCAAAUAGGUUUCUUGCAAGUUUUAUUCGAAAAAGGUGUUUAGGGCUUGUUGCUUUCUUUGGGUAUGCUUUUCCAGCUCUGAUGCUAGCGUGGCAUUAGAAACCAGCUCUGAUACUAGCUAUGCCACAACAACCCAAAUUAACUCGGCUAAAGUGUAUUCAACUUUGCCUCACAUGCGAACCAACACUUUAAUCAAGUUAACCUGAUAGUCUGUCGGGUUUCACCCGAUAAACCAAUUGGCUCAGAUCGUGGCAAAGCAUACUCACGUAAAGGCGAGUCCAGAGAUUACAACAAUCCAAGUUCAUUAACAUAGGUCUCACUUUAAUUUAUUACACCACCAUAGUUCAAAAGGGUAUAAAAUAAAGUUUUUCAGAGUUUAAGCAGCGAAAUAAAAUGAUAAUCUAAAUGUUGAAGCAGAGAUGCCAUGGUGAAGCCUACCAUCUCAUCAAUUACCACGAUCCAUGCAGUAUAAGUAAACAAGCAACUCCUAUAACUCGCGAGUGACUGAAAAUCACACGACUUUUACCGAGUCCUUAUUUAGAAUUGCAAUUACUCGGCCUAUCAUGCUAGUGUUCAAACAUAGGUACCUGAGAUCAUGCAACUAGGUUUUCAAUCAACUCCUAUGAACUUAAAUGCACAAACAUAAGCAUCAUUCUCUCUAUCCACCUUCAACCUCCUAGCUUUAGCAUCUUCAAUGUUCUUGAUAAGCCUUUCGGCAUUCUGACGUAUUGUUUCAUUGAAGACCAAUGUCCCAUCCUCUUGGCUCAGGUUGCCUCCAUGAGCGUAAUACCAAUUUUUUGAUCGAUCAGGCCAUUCAAGAAUUGUUGGUACGAUACCCCGAUCGAUCAGGUCUUGUUCCAUCUUGAGCCAUCUGGGAAUUGCAGUGUUGUAACCACCUCACCCUAGAUGAUGAUGGUACUCCUUCUUGCUAUCAUUGGCAACAUUGAUGCGAACCUUACUCGCACCACCUUAGCUUGUCUUGUAUUCGACAAAUGACAAUCAGUGGCCCCUCAACUUUGGUCACUCAUCAAAAUCUGUAGUUUGGCCCUUCUUGAUGAAGUCGGCAUCCAACAUCUUCUUGAAUGUCUAGAAUUGGAUGGCCAUCUUCUUCAGCGUCCACGCUUUCACAUCUUUUUCAGCACAUCCUUCGGGAAAUGUGAAGUGUUUCUUGACAUCUUCCCAUAGCAUAUUCUUUUGUGUAUCCGGGAGCGCGUAUGGAUUAGUUCUUUUGCCCUUCCAUUCCCUGAUGCUGAUGGGCAAGUUGUCCCUUACAAUUGCCAUGAUCUAACUCAUGUACUUUCUUGCCACGUGUUCGGGAGCAACCGGCUUGCCUUCUUCUGUGACUUCCAUGAUGUGAAGCCUUCCUUCCAUUACCUUUGUACGACCUUGGGGCUUAUUUCGGUUCGUCGAUCCAGAGGGCUAACAGUUCAAGAUUUGUUAAUUAGUACAUCGUAAUAAUGAAUAUGAAAUUAUAGAUGGCGUAAAACAAUGGAAAUGAUAUAUACCUCACUGGAACCUUCCGUCACGGCAAGGUUUUGCUCGGGCUCGGGCUCUUCAUUGCCAUCACCGGACAUGUUGAGGAACAUGUCCGCCUGGCUAUCCUUUUCAUCGGUGUACGUUACAGGCAGGUUGGAGCCACUACCAACAGCAACAAUCUGCUCCAUUAUAUACCUUGCAUGCUCGUCGUCUGCCAUCUCAACUACUUUAAACACACAUGAAAUCAUAGAUACAUGUACGUUAAGGUAUAUACAUGAAAUCAUAGAAUUUACAUGAAAUAAAACAAACUGAUUGAAAUGUACACAUGAAACUCUAUAUAUUAAAUGAAACUUACAUGAAAACUUACAAGAAAUUUACAUGAAUGUCUUGAAUGAAACUUACAUGACAUGUCUUGAAAGAAACUUACAACAAAACUUACAAGAAAUUUAUAUGAAUGUCUUGAAUGAAACUUACAUGAAGUGCUUCUACAAAUUUCUACUAAUUUCUAAGAAUUUCUACCAAGUUUGAAGUGUUUCUACAAACUUCGACUAAUUUCUAAGAAUUUCUACCAAAUUUCUGCUACUUUCUAAGCAUUUCCACCAAAUUUGAAGUGUUUCUACACAUUUCUACUAAUUUCUAAGAAUUUCUAUUGAUUUCUAAGCAUUUCAACCAAAUUUCUACCUAAAUUCUAUUACUUUCUAAGCAUUUCUACCAAAUUUCUACCUAAUUUCUACUAAUUUUCGAAACAUUUAUACUAAAUCAUAGUAAUGUACUAAAAAUUAUACUAAAUGCAUACAAAAUUAUACUAAGCAUUUAUACUAAAUAACUCUAAGCAUUUCUAUAGAUUUCUAGUAAUUUUCGAAACAUUUAUACUAAAUCAUAGUAAUUUCAAAAAAUUAUACUAAAUGUAUACAAAAUUAUACUAAGCAUAGUAAUUUCCUACUAAUUUUCUACUAAUUUCUACUAAUCAUAGUAAUUUCCUACUGAUUUCCAAACUAAAAAAAUAAAAAAGGGCCCUUGCGUCAGCAAGCCGUGGGCGGACAUACGGAGGCAGCGCGGACGAAGGCGGCGGCAGGGAUGGAGGCGGUGCAGACGGAGUCGGCAUGGAUGGAGCUGGUGACGAGGGGGCGGCGCGGAUAGAGGUGGUGACGUGGAGGUGGCGAUGAGGGGGCGUGUCGGAGGAGGUGGUGGGCUAGGGCGACGGAGGAGGAGGCAGGCCGAGCGCGGACGACGGCGGCCGGGGUGACGAGUGACGAGGAGGAUCGCGGCUGGCGACGGAGGCGGACGGGCAGCGACGGGCGGUGGGCGGCGACGCAGGCGGACAGGCGCGCGGGAUCUUGGAAGUGUUGAGAUGGUGAAAGGGGGAGAAAACGACUGCCCCCCCCCCUCUCGUCCUGGUUGCAAAUUGCAACGGGGACUAAAGGGUUCGUUUCACAUGGGAGGCGAAAAGCACCCUUCCCCUUUAGUCCUGGUUGCAAUUUUCAACUGGGACUAAAGGCCCUUUUUGGGUUUUUCGUCUCCCACCUGUUUUUUGGAAAUAGAUUUUAUAUAUGUUUUCACUAGAUUUUGUGAAGGAUAAGAACUUUACAUAUUUCGAACAUGCAAAAAUGUAGUAAAUUAGCAAGUAUAUUUAAAUAAGUUUGAACCAGACAUUAAUUCUAUACUAGUUAUUUUAGUUUCUAAAAUAAUUAUUUUAAUGCAUCAUUAUCAUCAAGAAACUAUUCAAUUAAAUAAUUUCAACGUGCAAAAAAUUCAAUUCAUGUAUGUGGUUAACAUUGUUCUGAUCGAACAAAUCUUCGUCUCAACUAGUAUAAACACACAAAUUUAUAUAUGUUUUCAACUGGUUUUGUUAAAGAAAAAAUAACAAAUUUACAUAUUUUGAGCAUGCAAAAAUAUAUUAAAUUAGCAAGUAUAUUUAAAAUAAGAUUGAAUCAGUCAUUAAUUCUAUACUAGUUGUUUUAGUUCCUAAAAUAAUUAUUUUAAUGCAGCACUAUCAUCAACAAACUGUUCGAUUAAAUAAUUUCAAUGUGCAAAAAAUUCAAUUGAUGUAUGUAGUUCACAUUGUUCAUAUUGAUCGAAUAAAUCUUCACCUCAACUAAUUUAAACACACAUGAAAUCAUAGAUACAUUAAAUUAAAAAUUAUAUCAAGUAGUACAUGAAAUCAUAGAACUUUACAAUGUAACUUUACAUAGAGGUGAAGCAUAUUUAGUGCAUUACAAUGUAACGUUAAAAAACUUUUUCUUGAUGAAAGUUCCUUGGUCAUGAUCGCGGUGUAAGUAUGGAGCCUCUUUUUUGGCAAGCAUGAUGCUUGGGUCAACUUCAACAACGAAUGGAGGCAUGCCAUCAAACUGAUCAUAAUCAUCUAAUUGGUCUGUUUUGUCCUCGACUCCCAUGAUUUUUCUUUUACCUAGAAGAACUAUGUGGCGCUUUGGCUCCCAUGGCUCUUCUGAAUUUUCUUAGCUUUGCUAGACAUGUCCUUCACAUAGAAAACCUUAUGCACAUCAUUGGCAAGGAUGAAUGGUACAUCAUUGUAUCCAAUCUUGGUCAGGUCCACUAUUGUCAUUCCAUAUUAACCUUUCGUUACGCCACCUCCAGUUAGCUUCACCCAUUGGCAAUGAAAUAGAGGGAUGUUUAGCGGUCCAUAUUCAAGUUCCCAUAUCUCCUCUAUGAAACCAUAAUACGAUUCCUUGCUCUUGUUGCUGUCUAUGGCAUCUAUGCGGACACCACUAUUCUGGUUCGUGCUUUUCUGGUCUUGGGCUCUCGUGCAAAAUGUAUAACCAUUUAUCUUGUAACCUUGGAAUUUCACAAUUGUGCUAGAAGGUCCCCUGGCUAACCAAGCGAGUUGUUCAUGAAUCGUAGAGUUACCCAUAAGGUGUUGAUGCAACCAAGAGGGGAAAGUAUCCAUGUGAUAACAUAUAAUCCAGGCAUCGGAUUUCAUCGAGUAUUGGGAAAAUAAAAGCUGCUUGUGUUGCUCGAUAUACGGAGCCACAAAGGAAGAUUGUUGCAGAAGAGUGAAGUGUGCUUUGUCAAACAAAUCAGUAUCAUUGCUCAAACUUGAUUUCCUUCCAAGGGUGCUCGUUCCCCGCAGCCUCCCCUCGUGGUGUGAAGUUGGAACCCCAAUUGAAUUAAUUGAGUCAAUAAAAUCAAUACAAAACUCAAUGACCUCCUUUGUUCCAUAACCCUUGGCGAUGCUUCCUUCUGGAUGGGCAUGAUUAAGAAUAUAUUUUUUAGACUGACAUGAACCUCUCAAAAGGCCACAUAUUAUGCAGGAAUACUGGACCAAGAAUAGUAAUAUCUUUGACUACGUGAAUCAGGAGGUGCGUCAUAAUAUUGAAGAAGGAUGGUGGAAAUACCAACUCAAAGCUGACAAGAUAUUAUACCACAUCGGUCUAUAGCUUUACUAGCUUGGUUGGAUUGAUUGCCUCCUACGAAAUCGCAUUAACAAACACGCAUAGCUUUACGAGCGCCAAUCGAACAUUCUCUAGUAGAAUAUCCCUUAGUGCAACCGGAAGCAACUGGGUCAUCAACAUGUGGUAGUCAUGGGCCUUGAGAUUUGUGAACUUAUUUUCUUUCAUAUUUAUUAUUCGCUUUAUAUUCGAGUAGCCAGACGAAACCUUGAUACUAUUUAGGCAUUCAAACAUGCUAUCCUUCUCUUCCUUGCUCAGAGCAUAACUGGCAGAAUAUAAGUAGUGAUGUCCGUUAUCUCUCUUUUCCGGAUGGAGCUCAUCUCAUUGCUUCAUACAUUUCAGGUCUUAUCGUGCUUCUAAUGUAUCUUUUGAGUUCCCAUAAACACCCAUGAAGCCUAGCACGUUCACGCAAAGAUUCUUCGUCAGGUGCAUCAUGUCUAUUGCAUUGCGGAUCUCUAGGAUUUCUCAAUAAUGUAGCUCCUAAAAUAUUGACUUCUUCUUCCACAUGGGUGCACGUCCGUUAUCAUCGUUCGAAACAGGUUCACUAUCAAGACACUUUCCAAAGACUACCCUUACAUCCUUUAUCAUCUCAAAGAUACGCUUUCCAUUAUGGUGUGCAGGUUUUUUAUGGUGGUCUGACGCCCCUUUGAAAUGCAUCCCUUUCUUUCUCAACAGGUGGUUAGCAGGGAGAAAUCAACGAUGGUCCAUAUACAUGACCUUCCUACAAUGUUUCAAAUACAUGAUGUCUGUGUCGUCUAAAUAGUGGGUGCAGGCUCGAUAUCCCUUGUUUGUCUAUCCUGAAAGGUUACUCAAGGCAGGUCAAUCAUUGAUGAUUACGAACAACAAUGCUAGUAGAUCAAAGCUCUCUUGUUUAUCCUCAUCCCACACAUGUACACCUUCUCCCUUCCAGAGCAGUAAAAGUUCAUCAACCAACAGUCUUAGGUACAUGUCAAUGUCCUUGCCGGGUUGUUUUGAGCCUUGGAUAAGCACCGGCAUCAUAAUGAACUUCUGCUUCAUGCACAGCCAAGGAGGAAGGUUGAACAUACAUAGGGUCAUAGGCCAAGUACUAUGACCACUACUCAACUCACUGAAUGGAUUGAAUCCAUUAGUACUUAAACCAAACCUUAUGUUCCUUGCAUCACUUUCAAAGUUCAGGAAUGCUCUAUCAAUUGAUCUCCACUAGGCCCCAUUCGCGAGGUGUCUCAACAUCUCAUCUUGCUUACGUUCUUCUUUGUGCCAUCGCAUCAACUUAGCAUUCGCCUUGUUUCUGAACAAACGCUUCAAACAUGGUAUUAUAGGGAAAAACCACAUCACCUUCAUGGGAACUCUCUUCUUGGGAGGCUGCCCCUUGACAUCACCAGGAUCAUCUCACAUGAUCUUAUACCACAACGCUCCGCACACAGGACAAGCAUCCAAUUUCUCGUAUUCAUCACCACAGUAGAGGAUACAAUCAUUAGGGCAUGCAUGUAUCUUCUGAACCUCCAAUCCCAAAGGGCAAACAAUCUAUUCAGCUUCAUAUAUUGUGGACGGCAAUUCAUUAUUCUCGGGAAGAAUCUUCUUGAUAAUGUUCAACAUCACCUGAAAUGACUUAUCGGACACACCAUUUUUGUUCUUCCAUUGCAGAAAUUCUAGUGUGGUACCCAAUUUUUUAUAGCUUUGCUUGUAAUCUGGGUACAACAAUUUUCUGAUUCCUUCUCAGUUUCGCAAUCUCUGUGUGCAUCCCAUAGCACCUGACCAAGGUCAUCAGUAGGGCCGUAUUCUACAAACUCAUCUUCAUCAGCCUUGCCCAUUAUAGUAUCUGCAAAAGCUUGGCCUGCAGCCUAGUCCGGAAUGUUGUUAUCAUCCUCCUCUUCUUCGCUGUCUUCCAUUCCAACCCCUCUUUUGCCAUGCUUGGUCCAAACCAAAUAGUUAGGCAUAAAACCGUAUCUAAACAAGGGGCUGUGAAGAGUUCGCCAAGAAGAGUAGUUCUUCUUGUUACUGCAUUGGAAGCAUGGAUAACAUAUGAACUCGUUCUCUGGCUGGUUCGCUUUGGCCACUUCGAGAAAAGAAUGCAAGCCAUCAACAUACUCCUUAGUGCGUCUGUCUGCCUUAUACAUCCACUGUCGGUCCAUCUACAUUGUAUUACAUAAGAAAUUGACAUAGGUUUUCGUAUUAGAUAAAGAACUUGAUCAAUAUUCAUAAUUUACACCAAUCAACCUUCAUAAUGGAUUGAAACUAUUCACAUGAAAAUUACACCAUUCCACAUUCAUAACAAUUACUAAAGAUACAUAUAAAGAUUACACUCAUAACAAGACAAUAAAGAUGCAUAUGCACUAAAGAUUACAGACGCUCCAUAGUGGACUUCACAUAGUCAAUUAUCCUAAAAUGUUGGUACAACAUAGCAGAAUGUUCGCCCUCCAAGCCAUCUCUGCACUUAACUCAAUCUUCUCAAAAGUCUAUUGAGAGUCACCUCCACAUAUCCAGUACUAGAAAUAAUGGCACAACAGAAGAUCUUUGAGUCCACGUGCUCGAGCUGAAUAUUAUAAAGGAAUCUUAAAAUAAUUUUCCAAACGUCUUUUGGAGCAAGUGCCGCAUUCUCAUAAUAGAAGUGUGGUGGGGCACACACAAUAGCCUGUCUAGGCAAAAGAUCUGUCCGCUGAACAUAGCCCACGGUGGUAAGCCAAAACCAACCAAAAGCUGCUAGGUCAAGGUUAGUGAACGGAUCUUUGCCUGAAGAGGAUAUUGGGUCAGCAUACUUCUAUUAUGAGAAUUAGGCCCCCAAAGGCAUCUGGAAUACUAUUUUAAGAUUCUUUUAUGAUAGUCAGCCCGAGUUUGUGGACUCAAAGCUCUUUUGUUCUACCAUUAUUUCUGGUACUAGAGGAGUGGAGGUGACUCUCCAUAGACUUUGGAGAAGAUUGAGUUAUGUGUAGAGAAGAGUGUAAGCAUGUUUAUGCCAUAUGCAGACACUGUUAAUUGGGAUUGAAGGAACGGAGGUGGUACAUCCCUUGCUGGUCCAUCUGCAUCGUAUUACGUGAAAAAUGAACAUAGAGUUUCGUAUAGGAUUAUUGUUUAUAAUAUUUAGUUCUUGCAUUAAACAUGAGAUAAAUAAAUUAUUGGUCAAAGAAAUACAAUUAUUAAUUGUUAAAUUAUAGUGACAUGAAAAAAUAUAGCAAUGAUCAAAUUCUAUUUUCUUACACCUACAAUUUAUUUACCUUAAUUUUAUUGCAAUGACUAAAUAUUAAAAACACAUUUACACUCUAAUUUUUUUCUCAUACAUAAUAUUGAUCAAGUUCUUUUAACUAAUACAAAUCGUAUAUAACAAGCAAGCUAUCCAUCACAUUCUAGCUUAAAAACAUGUAUAAAUAAAAAUCAUCUCCAUUCUCCCUCAUUCUAAAAAACUCAUUUUUCUCCCUCUCUAAACCAUAAAACAAAGCAUAAUAACAAUAAAUAAAGAAAGGAUGAAGUAGCUAACCUUCACUUUGGAUGCGUGAAAUCCUCACGGAAAUGAAGAAAAAAAUUCGGGCAGCACGUCUCCUAGGGUUGGUUCGUCACCAUGGAGAGGAGGCCGAAUGUCUCUGGUGGAGUGGAGUGGCUCAGGCUGGAGGAGGAAGAAGAGGUCUCUAUCUGGGCGAUUUUAUAGGGGAGGAGAUUUUAUCCCAGUUGGAAAUUCCAACCGGGACAAAAGCAACCCCUUUUGUCCCGGAACAAGAGGCUGAGGCUUUUGUUCCUGUUGGAAUUACCAACCGGGAGUAAACCUUUUGUCCCGGUUGGUAACUCCGACUGGAACAAAAGGGUAUGGCUUUUGUCUCAAGCUUUAGUCCCGGUUGGUAUUUACAAACGGGACUAAAGCUCCCCCCGCGUUGGCCUUCGGUGGCGCGCCACUUUUAGUCACGGGAGAAAUAUUAACGGGGACAAAUGGGUUGGAUGGAAGGUGAGUUGUAAGGGAGGACGAUCGAUUUGUGCGGGGGUGAGUGAUCUAUGCGUGGCGAUGGUGCCACCAUUAUGGACUUGAGGCCAGGCUUGGUGGGGUGCAAUGGCUGCUGGGGUGGGAUUGGAGCUGGAUCUCGGAGGUGGGGACCAGGUUUUGGGUCAGGAUGGCGCUGGGGAGGGAAACCGGGCAUGGAUCUGUAGGGUUUGGGAGCUUGGAUGGGAAGUACGCUGGCAAGGAGUGGGGGGAUUUAGCGGUUGUGGCGGUCUUGGGCUCCCUGGCCGUGGGGGCGAUGCGAGAGACGGGGAAGACGAGGCCAUCACCUUUCUCUCAUCAUGAGAACCUCCUCCAUGCCAUCCUCCCCUCUCACACAUCCAUGGCUACCCCCUCCCUAUAGUACUCCCCUCCUUCUCCUUCCUAACCACCAAAACUGAGUGCCCUCGUUGCCAUUGUUCCGUUUUGCCACUGCACCCCUCUCCUCGCACACCUGAGCAGAGGAUUGGAGAAGGAGAUCAUCGUCUUCUCCCUGGACAGAACCACGAGGAAGAGUCGCCCACGACCGUGGUGAUGCCUGCGCCAUGGUGAGGUCCUGCCCUCUCUCCUCUAUCAUGCAGUACCUACUACCUACCCUCUCUCAUCUCAUCACGUUGCAGGCCCCCUAUAGACGCCCUCCCGAUCAGCACAGACGCCGAGGUGAAGCCACAUCCUUGCGGAACCGUGGCAGGGCGACCCCUCCCUCCUUGUUGUCGUCAUCAACAGCCGCUGCUGCCGCCUCUCGUCGUUGUGCUGCUUCAACCCCUUCGACACCCCAAAGUGAGAACCCCACCAUCUCUCCUGUCUUUUGUGGUUCAUAGCCCGCAUUCAUGAGCCAUGGAUCGAAUCCUAGCGAACCCCAACGAGGUUCCUUCGCUUAUCUCGCCGUUGUCCUCGCGGCCAGCGACCCUGCCUCUGGUUGGCAUUGCGUUCCCCGCUGAUCCUGCUGUCCGAUGAUCAAGAUCUUUUACCAUCACGUGACCCUUGUACCUGCACACGUUCCUGCAAAGUGGCUCAGCCAUAUGUGCCACGAUUCCUGAGAUAUUAAUCUCGCCGUGCUUGCUGCCUCUGCUGUUUACAUGGUCAAGUAGUUCUGUUUUGCUUCCAUGUUCCCCGUUGAACCUUUUCACGAAACAACACUUCCUUUUGUCAGCAUGUAGCCCUAAUAUUGUCUAGCAAUUCCACAGAACAGAUCUCCAAGAGGUUCAACGAAGAUGAGGUUAUAGUGUGUUGGCUUCACCCAGGAAAACUAGGAACGCUUGCUCUCUCUCUCAAUCACGACAGCAACGCAAGGAAGAAGAUGAACAGUAGAUUUUCCGGCGACGAACGCCGUGGAGCCUAUCGCUCCUGUAUCUUGGCACUGGACUUCGCUCGGCUCGAACAGAACGAACUGCAUACACGGUGAUUUUAUAGCCGCAGCCCCAGGCAACUAACUCCUGCAAUCACCCACGCGCACGUACGCACAAGCUCCUGGCGAUCCGGUAUUCACGUACGUGAGCCACUCCCUCAACCGCAAGACCCGGAUGCCCUCCGAACUGAUCGUGAGCCUAUGCCUGGACGCUCUGCAACUAACUCCACGCAACACAGGGACACGCAUGCGCAUGACGCAGCUAUUCUGCAGGCACACACACAUGCACGAUGCGGCACCUCGCUCGGAACAGAUUCCAGGGCGUGUUUAUUCCUAACAUAGUGAUCACAACGUCCCUGUCCGGCUGCCUUGUGCUUGCACUGUGCACUGGAAAUCCGGUUGCAUUCUUCACCUUAUUGUUGGGUGUGUCAUGGUGUCCUUCAGCCUGGUGUGCAUACAUUAGUUGCACAUGAGCACACUAAGUAGCUUGACUAUAUGCACUGCAGAGCAAUACUUUCGGUGGUCUUAGUGCUCUCUGUCCCUGCUGCAUGCACAGCACUGGCACGCCGUUGGCAAUCAUGUUUCCUGUGAAACCAGCAAGAAAACGACAAGCCCUUCAACCAGGACAGGUAUCUUAGUGUAGCUGCACAUGAACCCUAAAAGUUCCUUGCCCAUAGAACCUGCAGAUCCUCACUUUUUGGGGCUCAUGGCUCUCACUACCCUGCUGUCCACAGGAUUCAGCACGUGCACUGAAACUGUAUCCAUGUUCCCUGUUGAUACAGAAGCUAGCUCACUGUACCCUUUGACCACAUUGUGUUCCUAUUUUGUCCGUUGCAAUCCCCACAAAGCAAUCCUCCGUAUCCCUAAAGGAAUGAACAGCAUGUGAGGAAUAUGUUCAGCACCACCGCCGACCUUGUCUUGUCAAUCGCUUCGCCCUCAGCGAGCUCUAAGCAUCCCCUUCAUCGACGAUGCUCUCGCCUCGACACACCCUACGUUCAAAGAGAAACCCCUUGCUAUAAUCUUGUCACAACAUUUCGAUCUCAAAUCCAUGCCUUCCAGCAACAACCGCCAGGCGCCAGCCGGUCGACGGGUAGCAACCUAUCCAAAGCCAAACCUGUACCAUCGUUUAGUGGCGUAGCUGUUCGAAGUUCGUGUUUUCAGAAUUAAAAUUAAUAUAAACUUGAGUAAUAUCCUUUCAUUUGUUUUUAUAAUUAAAAUCCAAUUAGGUUGAUACCCGGUCUUUCAUAAACAAAUGUUAACUUGGUUAAUGUCAACAUAAACAUGUUUUAAUUUUUAAUUUGUCCAGUUCAACACGACACAUGAUUCGAGUAGCUGCUCUCAGGCCAUUGAUUUUAAUGAACAUCCAAUGGUCUACAUUGAAUUAAAGAGUCCCUGACAAAUACAAUGAAAAAAGAGAAAAAUAUGUAUCUUAGAUAUUACUGUAGCAUACUAGCUAUAAUCGCUAGGAUUCAACUUCCAAUUUUAAAAGACAAGUAAGAAAACAGUCCGCUCGUGACACAGACAAAUUAAAAGUCCGUAUUCUAAUCUAUUUUGGACGUGAUUCAAUAGCAAGAGUGAGGAAGAGAGCGAGGAAGGAUCAAUAGCUACAUGACAGCGUCAUCAAUGCAAGAAGGGAAAGUGAGCUAGAAGGAAAUUUUUAAUUUAUCCUACCCUAAGAGGCCAUAGGGGCUAGCUAGCUAGCCAAAUACUCAUCCAUCCCAUAUUAUAAGUCAUUUCAAGAAUCUUGGAGAGUCAAAGUGUCUCAAAUUUGACCAAAUUUAUAUGAUAAUAUAAUAAUAUUUAUGAUGUCAUCUAAGUAUCAUUAGAUUCUUCAUCAAUUAUAUUUUCAUAGUAUACCUAUUUGAUAUCAUAAAUCUUUAUAAUUUUCUCUAUAAUGUUGGUCAAACUUGAAAUAUUUUGACUCUCCAAGAUUCUUGGAAUGACUUACAAUUUAGGAUGGAGGGAGUAGUAUGCAUCUGUGCGCAUAUGAUCAACGUAGGCAAAAUGUUUUUUUUUAGAAUUGGAUACACAAGUGAUCCAUGGGGUUGAGCAUGAAAGCCAAACCAACAGAAUGCAGAUAGCAGUAGUUCACCAGCGGCAAGAGUGGCAAUUUGCGCAAAACCGCGCAACGUCGACCCAAAAAUGCCAGCGUCGUUGCAUUACUGUCCUGCAAGGAUGGCUUCCAAAAUAGGGAGGUAGCAGAGUGUGAAGAGUCAAUGAAUACCAAGAAAAAUCGCGGCCAAGGUCUGAUCAUGGCAGUGAAAAAAAAUAGCCCAAAGAAAAUACAGUGGCAAAAUUAAAGCAACCUAAAGGAAAUAGCUAGCACACGCACCCAAAUAUUGUGAGAAAAUAGGUAUGAGCCCAAUUACCAAAAUAUCGUGAGAAUAUUAGAAUAGCAAAUCCAGAUGAGAGAUGCAUGGCGCGAAAGCCUAAAGGAUGCAAUAUAAUUUGGCAUGAGACCAUCAAUACAUUGGGUCGUUCAUGCUGUCGCAUCAUGCCGGCUCUGCAAAAUUAAAGCAACGUAACCUAAAGGAAUUGGAUGGCAUAUGAACCCAAAUACUGUGAGGAAACAGGUAUGAGCCCAAUUGCCAGAAUAUUGUGAGAAUAUGAGAGCAGCAACUCCAGAUGAGAGAUGGAUGGCACGAUAGCCUGAAGGCCUGCAUAAGUGCAAGCGACAAUAAAAUUUUAUAGAAGACAAUAGCUAGAGCAGACUCAGCAAUUAAAAGAAACUUGUUGUGUUACUGAGAUAGCCUUCCAAAUUCAUGUCCGGUUAGCAUAGUAUUAUAUAUAUACUGUGACAGUAUCAUUCAUUUGGUAGGCCAUGAUUGUUACAAUGAAGAUUUAGCUUAAAUAGAUCGUCCAAAAAUAGCUCAUUAUCAGAUAUGUCUCUACUAUAAAAAAAGCAAAAGGCGACAGAAUUACCGUCCGUCGUUCAGCUUCCUCCCGAUGGUCCUCGCUCCGGCUUCAUCGGCCGUCGCUUCCAGGGUCCUCCGCGUAGAACCGGAUUUUCCUCCACCGCACGCUUCCUCCCGCCGCUCCCUCCUCCCGCAUCACGCGCCGCCUUGCACCACCGUCCGCUCCCUCCUCCCGCAUCACGCGCACGCCCCACCACCCCCGCACCUGCUGCCUCCCUUCUCCAACCAAACUCUAACCCUAGGCCCUCCUCCUCUUCCCCGAUGCGGCAGAGACACAGAAGGCCCUCCUCCUCUUCCUUCCCAUCCCCCUCCCCUCCAUCCGUCCCAAGUCCCCAACUAGAUCGCUACCCUUGCUGUCCGCUCUGCCGCCGCCGCCGGUCUCCAUCCCCGCCAGAUCAAGCGAGGUGCCACCUCUGCCCAUCGGCUGGGGACAUGGUGCGGCAGUGCAGCGGUGUGGUCGAAGGUGGCGAUGCGGUCGUGCGGAGGCGGGGAUGAAUCACGAUGGCGGUAGCUUCCGCUCCCUCCUCGAAGGUGGACGAAGCGAAUGUCAAGGUGGAGGCUAAUGCCAUGGCGGCAGGUGCCAGGACUCCUCCGCAGCGGUGGUGCAUGUCUCCCUCCGCGACCUUUCCUGCAGGCAAAGGCUUCUUAGGUGAUGCUCUUCUCAUCCUUUGUGCUUCAGCAGAAGGUCAACGACAAGCACCUCGAUUUGUUGGGCUGCGGGCGCAGUUCAGCGGCGGCGGGAGCUGUUCAGCCGUAAAAGGUCCUCCCUUCCACCAUCGUCGCAGACAGGUAGUUCCUGAAGAGGUUGCCGUGCUCGAUUCCCACACACACUACUGGGAUCCAAAAUCAGAUUUUGUCAGUUUCUCUCCAUAGCAAAUCAGGCGUACACGGCUACAAUCUUGCCAGUAAUGUAAUUAGGUUGAUUCGAAUACCUCUUGCUUGCGUGCCAUGCCAAAACUUGCUUUGGCUUAAUUUAUAUUAACUUUCUUUGACUAGAUGCUCCCUCCUUCCCUCAUUUUCCGGUGAAUUCAUAGUAUGCCUCCUAUUAUUCUCAUAUGAAUCUUGAUACAGAUAAACUGGUCAGAUUGAAAAUCCAUGGAAAUUAUGGGGGUGUUUGGAUACGAGGUGCUAAACUUUAGCAGGGUCACAUUGGAUGUUCGGAUACUAAUUAGGAGGACUAAACACGAGCUAAUUACAAAACUAAUUGUACAAAUGGAGUCUACUUCGCGAGAUGAAUCUAUUAAGGCUAAUUAAUCCAUCAUUAGCAAUGGUUACUGUAGCACCACAUUGUCAAAUCAUGGACUAAUUAGGCUUAAUAGAUUCAUCUCGCGAAUUAGACUCCAUCUGUGCAAUUAGUUUUGUAAUUAGACUAUAUUUAAUACUCCUAAUUAGUAUCAAACAUCCGAUGUGACAUGUGCUAAAGUUUAGCGAGGUGUAUCCAAACGGCCCCUAUGUUUAGUUUAGUUUUGUGUCCGCAUACUUAAUGCCACAACGGGGAUAAAUACAAAGUUCUUCAAAAGGUGUUGCUAAAUCUGAAUGGGCACGCUUGUCUUUUUAUGGAUGAAUUGACACCGUUAGGUGCUAUUGACAGAGUGAGGGCAAACCCAUUUUUCAGUUUGAAAAAGUAGGGUUAAAAUCACAAAGUUGUAAAAAUAACGGCAAAAUCACCAUUGAACUUAAAAGUAGGGGAAUGAACGCAAAAGCCCCAUACAUUUAUCCCUGAGUUGUAGCAAAACAUUACUUGGCUUCAUGCCAACACCAAUUAGUUGAUACAACAUGGAUGUGAGAAUGUUUGAUCUGUCCACUAAUACUGAUUUCAUUUUUAUCGUGCCAUGAAGGAAUAGUUACAUGGUUUUUUUUCUUUGGUUUAAAUGCACAGAAUACAUGGAGACCGUACUAAAGGAUACCGUGAAAGGUGACAGAAAGGUAAGCUCUGAUUAUUACUUCUGGAGCAUCCAAAGUUUCGUCUGGUAAAUAUUUCAAUAAGAUCAUUUUACACAUUGGCAGAAAGCGGCAUUAACUCGAAUGGUAUCCAUUUCAUCAGAAAAAAGCAGGUAUAUCCAGAAGAUAUCUUUUUUUAAUUUUUGUCGCUGAAAUUGGGGACGCAUCGAGGUAAAGCAUGGUUGCUGCUUGAUGAGUGCGCAUAUGCAAAAUCGUUCAGUGCAGGAAUUGAAAAGAUCAGGUGGAUAGGUUGCAUCUCAGUUGCAUUUCCAAUUAAGUUUUGGUUUUUAGAACUUUUCUUGCUGUUUGAUCGAUUACUAUCUUGAGAUGAAAUACCAAUUUUCGCACAGGAGCAGCUUCUCCGUUAUGCUGCAGUGGCACUUCGGUGGCAGCAUGGGAUAUUAAAUGUAUGCAGCUGAGUUUCUGGACUUUUGCGAUUUUAUCUCACCUUCCACUGAAUAGCAAUCUUCACGGACAGCUGCCGUGCAAGCUGCCUCCCAGUUUUGCAUGGCAGGUGAAAAUCUUCGGAUCAAUUAGAACAAGGCUUUAUCUACCAAGAAGCAAUAUCGAUGUGAGCAUUUUCAUUUCCUUCUCUUCUCUAGAUUUCUUUCUUGGCAUUUCACUUCCUUUUGUGUUGAGUUUCUGUAGCAUAGUACCUGCAUUCACAGUAAUUGAGCCCAUGGAUAUAUCGCUUGGAGCCCACCGAGGUAGCAACAUGCUACAAACAUGGUUGAAUCUAUCCAUUAUGCAAUAGAAAGGCUCUAUAUUUAAAAAGCUCUUAUUUUACUUUAUCUGGUAUAUUGCACAUUAGGUCUAUUCAAUUAUUAACUGUCAGCUGAGAGCUUGUACUAUGAAGUUCACUGUGUAUUAUACCAAGUUUGAUGAUUACUUGAACCAUAAAUGAUUACUGUGUUAUCGUAGAUGUCCUGUGAGGCAAAAUGAACCAUAAAUGAUGAAUGUUGUCUGGAGCUAUGCUACCAAUGUACUGAUUGGCUUGCAAGAUUGAUUUUGAUCAAUGUCAUGUUUAAUAAAAAAAUUCAGAUGCAUCUUUUCAUUCCAAUCUCUUUUCUAUGGGCAAACUAAUUCAAAAGCUUAUGGUGGGGUUAACUAGAUAUUAUGGUUCUUUGACCAAUCUGCCUGUUCGGUAAAAAAAAAGUUAAAAAGUUAGGUUUCUACUUUGCUCAACUUUCCAUUCUAUAGUAUAGAUAAUCAUAUAGGAUGAUAAACAUGUUGCAAUGCAUAUAGGAUGAUAAACAUGUUGCAAUGCAGAUGUAUUCAUAUUAUUCAAUUAUCUGGUGUCUACUUUGCUAAAGCUUUCUAUUGAAUUUUCUCACUAUCUGUUGUGGAAAUAUUGUAAAUAUUAAGGCAUAACAAAAUUGUCCAACAUUAUCAAGAAACUGUGUCCUACUGAAUAUUAUCCUUACACUGUACUUUGCAAUAGUUAUAGGUACCACUAGUAGAGAACUCAUCUUACAUGCACCCCUUUUUGUCACGGUUUAAAGUUGGCUCGGGACAAAAGAGCUUUACUCCUGGUUGGUAUUUGCAACCGGUACUAAAGGUCCCCCUUUAAUUCCGGUUGUAACAGCUAGUUCCCAGCUACUGACGGCGCCACCCUUUUGUCCUGAUUGGAGCUUCCAACUGGGACAAAAGGGUCACCCUUUUAUCCUGGUUGGAGUUACCAACCGGGGCAAAAAGUUUACUCCCGGUUGGUAAUUCUAACUAGGACAAAAGGGUGGCGCUUUUAUCCCGGUUGGAAGCUCCAACCAGGAUUAAACCUCCAACCGGGAUAAAAGGUGUUCCUUUUUGUGCCGGUUGGAAUUUUACCGGGAUAAAAACUCCCCCUACAAAUUCACAAGACAGAGGUCUUUCUUCCUCCUCCAGCCCGAGCCAGUCCACUCCACAAAGAUAGAGAGCUUCACCUCCUCUCCAUGGCGCCGAAGCAAGCCUAGCUAGGGGAGGUGCUGCCCGAAUUUUUUUCUCAUUUCCGUGGGGAUUUCACGCAUCCAAAGUGUUGUGAAGGUAACCUACUUUAUCCUCCAUUCAUUUAUUGUUGUAACGCUUUUUUCAUGCUUUAGAGAGGUAGAAAAAUGAGUUUGCUUGUUAGAAAGAGGAAGAAUGGAGAGGAUUUAUAUUUAUACAUGUUUUUGAGCUAGAAUGUGAUGGAUAGUUUUCUUGUUAUAUAUGAUUCAUAUUAGUUAAAAGAACUUGAUGUCUAGAAUGGAGAUGGAUAGUUUAUUUGCUAGAAUGUGAAGUAGAAAAUGGUGAGGAUUUUGAGCUAGAAUGUGAGGGAGAAUGGAGAGUAAAUGUGAGGUAGAAUGGAGAGGAUUUCAAUAUUAUGUAUGAGGAAAAAAAUUAGUAUGUCAUAUGUGUCAUGUAUAGUAUGUAUCCUUGCAGCGAUUUAAGGAUGAUGCUACCCUUGUCUAGAUAGUUUUUCUUGUCAAAUUUAAUAUGGUUUUUCAAAUCCGUACUUGUUGAGCAUGCAUACUGUGUUCAUCUCGACGAGCAUGUUCUUCGCCGAGUGGCAAUGGACGUCAAGGAGGAGCUACGAUUCUAAGAGGAAGAGCAGCAACGGACAUCAUGGAAGACUAUUUCCCCUUCCUCGUAGAAUCAGAGCUCUUCCAUGGCGAAGUACGGUGCCGCCCGGUGGAGAAAUGCUCACCGACAUGAUCAUGGUCUGCAAGUUCAACUAGUACGGAUGGUUAUUUAUUUAAACAUGAUUUUGAUCUAGAAUUUGAUGGAUAUUUGAUAACUUCAAACCUAGGAAUGUCAAAUAGAAAUGUUACUACCCUCGAGGUGGCACCAUUGCCUCGUCCUAUAGGAGUUCACUUCCCUACUCCCGGUAUCAUCAUGCCAAAAGGCGAUCGAAGCAACGGAAUAGUGCCAAACAUAGUAACGUUAUUUCCUUCUUCUAAUUUGUUUUGUACUACAUAUGAAUAAUUUCUAAUUCUACUUACAUACAAUGUAGGUUAUCAACAGUAUUAUAUGGCUUAAACAAGUUGUUGCAGAGCUAGGUGGUACCAUUCCUAGAGUGCAAGCCAAUGUAGUUGGUCCACUUAAAAGACCACAUCUCUUUUCAAAUACCCAUUCGAGGAGCACCAAUAGAACCAGGGAAGCCCAAGCUGAUGGUUGCAAUUGACGGGGUCGAGCAUCACCAAUUAAGACAUCUUUUGAAAGGACCGCUGUGGAGGCAUGCCUGCAACAGCUACAGGAUCAUGGGUACUUUGUGCUAAACUACUCGUAUUUUAAAAUAAGGCGCUUGAGGAGGGAAGCAGUAGUGUGAUUAUGACUGCUGAGAGGCUAUGUCAUUUGAAUCAACAUGACAUGGUAUGGAUCUAAUCAUCCUUCUAUCUUUAAUUACAUUACAUCUUUUAAAUUUCUUAAUAAUAUUAUUCUCUUCUUUUAGGAUAUCUAUAAUCAAACCUUUGUGGCAAUAAGCUUUGAAGCGAUUCUGGAGCAAGCCGUGGAAAGGUUGGGAUAUAGUUACAACGUUGGAUACUUGAGACGCAAUAGAGAUUUAACACUCUAGACUAAGCUCUCUUUCUACAAGGUGUCUCAAACGACAGACACACCAUUAUUUGAGAUUUAUGGUUGUCCAAAUUAUUAUCAUUCUGAAACGCUAGAGAGGGUACUAGUUCAUGCUCUAACUUAUAUUGAUGACGUUCUAGACUUUAAGAUUGGAGAUAUGAAUUAUGCUCCAUAUCUUUUUAAGCUAUCCGAACUAUGCCUGUAGUAUGCAUGGAUGUAACAUUUGUCUUAUGUGUAUUUUGACUUCUCUCUAAGACAGGUAAUGCUAUAUGAACUUAAGUACUUACUUUUCUUAUGUAUUUGAAUUAUUAUCAGAAGUGGUUCUCUCUAAGAUCUCAAAUGUAAUCAUAGUUACAUGUUCUUGUUUGAGGAUGAAUGCAUUUUCUGCCAUUUGUUUAGAAAAUUUGUGUUGUCUUAUCCUUACAAAAUUUGUGUUGUCUUAUCCUUACAAAAUUUAUGUUGUCUUAUCCUUACAAAAUUUGUGUUGUCUUAUCCUUACAAAAUUUAUGUUGUCUUAUCCUUACAAAAUAUGUGUUUUCUGCUAUCAUGAUUUUUGUUUUCUACUUAAUUGUCUACUUAAUUGAAACAAGAAUAACAUUCUAGCAAGAAUAACACUAUCAGACUGCUCUAUCUCUUUAUCAUCAGAGUGCUCAUAAGUAUCAUUAUCAUCUGCAAACAUAUAUCUUCCCCUGCACUCUAGUACUUUGUGAGCUUGCAAACAUAGAGGAGGGCUAUCUUCAAAAGUUCAUUGCAAGGUUCUAUGAUUUCAUGUACUACUUGAUACAAUAUUUAAUUUAACAUAUCUANNNNNNNNNNNNNNNNNNNNNNNNNNNNNNNNNNNNNNNNNNNNNNNNNNNNNNNNNNNNNNNNNNNNNNNNNNNNNNNNNNNNNNNNNNNNNNNNNNNNUCCAGAUUCAUAUGAGAAUCAAUAGGAGGCAUACUAUGAAUUCACCGGAAAAUGAGGGAAGGAGGGAGCAUCUAGUCAAGAAAGUUAAUAUAAAUUAAGCCAAAGCAAGUUUGGCAUGGCACGCAAGCAAGAGGUAUUCGAAUCAACCUAAUUACAUUACUGGCAAGAUUGUAGCCGUGUACGCCUGAUUUGCUAUGGAGAGAAACUGACAAAAUCUGAUUUUGGAUCCCAGUAGUGUGUGUGGGAAUCGAGCACGGCAACCUCUUCAGGAACUACCUGUCUGCGACGAUGGUGGAAGGGAGGACCUUUUACGGCUGAACAGCUCCCGCCGCCGCUGAACUGCGCCCGCAGCCCAACAAAUCGAGGUGCUUGUCGUUGACCUUCUGCUGAAGCACAAAGGAUGAGAAGAGCAUCACCUAAGAAGCCUUUGCCUGCAGGAAAGGUCGCGGAGGGAGACAUGCACCACCGCUGCGGAGGAGUCCUGGCACCUGCCGCCAUGGCAUUAGCCUCCACCUUGACAUUCGCUUCGUCCACCUUCGAGGAGGGAGCGGAAGCUACCUAAUUCCACUUUCCAAUGUAGUUACAACGUUCAAAUAAUUGAUUGCCGCUGGGAUGUUGGAAGCUGCUUUUGACUUGGACAUUUCUGAUGGGGAUCGGAAGUCAGAAGUAACUGAGCACCUCGAGACUCAUGUCCAGAUUUAUGGAUGGGGUUUGGACAUUUUUAUGGGGAUCGAAUGAUAGUGAUAAUGACAUGAUGAGAUUUAUGAAUGACAAUGAAGAUGAUGGAAGUAAUGAAAAUGAAGUUUUUAAUGAUAAUGAGCACUCGAGACCUCUCACCAACUCUUUGUGUGCAAGAAAGGAAAGUUUCUCAUGGUGAUUAUACACAGUCACCAACAAGCAAAACGAUGGAAAUUGGUAGCCCAAGUGGCCAACUGACUCUCCUUCACAGAGAAGAGGUAAGAAUUUGACGUAUUUGAUUUACAUCACCUUGAAGAAAUCCAUCACCUGCAACCACCAGCUUAUUAUCACAUGGUAUUUUCUUUGAAGUAUGCCGACUUUGAGGCUAACAUUGUUGAGAACUUGGAGUCAGAAAUCAUGUGUGCUUCCAGACUGAGAUGUGCAAGAUGUGGACUCCAGGGAGCAUUCCUUGGUGGUUAUAAUUUCUUGAUGAUAGUGAUGCGGUCAAAUAAUUAUUUUAGAAGCUAAAAGGACUAGUAUAGAAUUAAUGACUCAUUCAAACUUGUUGUAAAUAUACUUGCUAAUUUAAUUUAUUUUUUCAUGGUCGAAAUAUGUAAAGUUCUUAUUUUUUCUUUAACAAAACCAGUUGAAAACAUAUAUAAAUUUGUGUGUUAAAAUUAGUUGAGGUGAAGAUUUAUUCGAUCAAUAUGAACAAUGUUGACCACAUACAUCAAUUGAAUUUUUCGCGCGUUAAAAUUAUUUAAUUGAAUAAUUUCUUGAUGAUAGUGAUGCAGUCAAAUAAUUAUUUUAGAAGUUAAAAGAACUAGUAUAGAAUUAAUGACUCAUUCAAACUUAUUGUAAAUAUACUUGCUAAUUUAAUAUAUUUUUGCAUGUUCUAAAUAUGUAAAGUUUUUAUUUUUUCUUCCUGAAAUCCAGUGAAAACAUAAAUAAAAUCCAUUUAAAAAAACAGGUGAGAAAUGAAAAAAGGGAGCCCUUUUAUCCCGAUUCGUAAUUGAACCCAGGACUAAAGGGGGCAUUUAUCCCGGAUGGCAUUUGGACCUUUUAUCCCAUUUGCAAACUGGAAUCGGGAUAAAAGGGUACUUUUUGAUUCCUGCCCGGAACGUACCCUUUUAUCCCGGUUCCAGUUUGCAACAGGGAUAGGGGGGCUUUUAUCCUGGUUGCAAAUGCCAUCCAGGAUAAACGCCCCCUUUAGUCCCGGGUUCAAUUACGAACCGGGAUAAAAGGAGGGGGGAUAAAAGUAACAGUCAUCUUCUAUCCCCCAACCCAAUUCACUUAGUGAAAUUUUCACUACGAACCCGCCCAUUCACCUCCCUCGCUACCGGCCUCCGUCCCUGUCGCUGCCUUCAUCCCCAUCGCCGCCUCCGUCCCCAUCGUCACCACCGGCCACUGCCCUCGUCGCCGCGACCUACGUCCCUGGCCACCGUCACCCCCUUUGUCGCGCCGCCUCGACAUCGCCGCCACCUCAUCGCGCCGCCUCGUCACCCUCUCAUCGUCGGCCUCCUCGUUGCUGCCUCGUCCCCAUCGGCCGUCAUCCUGCCCCCUCGUCGCCGCCGCUUCAUCCUCCCUGCCAGCCGUCGCCCUAGCUCAUCGCCGCCGACCGCCUCUAUCUCCGAUGCCCCCCUCCUCAUCCUAGCCGGCCCGUGCACACAUUGGAUUGCCACACCGGCUGCCAUCGACCCGCUGCCCCUGCCGCCGCCGCACGUCGCCUCGUCCCUACCGUCGCCACCGCGCGCCCGUACACCCCGCUGCCUCUUUGCUCCCGAACGUAUGGGGCCUUUUUUAUUUUUUUAGUUAGAAAAUAAGUAGAAAUUUUUAGAAAACCAGUAGAUUAGUAAAAAAAUCAAUAGGAAAUUACUAUUAUUAUUUGCUUAGUAAAGUUUUGUAUACAUUUACUAUAAUUUUUAUUACGUUACUAUGAUUUAGCAUAAAUGCUUUCAAAAGUAGUACAAAUUUGUAGACAUUUGGUAGAAAUUCUUACAAAUUACUAGAAAUUUGGUAGACAUGCUUAGAAAUUAGAAGAAAUUUGUAUAAACACUUCAAAUUUGGCAGAAUUUAGUAGGAAUUAGUAGAAAUUUGUAUGGUUUUAUGUAGGAUUCAUUCAAAACUUUCAUGUAUGGUUUCAUGUAACACAUUAAAGACAUUUCAUGUAAUUAAGUUUGAUUCAAGAUAUAUAUUCUUGUGUAUUUCUUGUAAGUUUUCAUGUAAGUUUCAUUUUGUGUAUGAUUUCAUGUGUACAUUUCAAUGAGUUUAUUUUUUUUUCAUGGUUGUCCUAUGAUUUCAAGUAUAUACCUUAAUGUACAUGUAACUAUGAUUUCCUGGGUGUUUAAAGUAGUUGAGAUGGCAGACGAUGAGGCCACAAGGUAUCUAAUGGAGAGGAUUAUUGCUAGUGAUGCUAGUGGCUCCAACAUUCCCAUAACGUACACCGAUGAAGAGGGUAACCAGUCAGACAUGCUCCUGAACAUGUCCGGCGAUGGCAAUGAAGAGCCCGAGCCCUAGCAAAACCUUGUCAUGGAGGAAGGUUCCAGCGAGGUAUAUAUCAUUUCCAAUAUUUUACCCCAUCUAUAAUGUCUUAUUCAUUAUUACCAUGUACUAAUUAACGAACCAUCAGAAGCAUCGAGGUCCUCCCAGGGUGAUGGAUGGAAUAAAGCUUAUCAUCGCGGAAGUCACAGAAGAGGGCAGGCCGGUUGCUCCCAAAAAAGUGGCAACAAAGUACGUGAGUCUGAUCGGGGCAAUUUUAAGGGACAACGUGCCCAUCAGCAUCAGGGAAUGGAAGGGAAAAAGUACUAAUCCAUACGUGCUCCUGGAUACAAAAAAGAAUAUGCUAUGAGAAGAUGUUAAGAAACAUUUCAUAUUUGCCAAAGGAUAUAUUGAAAAGGAUGUGAAAGUGUGGACGCUGAAGAAGAUGGCCACACAAUUCCACACAUUCAAGAAGAUGCUGGAUGCCAACUACAUUAAGAAGGACCGAACUUCGACUUUCAAUGUGUGGCCAAAGUUGAGGGACCACUGGGAGGCAUUUGUAGAAUACAAGAGGAGUGAAGAUGGUGUGAAAAAGGUCGUCACCAACUCUACAAAUGUUGGUCAGAAGGAGUACCAUCAUCGUCUAGGGCAACGUGGUUAUGGCAAAGCAAUUCCCAGAUGGAAGAAGAUGGAACAAGACCUGAUCGAUCGGGGUAUCGUACCAGCAACUAUUGAAUGGCCCGAUCGAUCAAAAAAUUGGUAUUACGCUCAUGGAGGUUUCCUGAGCCAAGAGAAUGGGAUGCUAAUCUUUAAUGAGACAAUACAUCAGAAGGCCGAAAGGCUUAUCAAGAACAUUGAAGAUGCUAAGGCUGGGAGGUUGAAGGUGGACUGAGAGAAUGAUGAGCUCACAUUGGCCCUUGGGAAUCCCGAGCACCCAGGACGUUGCCGAGGGUUCGGGGUCCUUCGGUGGAUGUUCGCAUUCCGAGGCAACAUCAACACGUACAGAAGCUGGAAGCGAACAAACGAACAGGUUGAGGAGAGCUGGCAACACUUGAUAGAAUCCAAAGUGCAUUCUGUAGAAGUAAGAAUGGAGGAAGAAAUUGAGCAUCGAGUGGCCCACGCAGUUGCGGAGUUUACCCAAUCUGGAGCAUUGUCGAAUCCGAACUUCGCCAGCCCUUCUCAACACCUCGGGAGCAGCUGUGGUUCCACAGGGCUCCCCGAUCCACAGACACAAAGAUUACCACCGCCAGUAGAUUGAAGAGAAAUAAUUUUUUUUAUCAGGAUGCAAGAAGGAGCCAAGAAGAGGAUACCACUACUAUCGAACUACGAAUGGGCAUUAGUAAAGGCUGAUGAGAGGGGGAAAAGGAAAGAAAAGUCAUCUUCUAGUGGUGCUAUCCCCGACCUCGAGCAUCUAUCAGAAAAAGACGCUAAAAAGAUAGCAGCAAUGCCCUUGGAUCAACAAGCACAAGUAUUGAAAUUCAUGAAAGAAACAGGUAUGAGACUUGAUAAAUGCCUAGGGCAAGUUGAGCUACCAACUGCACCUCCAGUUGAACGGAAAUGGGCCUUUGAGCUAGGCAAGUCUCUAAGGCCUGAGUCAAUACAGAAGCUAUCAACAAAGAUGUAUGAAUUCCAUCAAUGGUACAUGAAGCAGUCUGGCAAUGAGAGGGAGAUGUUUGGCCUUAAGGUAAAAUCGAUAGAUUUUUAUGGCGAAGGCGAGAAAGUCCUAUGGCUACGAUUCAAGGAUAUAUACGAAGUAUACCAUCAUGAUGCCCUGGACGUCUCUCUGAUUAGCGUCUGGGUUCUGUAAGUGUCCAUUUAUCUACAUGUAAAUUUUGGCUCAUAUCAUUAUUUUCUGUGCGUGCGUCGCGGUACUAACUUCGUCUUCCAUUUUAUGUAGGAUGCUAAUUCAGACGUGCCGACGAGAAGUGUACCUCCAUGUUGGCUUCAUGGAUCCAUCUGUAUUUAACCAAAAACAAAUACAAGAUGCGUCGGACAAAAUGUUGCUAGAAGUAUACAAUUCCCUAUACAAACAAAAAUACAAGGAUUACAUACUACUUCCAUACAACUUCAAGUAAGUGUGUGUAUACCGUCUAUUUUCAUUUUCUUUUUCCUUACCUGAUUAAUGUUAGUUAGCUCUAAUAUAUAUAAACAUUUACAUAUGCAGCUACCACUGGAUCCUCAUUAUAAUUGAUACUGAAAGAAGCCACAUCACUAUCUUCGAUUCGUUGAGGAAGCCACCAGUGGAGUACCAAGACCUGCAAGAUAUGCUAGACUUGUAAUAAUUCUGGACCUUUAUUAUCUCUAUGCAAAUGUUUGUUUCCUAAAUUUUCACCUAAUACUAUAUCAUUCAAUAUUUUAAUCCACAACGCAUGGAGAGAAUUCAUCGGGGCACACAAAGGUUCAUUCAAAGAAAAACUUAUAUGGAGAACAGACUUCCCGGUACGUAUGAAGUCUGCACAUUUUGUACAUUCUAUAGCGCGAAUAUUUCAUAACUUAUUUUUUCCCCACUGAAGUGCUUAAGACAGGAACCCGGGAAUAACCUAUGUGGCUACGUCUGUGAGCACCUGCACGCUUUUUUUGGACCCAAGACCACGAAGAUGACGCUGCAUGAAUAUAAAGUACAUAAAAUAAAACUAUUAAUAGUUAAUUAUUUUCUACCUCCUUAUAUAUAAUUGUUCAUGUAAAAUUUGCAUGUUUCCAAAAUAUAGAUGAUGAAUAUUCAACAGGGACUCUUGAGGAAGGAAAGAGUAGCGGCAAUAUGUGAAGGUCUCAUUGGAUUCCUGGUGGACAAGGUGGUAAAUCCACUAGGAGAAUUUUGUUAUGAUGGACGAAAAUUAGACACUCCGAGCAACACCUCGACAAGAAGAUCGUAGAGAUAGUUUGAUUUGUAUAUGUAAUACACUAAGAUUUGUAUAUAUAGUAUAUAUAAAUAUAUGUUAAGAAUUGCAUAUAUAAUAUGAAUUAUAUAUAUAGUAAUUAUAUCAAUACUAGUUUGAUUCGUUUAAAUACUAGUUUGAUUUCAUUAUAAAAAAAGUCUCAACUACUAAAGCUUAACUAAAGGGGUAUGUACGUGGUGCAUGAAAGUACAGGUUCCAUUCAGGCUAACUAAAGGGGCGCACCUGAAAUUUUAAGUAGGACUUUAGUCCCAGUUGGAAAACUAAAGAGUCCUCCUUUUAUCCCCGUUGGUAAAACCAACCGGGAUUAAAGGGGCCUGUCCCGCGCCUAGCAUGGAAGCCCCUUUAGUCCCUGUUGGUUUUACCAACCGGGAUAAAAGAGGGUCUUUAGUCCCGGUUGAGUGACACGGGACUAAAGCCCCCCCCCCCCUUUUUGUAUUGAUUGCUUUAUCCCAGAUGGUUUUUGGGAAGAUUUGCUCCCUACCAACCAAGAUAAAAGGUGAGCUCUCCACUAGUGUAUGUAUGACUACUGUUGGCGCUGAAAAAUCGGCCGAUUAUCCUCAGCGUCGGACACACGACCCGGGAGAAUCUGCUUAGCUCCUGUUCGGGUUAUCGCCCUGGUGCGGUUUGUACGGCGUGCCAGUCAACCUGACAUAUUGAUUGACAAGGAAAGAAGAAUAUUAAAUUCCAGGAGUUUCGAUCGGCUAGAUUUCCGAUCUGUCUUUAAGAAGCGUAUCAGCGAAUCGGCCGAUUUACUGUAGAGAUGACCGGCUAUAAAACAGCUGAUACUCGCGUAGCAAUUGUAUGGAAAACUACUAGAGCAACCUAAAUAGCGCUGCAAAGGCAACACUUGGAGCAGAUCUGACCGGCUAUGUGAUGAUAAAGGAUAGAAACAAUAAAAGCUGAUAGUUCGUACCUCAAGCUGGAUAACUGGUGAUAAAAACUAAAAUAACAGGUAAAACCUAUGAUUCUAGUUGAUAUCGAUAAUUGGUGAAUAAAUCUAAACAGAACAACAGCGAUGCACCCAUAGUUAAAGCUUAGAUAUUACUCGAUAAGCGGAACUUACAGAAUCGGCUGGAGAUCGUGUCGAUGUAGGCCUACCAACCCGUACGAACUCGUGAAAGAAAAAGGUUUUGGCGAAGUCGCUGACUUGAAAGUAAAGUACGAGGAAAAAGUAGAUUUGUUGUAUUGAUUGAUGUAUUUUUACCAACCUCUCGAGGUAGCUAUUUAUAGCCUGUUACAACUGAUUUCCUAACCGACUAGGAUCUAUCUCUAAUUUUAAACAACAACAAAUAUUUACAAAUAUGACUCGUAUUCGAGUUGGUUAUUAUUUUCUAUAGGCCUAUCUCUUCUUUCAGCAAAGUUUCAUUUUGGCUCGCUUUAGGCCCAAACCAGUUAAGCCGCUUUGACUCCCAAUCGGCCAGCCUCCUCUUCUGCCAGUCGGCCGAAACACUACAGCCUCAAUCGACCGAUUCCUAACUGUAGCUUCUAGUUUGCCGCAUCGGUUCCCCCCCUUUCUCCUUCUUUGACGCCGAUUCCAAACAUGUGUCAAAAUCCAGUGUCAACACAUGCCCCCCAGUUUCGGAGUAAAACACAACCUUUUGCUUCGAAAUUCUUUUCAACUCUAACUCCUUCUCCAAGGCAGGCACGGCAAAAACUCCUUUGUGUUCUGCAGUCUUCUCUAUGAUGAUUACAAACUUUUCGAACUAGGCGCCCGAGGCAACCGCUCUUCCCAAAAUUUGUGCAGAUGGCGCGGUAAAAAUCCCGCAGUCACCCUUCUCUCGAACCGUCUUUCAAAUACUUGCAUCCCCACCGCUUCUUCUCCACAAGCUCUAAAACCCCCUUUUUUCCUCCCGGCGAAUCAUCUUCCAUCGCGUUCCGGCAUCCUCUCAUCUUCCAGCUGCAUCCCUCCGUUCACUCCAAUGGCGGCCCCAUCGGCGACUAUGGCCUUCAUUCCAGAGGUAAAUAUCCUAAAGCUUUUCUUUUCACUAUUCACACAUCUUUUAGAUCUGUUCUUAUUUCUCUUUUACAUUCUUUCUUAGGAUCUUAGGAAGCGAAUCACUAUCCCCAUUUCCGACGCACCCGGCCUCAUUGGUCUCAGCCCUAUGGGGAAUCUAGAUCCCACCGAAUUAAUCAACCUGGAAACCCACAGGAUUCCUUUCAAGCAGUCACCUAUGGAUUUAAGCUAGUGGACAGGCGCAUUUAGAUCUUGGCCAAACGAAAUCGUUGGCUAGAAGGAGUGGUUUCAAAGAAUGUCCAAUUCUAAAAGAGUCCUCUGGGAUGAACUAAAAUCGGCCAAUGUAUAAAUUUAUCCCUGCCUCAGAUGGAGAAGAAUGAACCCUCGGUCAUGGCAGCUUCUUAGUUCUAGUCUGACGCUCUCAAUGCAUUUCUUUUUGGACAUGGGCCCAUGACCCCUACUCUGGCCGAUGUUCUGAUGCUGACCGGUCUUGACAUUUCUUCCCCUGAUUCACCUUUUGAUUUCCUGAUCAAGCCAACCCAUCACCUAGAAACAAAGGGAAUCGGCAGGUGGAAAGGCUACAUUGAUAAAAAUAUGAAGACCGGGCCCAUCGGUGACAGGGAAUACAUAACUUUUCUGAUGAUGUGGCUAGAGAAAUACUUCUUCUGCGGUAAAGCAGUCGGCCCUUCCUCCAAUACACAGGCUCUGGCCGAGGCCCUAGCAAAAGGUUCUACUAUCCCCUUAGGAAAAACACUUGCUAGGAUCGGCUUAUCAUAUGAUGCAUCAAAUCUUCGUUAAACUGUCAUCUGGAGAGCCGAUUGGGAACCCUGGUGAUCCUUGGUGGUUUAUCACCCUUUGGCUCAACUUAUACAUGAGCAAGGUCUCUCGGGAACGAGUUGAGACCAAGACAUUCCCCAAUAUUGAGUCAGAGGAAAAUCCAACAGUACGACGACGCUGCACUUCUUUUGGCGAGGCAGCGUCAGCCUUCCCUGGCAGUAAGUUUAACCCCACCAAGAUAGUCGAGUACUUCAGAUGCCUCUAUAUUGGCUUUAGUGAAGAAACCACAAGCUGGUACCCAUAUCAGAGAACUGAGCCACUCUUUGAAAACCCCGACUACUUCAAUUCAACCAUUAAUUCCUUUGACAAUGAGCUUAUGGACGUUCUGAUCAAGCCUAGGAUCCUGCCAGCAAACUUCUUUUUAGGGAAGGACUCCCCAACCUACGAAUUUUAUAACCCAUCAGUGGCAACACGGCAAUUCAGCCUUGGACAAUUGCCGAUUAAGAUUUUUUUUGCUGGCUGUGUGAAGUUUCAGGACGAGCUCUCCAAGGGACUGGAAUACAAUCGGUUGUGUAGCUUAGCACUAGACUCCAGUACCAUCGACUUGGCUAACUGGGUGAUGGCCCCCUUUGCUGUCCAACAAUUCAAACUAUGGUAGGGUGAGUGGAAACAACACCUCUUCUGCACAUCUCCCGCAACAUAUUGUAACGAUCUGGACCCUGCUAACUUUGAUCCAAAUGCAGAGGUACUAAUCUUUCUGGCCGAUUUGACACCGUACUCUUUAUGCUACAGGAUUACCACUGAUCCCUUCUUUUCUUGUAGUCUGGAAGCCAACUCUCCCCAACGCGCAGCCGUAGUGGCAGGCCGAUAGAGAAUCGUCACCCAUAUACUUCAUUUCCAAUCAUCGGCUUUCAGGCCCCGUCAAUUGAAGACAUUGCCACCGGCCGAUUGAAGCAAAAGCUGAAGAUAUCUUCUUCAAAGAAGACAAGCCAUCGUGUGCGUGCCCGCAUAGAACCGGCCGAUCAAUCGGUGGUGCUACCAGCCAAGUCCUCAGCUACACCAACUCUGCCGAUCGUCCAGGAGGUCGACCCCCACGCUGCUACAGAAGCCGGAUCGGCCGCUGCAUCCUUACAUUGUGGAAGUUGUCCAGGUAACUCUAUAUGCUUCAUAUUUCUCCAAGUAUACUUAUCAGUAUUAAUUUCUACCUUCCAUUAGGCUGCACAAAUCCUUCCUGAGCAAACCUCACAGCAAUCGGCCAUACCUCAGGCAGAGACCGAACCACCAACAAUCCUUUCGGCCAAGGUAAUGGGUAUACAUCUUAUUCAAAUUAUUCAAUCCUUAGCCUAAACUGACCAAUUUUGAUGUAAACUACCCCGGGUACAUCAAUUGUACCUUUCCAGCCGUCAUCGGUCGGACGACCCGCAGAGGUAAAGCAAUUGGUACCCAUCUUUAGCUAUUUCUCCAUACUUAUAGAAGUUCUCCUUUUGCCAUUCUUCAGGAAGCUGGCCCAAGCAUGGCGCCGAUCAUCGUCGAAUCCUCUUCUUCUGAUGAGCCAACUGCACUAAUUCCUGAGUCAAGGGUAGCAAUCCCAACAAUGCAAAUGGAAGAAAUUCAUUUUAAACAAGUAAGGUUCCUCGGCAUCCAAUUUAACUGAUUUUUGCUAUCAUUGGCUAACCCACUCCUUCCUCUUUUACUUCUACAAGAGCAAGACACGCCCAAUAACAGCCUCUUCUCAUUUGCGGUCACUGUCUCCGAUGAUGAAGAUGUUGGAGGUAUGCCCUAGAAGCAAUCAUAGAGAUGAUGAUAUCUGAUUGUAUCCAUGAUUUGUAUAUUGUGUUCAUUGAAUAUCCAUUAAAGGCUACUUGAAUUGAUCUGCAAUUAUGUGAAUUGUAUGUGGAACUCUUUACUUGUAUGGUUAUUCUAAAAGUUGUCCCUAGUCGGAGUUCAUGUGUGGACACACAUGAAUAUUAGACUAGUACAUGUAUUAGUUGAUGACUAUGUUUCACAAGUCAUGGACAUGGAGAUGUCAAACUAAUAAUGUAGGCAUAUGUAGAGACAUGUGCUAGGACUGACCCAACGCGAGAAGUAGUUCUCUCUUUACACAACAUGUAUGCUUUGUCCUUAGACCUGAGAUUGUCGCAUGUACUCAAGAUGUGGAUCGACUUACUUAGGGGCUAUCAAACGCUACACCGUAACAGGGUAGUUAAAAAGGUAGUUUUCAAGUUUGUCAGGAAGCAUGCUGUGAGGCAUGGUCAAUCAAGAUGGGAUUUGCCCCUCUCUUAUUUAGAGUGAUAUCUCUGGGCCCCUCGAGUGAUCGGAUCCAGAAAUGCAUGGCCAUGCUACGUACGGUUAAGAAUUAACCUACAAAGGGAUUCCGAAUCACAGGAUCGAGAAAGAGCGGUCGGCUUGAAGCUAGACCAAAUAUCGUGAGGCAAAGGGAAUAGCAUGUACAUGAUGUUGUGACGGUUCAUCUAAUAGGAUCUUCGUGUGCGUAUAGGAGUUGGCACGUCUUGCUAGAGGCCACUACCGACUAUUGGGCUGAGUAGGAGUACUCGGGCCAUGUCUAUACGUAUCCGAACCCAUAGGGUCACACACUUAAGGGGCUGGAAGCCCAAUUCGAAUAUGAUUCGAGUUGGAUUAGGUUUAGAAGUACUAAUGGGCCUUGGACCCAGAGCCCCGUCAGGAACCUCUAUAAAUAGAGGGGUGGGGCGCCCUAGGGUUUAAUCCCUUUGGCCGAAACACAUCUGUCGUACCCCCCACGCCCUUGCCCUUUUGCAACUCACGGACCUAGCAGUCCGGCUUGCGACGCUUCCUCCUUGCACGUGUGGAUACCUUGGAGGUGUUGCACCUGCAGCACUUGGACGAGCCACCGACGAGCCACGACGAGCCGACAACGAGCCGUGGCACGAGGACAACCUUGCUGCACGUGGACGAGCUGCUGAGGAGCUGCUUGACGUCGACAUGAUCGACUACGUGUUCGACUACGCUGAUCGACUUUGCUACCCCAACGCGAUUCUACAUCUUCCGUACCAGUGCGUCGAGUGGUAAUCCCGUGAUCCAUACACGGCAGUUUUCCUAGUUUACGCGGUAGAAAAAUUUUGUUUUGCGCUAGCGUAGCCUACCUCGUAUCCCAACAGAAGAAGUAGCCUCUCGACAAGUGGCCCUAAGCUCAAUUCUUGAUGAGGUCCGUGCAAAACUCCAAAGCAUCCGAGUCCUCCUUCAGGAUGACAUCGGCCGAUUGGUAGAAGAUGCCUCGCUGAUUCGACAGAUCUUCAAUGAAAUAAAUGAUCGAGUCACGGAGGACACAGAGCAAGCUCUCGCACCCGCGGCAUACAUCGAAUCAAUGCAAAUUUCGGUAUUCAGAGCCCUGUGACACAUGGCCGAUCGUGCCAAGUUGGCAAAAGCAUGUGAAGAAGAGGAUUCCUAUAAACACCGAGCUCAAGAGGUACAUCAACGAAUCGGCGUACUUGAAAAUUCUCAUCCAAAUAUUGUUGGUACCAUAGACCGUCUCAAACAACGUAGGGCAGAGCUUGCCAAGGAGAUGGAAUAGGUGAUGAAGGCUAUUGCUACCAAAGAGAAGAAGCUCCAAGAUCUCCCAGCUGUCAUCGCUGAUUUGAAACAGGAGAGGCAAAAUCUUGCCCAUGAGGCCAUCCGGCUUCACCGUAACAUGCCAGAAGUCCCUGGAUCGGCCGAAGACGACCAACGGGUUCUAGAUUCGGCCGAUCAGAUCCACCGGUGGGCGAUUGCGGCCAUCAAUAUGCUCCUUGAAUGAAUGUUUCAAACAUCGAAUUACCUCUGUAUAAACAUUUAAUGCUCCUUUCGUUGUUGACGUGUGAAUAUGAAUCUGAACAUUUCCUUUUCGCAGCUUUUAGCCCAACAAUCGUUUGCUUUGAAUGGAUGCCUUUGCUAAUCGUUGACCCUUACCCUUUUUCACCCUAUAAAUACGGGGUCUCUGCGUUUCUCCCAGAGGCACUCACACCUCAUCUAUCCUCCUAAAUUCUGCUCGACUGUUUUCAGAUCUCUAACCGGGUGCCAAGAUGUCUUCUUCCUCCUCCGUCAAUCAGGUAUAGGACCCCCCCCCUUACGCUCCUCGACUAAUUCCUCUUGACGACUGAAUGCCUGUUGUUUUUCUAGCCGACCCGGCUCAGCCCUGAUCUUGAGUGAGCCAUCGAGAUUAUGCACUCCGAGCAACCACUGAGGCGGGCAGACAGAGACUUGAUCGAAGCCCACCGUGAGGAACUCAAAGACCAUCUUCCAGCCCACGUCAAGAAGAUCAUGGAUCACAUCGCAGCCAAUAGCUCCAGGAAGCCACCUCAGCCACCGAUUAAGAGGAGUCAUCAGCUACCCUGCCAGGUCGCUCUCGAAGAUGCCAUGGCGGAUCUGGAGGAAAAGAGAACCCGUCUCUUAAUAGAACUAGGUCGGGUCCAGAGAGAGAUCAAUAAAAAAAAAGCUCGACUGAAACGUAGUUAAUCACACUGUAACCUGAUAGAUGUAUUGGUACUUUUUAAUCUAAGGGCGACUCGUACCAUGUCGGUCGUGUGUCCAAUCGUUGUACCGAAUAGUAAUUGGCCUGUUUGAUCAGAGGCUUCAUCCUCAAGGCGAUGUCUCCCUGCAUCGGCUAUGCAAACCCGAGUCUAUAGGAAUCGACCAUAAUGACUCGAUACGCCAUAUCGUUGGCUAUGCAUAUACCCAUAUGUUGGGAUAGUAUCUCUUCAAAUAUCUCCCAUUUAAGGCCCUUGUAAAUUCCUCUCCUUCGAUGGUCUCUAAUAUGUAUGCAUUUCCUGGUGCACACCGACCGAUUUUAUUCGGCCCUUCCCAAGUAGGUGACCACUUGCCGUAUUUGGGAUCCUUAGACCCUAUCGGCAUUACCAGUUUCCACACCAUAUCUCCUUGGGACAACUGCUUGACCUUGACCUUCUUAUCAUACCACCUAGCAACUAUUUUCUUAUUCUCUUCAAUACUGAUCAAAGCCCUCAAUCGUUGACCCGCCAAAUCGUCGAGCUCCCCUUUCAUGAGGAGAGAAUAAUCAUCGGCCGUCAACUGAUCUUGAAGUGACGCGCGUCUAGACCCUAUCCUUAAUUCCCAAGGUAACAUCGCCUCAUGUCCAUAUACCAAUUGAUAAGGGGAUAUCUUAGUAGCGCCGUGGCAGGCCAUCCUAUAGGCCCACAAAGAUUCGCUCAAAGACGCAUGCCAUUUCUUGGGCUGCUCUUCUAUCUUCCUUUUGAUUAACUUGAUUAUCCCCUUAUUGGAUGAUUCAGCUUGACCAUUAGCUUGAGCAUAAUACGAAGAAGAAUUUAACAAUUUAAUUCCCAUAUCGGCGGUGAAUUCCUCAAACUCUCUCGAGGUAAAUAUUGUUCCCUAAUCAGUCGUAAUGGUCUAAGGGAUACCAAACCGAUAGAUAAUGUGCUCUCUCACAAACUCAAUCAUGACGGCCGAUGUCACGGUUUUCAAGGGGACCGCCUCCACCCAUUUGGUAAAGUAGUCAAUGGCUACUAAUAUGAACUUGUGUCCCUUGCUUGAUGGAGGAUAAAUCUGUCCGAUGAGGUCGAUUCCCCAUCCCCUAAACGGCCAUGGUUUGAUUAUUGGGUUCAUAGCCGAAACUGGUGCAUGUUGCACAUUGCCGAAUUUCUGACAAUCCUGGCACCCCUUAUAAUACUUAAAGCAAUCCUCGAGUAUCGUUGGCCAGUAAUAACCAUUAUUUAUAAUCAUCCAUUUCAUUUUGUGAGCCGACUGAUGAGCCCCACAUACGCGUUUGUGAAUUUCUCCCAUCAGAACUUUUGCUUCUUCUAUCCCAAGGCAUUUGAGUAGUACUCCAUCAAUUGUCCAGUAAAAUAGGUCAUCUUCAAGUAAUACAUACUUUGUGGCCUGAAAAUGUACUCAUCGGUCCACUUUCUUGGAUGGGUCUCUUACGUAAUCGGCGAUCUCCCUUCUCCAAUCAUCGGCUGCAAGUCCCAGAGUCAUGGCACCUUGAAUCGGCCGAUACCCGGAGGCAUGUUGGGCAAGCCUAUUGGCUUCCUCAUUGUAACUCCUGGGGACAUGCUCAAUAAUCGCAGACUUGAACUCCUUUAGCAACUGGAGGCAAUCUUCAUAGUAAAUUCUCAAGAUAUCAUCCUUGCAUUCAGACCUCCCGGUUAAUUAAUCCACAAUGAGCAUGGAAUCCCCAAAUAUUUCCACCGUGUCAGCUUUGAACUCCCUCAAUAAUUGGAUACCCUUUAGAAUAGCCCGAUACUCCGCCUGGUUAUUAGUAGCGGAUGCCUCAAUCGGUAGAGAGAAAUCGUAACUUGCCCCCCGAGGCGAUACGAGGAUGAUGCCGAUUCCCGAUCCGGCCUCACAUGAGGAAUCAUCAAAGUAUAGUGUCCAAGGAGCUGGCUCAACGACGGCGAUGUCUGGUCCGCAAUGCUAGGCUACGAAAUCAGCCAUUACCUGACCUUUGACAGCUUUGGCUAAUUCGUACCUCAGGUCGAACUCUGAGAGAGCUAGAAUCCAUUUUCCAAUCCUCCCUUUCAAAAUUGGUAAUGACAACAUGUACUUGACCACAUCAUCUUUGCAUACGACUACGCAUUCUGCCAAUAACAGAUAGUGCCUGAGUUUGGUGCAAGAAAAAUAUAGAUAAAGGCACAGUCACUCCACCGGAGGAUAUCUAGUUUCAGCGUCCAGGAGUCUUCUGCUGACAUAAUAGAUUACUCUUUCUUUUCCUUCAAACUCUUGGACUAGCGCUGACCCAAUAGCCCGUUCAUCGGCCGAUAAGCACAGUUUGAACGGCUUGUCAGCCUAUGACGGAACCAACACUGGCGGCAAGACCAGGUACUGUUUGAUAUCAUCCAACGCUUUCUGUUGUUCCUUACCCCACACGAACUCUUGGUCGGGUUUUAAUUUUAACAAAGGAGUGAAGGCUUGAAUACGUCCGGACAGGUUAGAUAUGAACCUCCGGAUGAAGUUAACCUUGCCGAUUAAGGACUGUAGCUCAGUCUUGUUUUGUGGGGCCAUGACUUUAUUGAUGGCAGCCAUAAUCUUUCGGUUGAUUUCUAUGCCUCGCUCGUGGACCAUGAAUCCCAGAAAUUGUCCAGCCGAAACACCGAAGGCACAUUUGUUUGGGUUCAUUUUCAAUCCAUUCUUCCUCGUGCACUCCAAUACUUUUCGCAAAUCGACCAGAUGCUCCUGAUGCCCCUUUGACAUGACCACAACGUCGUCGAUGUAGAUCUCCACUAGGACGCCAAUAAGUUUGUGGAAAAUAUAAUUCAUAGCCCGUUGAUAUGUAGCUUCGGCAUUUUUCAAACCGAAAGUCAUUACUACCCACUCGAACAAACCGAGGUGGCCUGGGCACCUGAAAGCUGUUUUCAAAAUAUCUUCUUCGGUCAUUAAUAUUUGAUUAUACCUAGCGUUACCAUCCAUAAAGCUGAUGACUCUGUGCCCUGCGGCAGCAUCUAUUAAAACAUCAGCCGUCGGCAUCGGGUACCCAUCCAUUGGUGUAGCCUGAUUAAGAUUCCUGAAGUCAAUGCAUACACGUAGCUUUCCAUUUUUCUUGUAUACAGGCACAAUAUUAGAAAUCCACACGGCAUAGCGACACUGCCGAAUAAAUCCUGCUUCGAUCAAUCUUGUGAUCUCAACCUUAAUAUCAGGUAAAAUUUUAGGAUUACAACGCCAUGCGGGCUGCUGAUACGGCCGAUACCCUAGUUUUAUAGGCAACCGGUGUUCGACAAUGGACCGGUCUAGACCAGGCAUCUCAUGAUACUCCCAAGCAAAGCAGUCUUUAAACUCCCAUAACAGAUUUGUUAAUUCGCGCUUAUACUCAGGGUCUAAGCUAGCACUAAUAUACGUCGGUCUUGGCUUGCUACCAUCUCCAAGGUCCACCAUCUCCAAUGAAUCGGCCGACGUAAACCCGUGCCCAAGCUUCCCGUCUUCUCGGACGAACUGAUCCAUUUUAAUUUGGUUCUUCAGAGCCGACUGCUCGGAUCGCCUGUAGACCGAAAUCGGCCACCUUCAGGAAAUUGGUGUCCCAAGUCCUGCCAGACAUGCAUCUGACGUGUUCGCAGCUCCACUGUUGCGUGUCGGUGACGGCAACGCUAUAGGCGGAAUCGGCGGUGACCACUUUGAUGUUGUCGCCGACCCAUUGGACGAGGCAUUGGUGCAUUGUAGACGGGAUGCAACAGUUCGCAUGGAUCCAAUCUCGCUCGAGCAACAUGUUAUAGGACCCUUUGCCAUUAAUAACAAAGAAAGUACUCGGUAGGAUCUUACUGCCGAUGGUGAGGUCGACGCAGAGUGCCCACGGGUCGGAGAUACGUUGCCUUCAAAGUCCUUGAGCAUCAUAUCCGUCUUGCUCAGAUCUUCUUCACCUUUUCCCAAUUUGCGGAACAUAGCGUAUGGCAUGAUGUGCACAGCAAUGCCUCCAUCUAUCAGUAGUUUGGCAACUGGUCGUCCGUUGACAUGUCCUUUGAGGAACAGAGCCUUGAGAUGCUGGCAUUUUUCAUCCUCGGGUUUCUCAAAAGUGGCGGUCAUUGGCUCCAGAGCCAAUUGUGCCAUUUGCUCUUCUAUUUCCGUCACGUCGUCCCGGUCAGCGGGAGAAUUCCAUCGGCAAUAUGAAUACCAUGCUAACAUCAGCUGCCGAAUCGUGAUUGUUAUCUCCCUCGUCAUUUUUUCUUCAGGGGUGCCAAACCCGAGAUCUGUCUCCUUUCUUAUCCAUCGACUGCCUUUGUUCUUCUUCCUGCUGCUCCCAUUGGCGCAAACGCUGGACCCUCCAUUUUUGGGACUUAGUCAGACCAUCUGGGCACCAUCUGAGGUUUACUGGUUUGCUCGGUGGCUUUGCACGCUCCCAGUCUGGCUCUCGCCCCAGGGGGUUCUCAUCUGUGACUCUGGCGUCGGCCAUUUGUCCCAGCCGAUCAUGUGCAUUGGUCCUGCCCCCCAGCCGAUCAUGCUGGUCAACUCUGCUUCCCAUCCGAUCAUGCACUGAGACGUGCCAAUCUUCUUUCUCGUGCCUGUUUCUUCUGAUCAGCUCUAGUCCUCGAUCCUGGAGCGUGAUCUCUUGAACGAACGGCCGCUACGAUACUGGCCGUUGCACUCGGGGCAGUUAUCGGCUGAUGGUAGCCUAAGAUUAUUCUCCCAGUAGUGGAUGAAAAACGGGCACCUCCAGUGAUAUUCGUGUCGGCGUAUCAUCUCUUCGCGGCGUUUGGAAUCUUCCCGCUGCCACUGAUACUUGCUGAGUAAGUCUUGGGAAGUGACAGGCCGACGUGGCCUUUCUGAUCCUUCUCCUUCGUCUUCCACCCGCCCCUUUCCUUUGACACCCCAACUGUAGCCUGAUUUCUGGGAUCCACCGCACCACUUCUUCUGGCCGAUUCUGACAUCAGCACUUUGGUUUGGAGCGCGUUUUUUCCUGCAUCGACCAUGUUAGCGGGGAAAUGAUGUUGAUCGAUCUUUAUUGCCUUACUAGCUUUGUUGGGGCUUCGAAUUUGAGUCUUCCCUGCUCAAUGGUCGACUGUAUCUGCUGUCAGAAGAUUUUGCACUCGUUUGUGUCAUGUGAUGUGGCAUUGUGCCACUUGCAGUAUUUCAUCUUCUUGAGCUGCUCGGCUAACAGAAUCGUGUGGCAAGGCGAAAGUUUGAUCUGCCCCUCCUGAAGCAGCAAGUCGAAGAUUUUGUCAGCUUUUGAGGUGUCGAAGCCGAAUUUUUCUGGUUCCUUUUUUUCCAAAUGGGCACGAUAUCGUUUUUUUUCCUUUUACCCAUUCUGCCAGGCCGAUUUCUAUCUCUUCCUCCGAUUCGGACCCUUCUACAUACGCCACCUUCUUCUGGAAAUUUCUUCGUUGGUCGAAGGGGCGCAAUUCCUGAUCGGAGAGCCGAUGAACAAUCUGGCUCAAACUCUUGAAUUCUUGGGAAGCGUAUUUCUCCUUGAUAUGUGGCAGGAGUCCUUGGAAAGCGAUAUAGGCCAACUGGGUAUCGGUCAAGACCAGGGUGUAGCACUUGUUCAUGACUUCCCUGAACCUCUGUACAUAGCUGGUUACCGAUUCGUCGCUUCUUUGCUUGAGGCUGGUCAGAUCAAAGAGUUUCAUCUCAUGGACCCCUGCAUAGAAGUACUUAUGGAAUUGCUUCUCCAAAUCGGCCCAGGUGACAAUGGAGUUAGGUGGCAGCGUAGUGAACCACUGGAAGGCUGAUCUGGAUAGGGACGAUGAGAACAGUCGCACUCUUAGAGCAUCUUGCGUGGCGGCUUCCCUGCACUGGAUGAUGAACCUAUUCACAUGCUCUAUCGUUGACGUGUCGUCCAGGCCUGAGAACUUGGUGAAGUCAGGGACCUUGUACCGAUGAGGGAGUGGCAACAGGUCGUAAGCAGGUGGGUAUGGCAUCAUGUAUGUGUAGAUCUGUACUUUUGGUUUCAAUCCAAACUGAUCUUGAAUCACUUCUGCUAUUCUUGCGGUCGAAUCUACUUGCUACUGAUGCACGACCGGUUGAGGAAUCAGUACGUGCUGCUGGAUUGCGGCGCCAUGAUUGGGUGAUGAACCAGAGUGUGCUGCAGAUUUUGAGGCUGGGCUAUCGGCUGAGUUGCCGAUGGUUGAUGACGUAGGGGAUCUGCUGUUUUAUCGUAUAAUAUCAUCGGUGCUGCAACUCUGAGUGGUUCUGGAACGCCUGCCCCCCUCCCCCCCCCCCGGCCGAUUUCUGAAGUGGUUGGCUGGUAUUGUGGGGUUGUCGGCCGAAUGGCCGAUUGGAAAUAUGCCUAGGCUGGAGACCUCCCGUAACUGGUUGACGGAUCUAGACCGGUGGUUGUUGCUGCUACCCCCCAUGGCGCCGAAUUUGGCAGUUGUGUGGAGGAAAUUGAAGCAGGGUGAGGCGGCGCUUGUGAUUGGUAUAAUGGUGCACCAUUGUAUCCCAGGGGCAUUGAAGUGUUGUUCCCUCCAUGUUGUGUCUACGUCGGCUGAGAAGCCAAGUGAGACACGUUUGGCACCGCUGAGAAGCCUUUGAUUGGUGCCACGAUGGGAGGGGCAUAAGCUUGUCCCUGAUACCCCUGAGUUACGCCGCUGACCAAGGAACUGAUGACGGUGUUAUAUACGGUGUUGGUCAUUACCAUGGACUGGUCGAUCAUAGCAUGAUAAACAGACUGUUGAAUCAUCUCAGACAUUUUCCCUGAGUCCUCGGCGAUGGUGAUAUGGCGGGAAGUGGGAAGGGGAGCUUUCUUGACGAUCUCCCCGCUCCUGGUAUGAUUGAAAGAUUGUAGGCAAGACAUCCUAUACUCUUCUAUAGCCCGUGCCACUUCCUCCUUCUGGUCGUCCUUGAGGUCUGCUUCAGUGAUUUCGAUGAUGUUAUCUUUAGAGAUCUCUGCAACCUUCGACAUGCUGGCUCUUGCUUGGUCCCACCAGGCGUGCCAAAAUUGUGUUGGCACUGAAAAAUCGGCCGAUUAUCCUCAGCGUCGGACACACGACCCGGGAGAAUCUCCUUAGCUCCUAUUUAGGUUAUCGCCCUGGUGCGGUUCGUACGGCGUGCCAGUCAAUCUGACCUGUUGAUUGAUAAGGAAAGAAGUGAUGAGGACAUCACCUGCUCGGAUACAACCACAUUAGUAACUUUCGAUUCACAGGUGAAAUAAUUCUUUACCAUUAUUGUAUUUGAUACAUUUGAUGAAUUGAUGUUGCACCAUGAUGUGUGUUCAUUGUCAAUUUCAGAAAUACAUACAUGGAUCAAAAAUAGUGUUAAACACACAUGGAAGGUAUGGAGGACCAAAGAAGUAGAUUGGGAGCCAAGUCCAAGUAUUCCCAAUGUCCUCCACCAGGCCACCACGUCCCUUUUGGCCUAAGGAAAGAAAGAGAUCCAAUCCAACACGUUUUGGCGCUGGAUUCGGACUGCAGCUCUACCCCAACUUGCAACAGCCGCCACGACCUCAUCCGGACUCCGUUUUAGGCGUUCAAGUACUCCUUGGAAUACUUAUGAAGUCUAUUUUCAUAUGGAUCUGAACUCAUAUCAAUAUCUAUUCUGAGUCGGCCGCAAUCACCAAAAUACUACUGAGAGGUUUUCUGUCCAGAGGUGCUGCGUCGCCUUAUUUUAGCCCAAUGGGCCGUGUGUCAAGUUGGGUCUAUUAGGGACAUAUUCUAGGGUUGGAGCACGACCCCAAAACCCCCCUGUCAUCCUCCUAGGUAUUAAUAAGGAUUAGAGCCACCACAAACAGAUUGGGUUUUGUUUUGUUGAAAGCUUAGCCAUUGCUACUUCCUUGUAGACGCGUGUGCCGACUAGACCAUCCGUUCUACUUGAUUCAGAACCCCAACUUUAUGAGUUCAGAUUAGUUUUCAUCUCUAUAUUUGCAAUUGAGUUGCUUGUUAUACUUGUUCUUGCUUGUUCUUCGAUUGCUUGCAGGACGAGUGCCCUAGUGGCCGGGUGACGCACUCCACAAGAUCGCGGCAGCCAUUGGAGGUGGUGUAUCGGUUGCUAAGGCGCAGUUUGGAAGGCUGUAGUCGGGCCGUGAACGUCAUCUCCAUCGACCAAUCGAGUUAUCCCACGCCUCUCAUUGAAAGAUUGGGAAUCAACCCUAGCGGGUUUAUAUCAGUUGGUAAUCAGAGCAAGGUUUAUCGGUGAGAGACUUCCAGUUCCUUGCUAUUUUUAAUUACCUAUAGUCCAGAAAAGCACAAAAAAGAUAGUAGAUUAGUUUACCUACAAUCCUAUAAACCUUUUGAGCCUUUGCUAGCAUUGCCUAGUUAGGGCUUGUUGAGUUUUCGGUUGCAUCGGUUGUGUCAAGUUGCUGGUCUUAGUGUCUAUUCCUUUAGAGUUUUGAGUUCUAUCACGUUUUGGUCACCACGAGAUCCACCAUCACCAUAUACAUCACUGCUUCGUUUCUGCCACCACGGUUUCAUAUGAUGUUCGAUUUGGGAUAUUAAAUACAAUCUAGAAAGCUGAAGUUGUCUUCUUUCCAAUGGAUCUGACAUUGUAGCAAAAUUCGUUCCGAGCGCUCCGCAAUCUUCCUAGAGAUUUUCGUAUCUGCUGUAUUAACAAGAGUUGUUAAAUCUGAAUUCAAAGGGGUUGUGUGUGAUAACCUUAUUGUUUGGGUUGUCAUAGUACCAAAUAAAAGAUUUAGGCCUUUGCAAAAAAAGAAACAAAAAAAAGACAGAAAGAAAAAAAGAAGAAGAAGAAAAAAGACAAGAGAAGGAGAAGAAAGGGGCUGAAUCUGUUGAUUUCUUUGUGCUGUGCUAGUUGCUCUUUUCAGUGACUACCUUUGUGCCUAGGCUCACAUCUCUAGCAUGGUUUAGCCUAGGACCAACACGGUACCGCUGUUGAAUGAUUACUCAACUUGCUUUUGUGACUAACGUGAUGCUAGUAUAUUUCCUUGCUUUAGCCCACCUACAGCUCCACAUAUUCGACUACAGCUUGACAGGUUUUUGUUGCUGCGGCACCGAUACACUUCGCUCCACGGUUGUAGACUUAUUGGUUGCCGUCACCUCCUGUUUGGCUUGGUAAGAACUGGUAAGGGCUUGUUUUUAUAAGUUGAGUUUGAGAGAAUUACAACCGACACAUCCUAGUAGUUGACAGGAGGAUACAUAUUAUUUUUGUGUUUCUUAUUUUCUACUAAUCAUGGCAGGUGAUACGGAGAUUUUUGAGCUGUUGAAACUAGACCCUCAUAUUCAGGAUGUCAUUCAACACUUGCCAUUAUAUGAUGGUAAGUUUGAUCCUAAAGCUUACAUUGAUUGGGAGAUAAAAGUAGAUAAUGAAUUUGAUGAGCAUGACCUGUCCGAGAAACAAAAUAUUUAUAUUGCCUCUAAUGUUUUGAUUGGAUUUGCUUUGCUAGAAUGGAAACAUAUUUGUAGGCACAACAAAGUUCUAGAAUCUUGGGAAGACUUCAAAUUUCUUUUUAGAGAUGUAUUCAUUCCUGAAUAUUAUGCUGCUUAUUUGCUUGCAAAAAUUAGACAACUUCAAGCAAGGUAGUAGGACUGUGAAAGAAUACUUCCAUGAUUUUAAAAUUCGUAUCAUGUAUGGUGGAUUAGAUGAGUGCAUUGAAGAUGUUAUGUGUAGGUUCAUGAGAGGGCUCAAUUCUAAAAUUCAAAUCUUGUUGAUUAGCAAAUCAUACAGACAUAUUAGUCAAUUGUUUUGUCUUGCUCUCAAUGUUGAAAAGGAGAUUCUAUUAACUGUGAAUACUUGCAAAAAUGAUGUGACCCAUUAUAUCCAAAAUUUGUCCACUCUCCAUGCUAAUGAAGAGCAACAAAUAGUGGAACCCAUUGCUGAUUUUCCUUUGUCACAAAAUGAAUUACUUGUUGUUCCUUGUGAUAAAGAGGACUUUUGUGCUGAUGAUUCUUUUACUCCUAUGCCACAAGUAGUGAAUAAGUGUGAUAAUUUUAGUUUGGAACCAUACAAAUGUGCUGAAGAUAAACUUUUUCAUCCUAUUACUUGUGCACAAGAUGAACUGAAUUUGCUGUCCUCUUUAAAUACUUUAGGUUAUAUUGAAUUUGGUAUUUUGUGUAAUCUAAAUUGUCUAAAAGAGAAACUUAAAUUUGAUUCUAGUUUGCCAAGGUUUAAUCAUUGUUCGCUUCAUGCAAUUGGCAAAUAUGACAACAAAGGAGAAUAUUUGGUGCAUAAAAUUUAUAUUUGCUCUAAUCUGAAAUAUCCUUUUGGGCAACAAUACCAUGAUCAAAUAGAGGGCUGCAGUAACACUAAUAAUGUGUUGCAAAGUUUUUCUAGUUUUUCCCAUAUACAACAGGGUAAGGCUAAAAAAGAGGAGCAUUACUGGUUGUGACCAUGCAGCAUGGCCGUCGCUCCGUGCUACAACAUCAAAGCAAGCACCUUAGAAUGCCAUUAGAGCAAGUCGAGGACGACUUCUAGCCAAGAAGGGGAGAAUGAUGAGGACAUCACCUGCUCGGAUACAACCACAUUAAUAACUUUUGAUUCAUAGGUGAAACAAUUCUUUACCAUUAUUGUAUUUGAUACAUUUGAUGAAUUGAUGUUGCACCAUGAUGUGUGUUCGUUGUCAAUUUCAGAAAUACAUACAUGGAUCAAAAAUAGUAUUAAACACACAUGGAAGGUAUGGACGACCAAAGAAGUAGAUUGGGUGCCAAGUCCAAGUAUUCUCAAUAUCCUCCACCAGGCCACCACGUCACUUUUGGCCUAAGGAAAGAAAGAGAUCCAAUCCAACACGUUUUGGUGCUGGAUUCGGACUGCAGCACUAUCCCAACUUGAAACGGCCGCCACGACCUCAUCCAGACUCCGUUUUAGGCGUUCAAGUACUCCUUGGAAGACUUAUGAAGUCUAUUUUCAUAUGAAUCUAGACUCAUAUCUAUAUCUAUUAUGAGUCGGCCGCAAUCACCAAAAUACUACCGAGAGGUUUUCUGUCCAGAGGUGCUGCGUCGCCUUAUUUUAGCCCAAUGGGCCGUGUGUCAAGUUGGGUCCACUAGGGACAUAUUCUAGGGUUGGAGCACGACCCCAACACCCCCCUGGUCAUCCUCCUAGGUAUUAUUAAGGAUUAGAGCCACCACAAACAGAUUGGGUUUUGUUUUGUUAAAAGUUUAGCCAUUGCUACUUCCUUGUAGACGCGUGUGCCGACUAGACCAUCCGUUCUACUUGAUUCAGAACCCCAACUUUAUGAGUUCAGAUUAGUUUUCAUCUCUAUAUUUGCAAUUGAGUUGCUUGUUAUACUUUUUCUUGCUUGUUCUUCGAUUGCUUGCAGGACGAGUGCCCUAGUGGCCGGGUGACGCGCUCCACAAGAUCGCGGCAGCCAUUGGAGGUGGUGUAUCGGUUGCUAAGGCGCAGCUUGGAAGGCUGUAGUCGGGCCGUGAACGUUGUCUCCAUCGACCAAUCAAGUUAUCCCACGCCUCUCAUCAAAAGAUCGGGAAUCAACCCUAGCGGGUUUAUAUCAAGAAGAAUAUUAAAUUCAAGGGGUUUCAAUCGGCUAGAUUUCUGAUCUGUCUUUAAGAAAUGUAUCAGCGAAUCGGCCGAUUUACUGUAGAGAUGACCGGCUAUAAAACAGCCGAUACUCGUGUAGCAAUUGUAAGGAAAACUACAAGAGCAACCUAAAUAGAGCUGCAAAGGCAACACUUCGAGCAGAUCUGACCGGCUAUGUGAUGAUAAAGGAUAGAAAUAAUAAAAGCUGACAGUUCGUACCUCAAGCUGGAUAACUGGUGAUAAAAACUAAAAUAACAGGUAAAACCUAUGAUUCUAGUUGAUAUCGAUAACUGCUGAAUAAAUUUAAACGGAACAACAGCGAUGCGCCCAAAGUUAAAGCUUAGAUAUUACUCGAUAAGCGGAACUUACAAAAUCGGCUGGAGAUUGUGUCCAUGCAGCCCUGCCAACCCGUACGAACUAACCACUGAAAGAAAAAGGUUUUGGCAAAGUCACCAACUUGAAAGUAAAGUACGAGGAAAAAAUAGAUUUGUUGUAUUGAUUGAUGUGUUUUUACCAACCUCUCGAGGCAGCUAUUUAUUGCCUGUUACAACUGAUUUCCUAACCGACUAGGAUCUAUCUCUAAUUUUAAACGACAACAAAUAUUUACAAAUAUGACUUGUAUUCGAGUUGGUUAUUAUUUUCUACGGGCCUAUCUCUUCUUUUAGCAAAGUUUCAUUUUGGCCCAUUUUAGGCCCAAACCAGUUAAGCUGCUUUGACUCCCAAUCGGCCAGCCUCCUCUUCCGCCAGUCGGCUGAAACACUGCAACCUCAAUCGGAAGAUUCCUAACUGUAGCUUCUAGUCCGCCGCAUCGGCUCCCCCCCUUUCUCCUUCUUUGAUGCCGAUUCCAAAGACGUGUCAAAAUCCGGCGUCAACAACUACCAAUUUGUGCUUUGCUAUAAUUUUAGCUAUAUUUUCCCUCUACAAUUAGAUCUUAUACGAACAAGCUUUUCAACAAGGACCAUAGGAAUCAAAGAUAAAGAUUCCAAGCUGGUUAGGGUGCAAUAACUAAAGCAUGAAAAGCAAAGCCUGUGCAGGAGAGGAGGAUUAAGAGGAGGGACCCGGGCGUGCACUAAGUGUGGGCAGUGUGUUGUGUUUCUUGUGUUCUUCGUUGUCUUGGUUGGUUCAUGUGUGAAUCGAUAGAUGGAUGGAUCAUAUCGAUAUGGGUUGUUCUCUAUGAGGGAGAGGGCCCGCCCCCUUUUAUAGUUCAAGGGGACGACCUUACAAGUCGGGAGAAGAUAGAGGGAAGGAUGUGUGGGCACUGCCUAGUCUUGUCGAAUCCUCUGCCAGCGAAUAUGGUAUUGUCUCCAUCCUCGAUCCCUGUUCUCCUCGUCAGGUCAUCAUACUAUAGCGUCAUGCCAUCACACCGUAGUGUCAGGUCACCAUGACAUAGCGGGUAGGUUUACGGCACCACUGUGCAGACGUGCCCGACGCGUGGCAUGGUAUGGUUUCGCGUACAACCGGCUGACCCGGGGGCUGCAUCGUUAUCCAUCGCAUCUGCUCCCUGGACCCACGGGGGGUGAGUGUCCCUAGUCGGGAGGUCGGUGCAUAUGGUACAGCGGGGACCUGGUUGGGAGAACCAGGUCGGGAGUCCCCAGCUAGGAGAACCAGGUUGGGAGUCCCCAUCCAGGAGAACCAGGUCAGGAGUCCCUAGUCAGGGGUCGGACUGUGGCCCCACUCCUACCAAGUCUUCUCUGGUUAGAGCGUUGGUUCAUCCUCUAGGCCGGAGGAGUUGGUUGGUGACUGGGCCGCACCCUCGGCCUGGCUGCACGCAGCUAGGCUGGCCCAAGUAUUCAUGAUCACUGUGCCUUCACGUUGAGCUAAGCACAAUGGGGAAACAGUCCCAUCGGGGACCCCCAGUCUCUGGACCCGUCAGGAGCCCCCAAGAAGGGGCUGUCAAUCGGAAAAUUUCGUGGUAGGAAAAGAUAGUCUUGUUUGAGGAGUGGUCGGGACACAUUGAGGGGUCCAGCCCUGUAUCCGAGACGAUAAGGAUGGAACCCGCGUGGGAACUGUACCGGUGCCUGGUGUCCUAGUACUUUCCCCUUGAUCUCCUAGCGUACGGCAGUCGAACCAUCAUGUUGGGAUGCAGUGCCUUUAACGCGGGGCGCUGAAUUGUCACCUCGACAUUAGGCACCUUUACCGCACGUCCACGGAUGUGAGUUGUAGCCGUUCCGGAUUGGGGCCGUUCGCCCAGCUAUAAAUAGGGAGGCUCCUGUAUCCGGAGUUCCCAUGGCUAGGGUUCUGAGUCCCAUGGCUCGAGUUGUAGAUCCAGUAGGCUUGAGGCUCCUCCUUUUUGCCGUGAGUGGUGGUGGCCACUUUCCAUGAUGCUAGAAGAUCUCUCGUCAAAGGCAUUUUGCCUUCCUACCGCAGUCCCUCAUGUCACAUUUGUGGGCUAAGUUGUGAGAAGAACUCUCAUAACAUGGCUCUGGCAUGUGAUGCGGAGCUGGGUGGGGAGCGGGGACGACACCUUGGGAGGUUGAGGUAGACAGGGCUUCCUCAUCCUCCAUGUCGCGCUCGUACCCUAGACCGCCGAUUGUUGGAGGUAAUUCGACCUCCACCUUGUCCUUCUGCUACACUCAACGGUGCGGUAAGAAGGUGCCCAUCGAGGUGGCAUGAGAUGUAGGCGUCGGCGGUGGUGGUUCACCGGGGGCUAGUGAGGGCCAAUUUACUCCCCCCACGCCUCUCCUUCCUCGUUAUCUAGGUUGUCCCAGUCGAGGAAGAAGGCUGUGGGAAACUCUGGGCUAGCACCAUGCGCUCCCUGAGUUAUUUUAUCCUCUUCUUCCCUGGACACCUCUCACUCAAUGGCAGGAGAGCGAAGAAGAUCAGGCGAUGGUGGGUUGGCGAGCGAGGCUUCGAGCGCAGCUUUCUUGUAUUGCAUGCGCUCCUUUUAUUUGUUUUGGUCCUGAAUUGUAGGGCAGUCCCUAGGUUGUGGUUACACGCUUUGCGUGAUAUUGUAAAACCUUCGGGUUCCCAUGUUUGCAUGUUUUCCGUGAUAUUGUAAAGCCUUUGGCUUAUGUUUUCAUCUUAAUGAGAAGCUCAAAUUCGGUUUGUGAAUCCAGUGCCCAUCGCACCGUUGAGGCGGAUUGCUGUUGGGACUAGAGAUAUAUUUUCCCUUUCAUUCGCCGUGUUGUGUAGGGAAAUCGAGUUGGAUUGGGCAGGCUAGCCCCCGAGUGGGUAUCGGCACCCAGAUCUUGAUUGGACACUUGGCCGAGGCUGCAUGGGUACGUCAAAUGUAUACCAACGCCCAACUUCCAAGGAGAUGGCUGGCGUGGUAUGCAGGGGCGUGCCGAGUUCGCGCGGGGCGUCCAAUUUCCGAGGACUCACCCUUAGUCAAUAUUCUAUUGGGUUCGUGUGAGUGGACCCAGUGGGUCUAGCCCUUGAUCCUGCGGCCCACUGGAGAGUCAAUCUGAGGCUAGAGACUUGGGAGUCUUUUUGACUUGAGGCGAGUCGAGUGGAUGCUGGUUCCUGUUAGGGUGUUUGCCUAUUUUCAUUUCAGCUACGACUCGUGUCGUUGGCCGUGUCCCUAAGUUAAGGUUGGCAGCCUGAGCCCUCGAGCCCCAUUAGACUCGGUUGGCAUCGAUCAGAUUUCAUGCGUCACCCCAUCCUUGGUCUCCCUGACCGGAGGGGCUAAGCUAACGUCGCUUGCCUCAAUGGCUCGAGUGACGUGCUCGGUGAGCUUGCUAACAGGCCUGUUCAAGUGGAAUCUGAGUCCAUCGUUCAUAAUGGGGUCGGCAUAGCCUGCAUGGGGCAUUCCAUUGCUCCUCAACCCGCCUCCUGGCAGAUGCUCGAGUCAUUCUAGAGACUGACUCAGGUGGCCCAUUGGCCUCCCAUCAAUGGAGAUUCUGUGGUUAUUGUUGGUGUUUUAGACCGGCAACCCACCUAUAGGGUUCCCUAGGUGGUCUUUUAUGUGGUAAGGGUCGUCCAGAAUCAAGGAAUCAAUGGUGACGCAAGGAACACGAUUUAGACAGGUUCGGGCCGCUAGAUCGCGUAAUACCCAACGUCCUGUGUGUUGGCUUGUAUUGAGUUAUGUUGAGAUGUAUUCAGAUGUCUAUGUCCCUGAGGGGGGGUCCCUGCCCGGCCUUAUAUACACAGGAGGGCAGGGUUACAAGUCUGAGUCCUAGUCGGGUACUAUUACAGAGUUCUACUCGGUAAUGGCCCGAGUAGUUUUCCAUAAACAUACAAGACUAGUCCGAGUAGGAUACGCCCAUCCUUGUUCUGAUCUUGUCCGAGUACGUCCCUUGGUGGGCCGUCCAAGGCCUACUCAUGGACCUGGGGUGUAUGCCCGACAAGCCCCCGAGUACUUUGUAGUCGUGCGUCACAGUCGGGCACUGCGGUGUGGCGGAUCCACUUCGGAUUAGCUUGAUUAAGCAGGGUUAAGCCGCCUAACAUGCGACACUCCUGCCUAAACCAAGUUAACACGAAGUGCCGUCGGAUUUCAUCCGAUUUAACCACUUAAACAGGAUCGAGUUUAGCAAACCCACACGAAGGUGAGUGAUUACAGAGAAUACAACGAGUCCAAAGAGUUAGACAGAAUCACCGAUUUAGUUCGACCAUAAAGUCCAACAUCAGGGUUUUACAAGGUUCAAAAGAAACAACAGAGAAAACACUAGCGGAAGACUUCGUCGGGGUCGGACAUCCCUGGUGAGGCCAACCGGGACAUCACUGGUUCCUUUCCUCGCCGUCCGAGGAAGGAUCCCACUCGACCGUCCAGCCUGGCGGAAGCUGGGGCGGCCAAGCACCAACCAGAGAGGGGUCGGAAGCAGCAACUUCACCUGAAAAACAGGAGCCACAACAAGGCUGCGCUACUAAGCUCAACAAGACUUAUCCGAUAGGAGUAACAACUACUCCUCCUUCUAGACAUGCAGGGUUGUUUGGCUGAGGGGUUUGUUUGCCAAAAGCGCUAAGUAAAAACCCUAUUUCCAAGUUUUAGCUCAGGUUCUAAGUUCAAUUACCAGUCUAGGUUGUGCAAGCUAUUCUAAGCAAUCAUAGAACCAAACAAGAUGUAUAGAUAUAUCAACAAACAUGUCAUCCUUAGAUUCCUUAUUUACUCAGGGUGACAUAGCGAUCAAGCAAUCUCAAGCUGUGAGAGGUAGACGAAUCGAUUCGAGUUCUUUAACCAUGCAUGGUGAACCUAGCCUCACGACAUCCGCGCACCCGGAGGUCGCUUCCUGUGUCGGCCUUCCCCAUCAAUCCCCUAACCCGUGUCGGGCCCAUUUCCUUUGGUGCAAGGUUCCACAGACCCGGCCUCUGCCGUUCGGUGACCACACUUGCCACCACAUGCGACAACCAGCAGGGGAAACUCCAUUCCAAGAACAAUGGGGCGACCGCUCACGUCUAGGUUCAAUCCGGUACUAGGCUUCCUCAUCCCAUACUAAGUAUGAGGCUAGUACUUUCAAACACUUGAUCACGAACACCACCACUGUCGGGCCUUAGCAAGAUUUCAUAGACAGACGGGGCGACCAUCCGUCCACCAAAGAGUUACCAAAACCCUGCCCCGUCCAUCGUCCUUAUAGUUGUAACCGAAAGAUAGACAUCCAACUCCUACAACUCACGAGUGACAGGAGAUCACUCGACUUUUACCGUCUCCUAGUUAAGCAAGGCGACUACACGGUCCAACAGCUAGUGCUCAGAUCAUGGGGAUAACUAAGUCAUGCACCUAGGGUUUCACACAACUCCUAUACGUAAAUGCACAAGCAUGUUACAGAAGGCAUGCGCAAGUCUGGUAAAACACAUAGGGUUUCCAUGCAACCGGGGCUUGCCUUCAAGCAAGGAGGAAGGAAACUGCUCAACUUCGGGGGCGACUUCGGCUUCUGCGGGCAGGAGCUCGGCUACAACUUCUUCUUCGGGCGCCGGGUGUAGCUCGUAGAAGCCGUCGGCGAGGUGCAGCUCUACACGAAUGCAAUGCAAAAGUUAGCAUAGACGGUUAUUUCAACAGCAACACUGGCUCGCCUGAGCCCAGAAACUCGCGACAAAGAGCAGGAAGGUAUGGAGGUUCAAGAGAGCUAGAUGCUGGUCAAGAGGCAAGGGUUGGAAAGGAACUUAUGAUCUGAUCUUUAACUAGAGGGGGUGAUAUACUAGGGGUCCUCAGACUCAAGCGCUGAAGAGUUCCCAAGUUUUACACAUACACCCUCGGGUUGAAGAAAAGAUCACAGCCGAACCCUCGGGCGAGGCGGACUGGGGUCGGCAGAAUAAACAGGAUCGGGCGAGACGGAACCGGGGUCGGGCGGAUAGGAGGGGUCGGGCGAGGCGGACUGGGGUCGGCAACUCACCUUCUUCCUGGAAGGAAAGCUUGGGGUCGGGAAGAAGCAGACUUGGCCGGAGGGACUAAGGCUUUGAACAAAGGCUAAGAUCGGCAGUGCUCCGGCGGCGGCGGUGCUUCUUGCAGAUCACAAGUAAGCUUUUACGCAGCACGGAGGGGCAAGCUGCUGGGUGACUUGGAGAAAUUGAGAGAGAGUCUGAGAGAAGAACUCCUCCAGAACUUGGUGGGUGGCGCUAGGAGCUUGAGCAGGGAGCGAGAGAAUGGCUAAGGCAACAAUGGCGGAGGGGACUCCGGCGAUGGGGGCAUUCCUUUUAUAGCUGCUGGAACAGAGGAAAGGAAGCGGCGUGGGAGAGAGAGAAAAGGGGAGCGGCGCGAAGGCCGGGAAGAGGCAAUGGAGUGCUCUGCUGGGGCGGCGAUUGAGCGAAGAGGGUAGUGCUACAGAACUCCGGGGUGACGCCAGCGAUCAUUGCGCUCUGCCGUCAGGGCGGCGUAGAAGCGGGUAGACCAGUGGUUGAGAUUUGGCGGAAAGCGGGCGUCGUCGUGCGGAAGAUUUGAUAGAAGCGACCGGUUUAACGGCGCUAGAAUCGAGGGCGCACAGGUGAGAGGACAGGCAGCUGCGGGCGCGGGCGAGAGCGCGGAACAACAGAUUGUCGGGCGGCUUCUGACAGGGUGGGGAAAAGGAGCUGUCGCGGCCGCGGUCGGGGUUGGCGGUGGAGGAAUCGUCGGGUAGCGGGGACCGGGCGGCGCGACGGUGGUCGAAGUGACGGAAAAGACGGGCGACAUCGGGCUCUAGGGCCGGGAUCUGGCGGCGUGAUGAUGGGCGCGGGAGGCGAGGUUCUGCGGAAAGGGUGCAGAGGAGCUUCCGCUGCCAUUGGGGAAAAGGGCGCGAGAACCCACUUGGUCGCUUGCCAGAGACAAAACUGAGCGGAGGGCGUCGGAGAAGACGAGCCACGCGGCAGGAAGACUCUGAAGCGGGCAUGCAACUCGAGUGCGGCUGUCGCGGAGGAUCUAGGAAAAAGAUCUUGCGGGUCCACCAGUGGAUAGAACGGACGUUUGAGGAAGAUUUAGAAGGAUCCGACGGUGGCUAAGCUUGCCGGGGUCGGGAGAGGAGUGAAGCGGAGAGGGGUCGGGUCUCCGGGGUCAGAACCAAGCGGAAGGCUGAGCACUCGGCGCGGUAAAACAAGACAGAUGACUAAGGUCAAGGGCUCUUGAUCAAGACUAACUGGGAAGGUUUAGGGGUCGGUCGUUACAGCCUACCCCUCUUAAAAAGAAUCUCGCCCUGAGAUUCAAGGAUAAAAGGGGGUGUGCUGUUCUUACCUCCUUGAUGAGAUAGAAAACCGGGGAAGCGCUUGUUCAGAUACUCGUCCGUUUCCCAUGUUGCUUCGUCUUCGGUGUGGUUUCGCCAGAGGAUCUUGUACAUCCUUACCACUUGGCGUCAGGUGUGCCUUUCCUUCUGGUCAAGAACUCAAUCUGGGUACUCGGCGUAGGUCAGGUCGGGCUCUACUUGAAGCUGUUCUUGCUCUAAGAUCUCUGCUGGAACUUGGACACAAUUCUUCAGUUGAGACACAUGGAAAACAUCGUGUAUGGCCGAUAGCUGUUCUGGGAGUUGGAUCCGAUAAGCAACGGGUCCACAUAUCUCCACAAUCUCAUAAGGGCCAAUAUAGCGGGGAGCUAACUUGCCUUUUAUUCCAAACCGUUGCACUCCUUUGGUCGGGGAGACUCGAAGGUACACAUGAUCACCAAGGUCAAACUGCAGGGGUCUUCUCCGCCGGUCGGAGUAACUCUUCUGUCGAGAUUGGGCAGCCUUGAGAUUAGCUUGAAUUAACUUUACUUGUUCUUCAGCUUCUGCCACCAAGUCAGGGCCAUAGACCUGUCUUUCUCCUGGUUGGGACCAGUUCAAGGGUGUCCUGCAUCUCCGGCCAUAUAGGGCUUCGAACGGUGCCAUCUUCAAACUGGCCUGGUAGCUGUUAUUGUAGGAGAAUUCUGCUAAGGGCAGGCACUUGUCCUAAUUCUUAUCAUAGUGGAUAACACAAGCUCUUAACAUGUCUUCAAGAAUCUGGUUGACUCGCUCGGUUUGGCCAUCGGUUUGAGGAUGAUAGGUUGAGCUUCGGAUGAGCUUGGUGCCCAUGGAUGCUUGUAGUUGCUCCCAAAAGCGUGCCGCAAACUGAACUCCUCGAUCAGAGAUAAUAGUCUUGGGUAUCCCAUGCAGGGAAACUAUGCGGUCGAGGUAUAACUCUGCAUACUGCUUGACGGUGUAGGUGGUACGAACAGGAAGGAAGUGGGCGGUCUUGGUCAGACGGUCCACUAUAACCCAGAUGGAAUCAUAUCGUUGCGAUGUAAGGGGCAAUCCAACUAUGAAAUCCAUGCUGAUGUCUUCCCAUUUUCAAGAGGGAAUAGGUAGCGGCUGCAGGGUACCUGCUACCUUUAAAUGACUGGCUUUGACACGUUGACAUGUGUCACAUUCUGAAACAUACCGAGCUAUCUCCGGCUUCAUUCCAUUCCACCAAAAGGUUUUUCGGAGAUCAUGGUACAUCUUAGUGCUGCCAGGGUGGAUUGAGAACUUGGAGAGAUGAGCUUCAUCUAGGAUUUGCUUUCUUAGCUCAGGGUCGGCGGGUACUACUAGCCGGUUUCCAUAAUACACACCUCCCGUUUGGUCCUGCCGAAAUUGCUUAUAUCCCUCAUCCCUUACUGAGAUCUUACUGAUGAUCCGUUGUAUCUCCUUAUCUUUUACCUGUGCUGAUCGAAUUUGGUUUUCCAAAACUGAGUCAAGGAUGAUGUGACCAAGGGUUCCAUGAGGAAUAAUCUCCAGACUUAGUUUUCCCAUCUCGUGACACAGAGUCUUGGUGGAAGCUGUUGAUAACAAGCAGUUGCAAUGGUGCUUGCGACUAAGGGCAUCGGCUACCACAUUGGCCUUGCCGGGAUGAUAGUGCACUUCCAAUUCAUAAUCCUUUAUCAACUCCAGCCAUCUUCUCUGGCGCAUGUUGAGGUCGGCUUGAGUGAAAAUGUACUUGAGGCUCUUGUGGUCGGUGUAGAUGUUGCAGUGAGCUCCCAUUAGGUAGUGCCUCCAUAUCUUCAAGGCAUGUACCACUGCUGCCAACUCAAGGUCAUGGGUUGGGUAGCUUAGCUCAUGAGGUCGUAACGCCCGUGAGGCAUAGGCAAUGACUUGAUUGUCUUGCAUAAGAACACAUCCGAGUCCAGUGCCAGAGGCGUCACAGUAUACGUCAUACGGCCUAGAGGGGUCGGGCUGAGCCAAAACUGGGGCUGUGGUCAGCAAGUGCUUCAGGGUCUUGAAGGCCUCUUCACACCUGUUGUCCCACACAAAUUUGACCUCUUUCUUCAACAACUCGGUCAUCGGCUUAGCUAUCUUAGAGAAAUCUGGUAUGAAGCGCCGAUAGUAGCCAGCCAGUCCAAGGAAACUUCUGAUCUGGUGCACUGAGGCAGGAGGCUUCCAUUCCAUGACUUCCUGCACCUUACUGGGGUCAACGGCUAUACCAUCCUUGGAGAUAGUGUGUCCCAAGAACUUGACACUAUCUAGCCAGAACUCAGACUUGGAGAACUUGGCGUAGAGUUGGUGAUCUCUUAGCCGUUGGAGAACUAUAUGAAGAUGGUCGGCAUGCUCUUCUUCACUCUUCGAGUACACUAGAAUAUCAUCAAUGAACACCACUACAAACUUGUCCAGCUCGGGCAUAAACACCGAGUUCAUGAGGUACAUGAAAUAGGCGGGUGCAUUGGUGAGUCCAAAGGACAUGACUAGGUACUCGUACAGUCCAUAUCUGGUAGAGAAAGCUAUCUUGGGUAUGUCGCAGGGUCGAAUCUUGAUUUGGUGAUAACCAGAACGAAGAUCGAUCUUGGAGAACACCUUGGCUCCGGCUAACUGAUCAAACAAGAUAUCAAUGCGUGGCAGGGGGUACUUGUUCUUGACGGUCACAGCAUUGAGGGGUCGGUAAUCCACACACAUACGUAGACUGCCAUCCUUCUUCUUCACAAACAAGGCAGGGCAACCCCAAGAUGAUGUACUGGGUCGGAUGAAGCCUUUCUCCAAAAGAUUAUGCAGCUGGGUCUUCAACUCGGCUAACUCAGCGGGUGGCAUCCGAUAGGGUCUCUUAGAUAUUGGGGCUGUGUCAGAAAUCAACUCUAUGGAAAACUCCACUUCUCUAUCAGGUGGCAUACCUGGCAAGUCUUCCGGAAACACGUCAGGGUACGCACAGAUAACAGGGAGGUCUUCUAGACGGGCUCCCGAUAGAGGGUAGGCACAAGGAAACGCAGACUCAGGAUGGGUCAAGAAUAGGGUGGAACUGCCAUGUGAGGGUGAGCUGAUGCAGAGGGACUGGGCUGAUGUAUCAAGAACCACAUGAUGUCGGGCCAUCCAAUCCAUACCAAGGAUGACAUCUAUGCCUUCUAGGUCAAGGAUGAUAAGGUUUUCCCUGAAGAGGGUGGGGCCUAGCUGGAGAGAUACAAAAAUAACAAUCUGAUCCGAUGUUAUCCUUCCUCCAGGAGUGGCGAUCACAUAUGGUUCCUUAGUGUGACCGACAUCCAGCCCACAUCUUUCCCUAGCCUUACUCCCGAUAAAGCUAUGAGAGGAUCCCGAAUCAAACAACACAACAACAGCUUGAUUUAAAACAAGGAAAGUACCCGUCAUUACUGGCGCACCUUCGGGGAGCUCGGUCAAGCUGGUGUAGUUGAGUCGGCCUUGUCGAACUUGCACCUUGGGCCUUCUUCCUCUGGCUGCCAUGGGGUUCUGACCUUGCUGUUGAUUCUUGUUCCUGGGGCAGUCCCUUGCAAAAUGUCCUUCGUUGCCGUAGGUAAAACAACGGUUACUGGCUGCCGGGCGGGGUGGUGUUGGUAGGGUCGGCCGGGGCACCUGCGGUUGGAAGCCUGGAAAAUGAGGCGCUGUUACUGGCGGAGGUCGGGCAAUCCACCUUCCUGACUGCUGGGGUCGGCCAGGGGCUUGUGGAGGAACCAUCCGGAACCUUCGAGUCGGCGGACUCGAGAAUGUCACAGAAGCUUUCCUCUUCUGAUCGGCCUUGAGAGCUUGCAUGCAAUCCUCUUGAGAGAUGGCCAGAUUGACCAACUCAUUGUAGGUGACCACCUUGAUGGGGUUUAACCUUUCCCUGAGCUCCAAGCUCAAUCCUCGGCGGAAUCUGUCCCGCUUCUUCUCGUCUGUGUCCCCAUGGUAGCCAGCAUAACGGCACAGGUCGUUGAAAGCUUGCGCGUAGUGCAGCACAUCUCGGGUUCCUUGGGUGAGGGCCAGAAACUCGUUGAGCUUGCGCUCCAAGAGACCUUCUGGAAUGUGAUGCGCCUUGAACGCCGUCUUGAACUCAUUCCAACUGACCACGUGGCCAGCCGGCAGCAUGGCAUGGUAGUGAUCCCACCAAAGCCGUGGGGAACCACGCAGCUGUUGGGCUGCAAACCGAGCCUUGUUGUUGUCGGGGCAUGGAGCGGUGAGAAGCUCAAACUUGGACUCGAUCGUAUGAACCCAGGCGUCAGCAUCGAGCGGUUCUUGUGUCUUCUGGAACAAAGGGGGCUGUGUCCCCAGAAAGUCCUCGUACCGAGCGAUAUGCGGCGGCUGUUGAGCUCUUCCACCAUGUGGCUGUUGCUGUUGCCCUUGUACCAGAUGCCUUAGCAGCUCAGUUUGAGUUGCUAGGAUUGCCUCCAGCGGCGAUGAGGGCGGGGGUGGGGGAAGAUCCUGUCGCUGAUCGCUACUGCCGGGCAGAGCACCAGACCUGGUGCGGUGCGCCAUCUGCAAGAGUUAACGUUCCAUCAAAUUCAUACCCUUAGAUGUACUCCAACAAUGGAUCGCAUAACUUAAACUCUCCAAUGCAACUCUUGCCAAUGGUGCAACACACGUCCUCAUAGGGAAAACACACUUUCUCAUUCUCAGAGUAGAUAGCAUGUAUCUUGACCCGGUACUCAACUUCAGGCAAAACAGGUCAUAUACAGACUCCUAUGAUCCAACUCAAGCCAAGGGGUCGGACCACGGUCCAAACUUAAAAAAGUCGGGCGGGGCGGAAACUGCCUCAAGGGUCGGCGCACUCUGCCUCGCAAACUGGGGUCGGCCAACUGAACAGGCUCCCCGAAAAACAGCAUAUGGUCAUGGCGCGACUUACUUAGCCUAGCAUCCACACCACACAAAGAUGAAAAAGCUAUGCACCAGAACUUACUUUAUAUACAACGGUAGGCUAACCUAUUACAACUUUUCCAAAAUCUAGGCUGCCGAGGAGUACAACAAAAGAAUGAUUCCCUGAGAACCCUCAGUCUACCAAUGGACACUAUGAGUAGGAGAAGGGGCGCCAUCUUCCUCGAUAUCCAUGCUGGACGCUCCUUCGUCUUCCUCAGGGUCCUCUGAGCUUCGAGCUGCAUGUUGAGGGCAUGCAUAUCAUCGAGCUCAGCUUGAUGCUCCUCCAAAUGGGCAUUGGCAACUGCCAACUCCAUUUCCAUCUCCAUCCUUUCCUCCGAGAGCUCUAUCAUGCCGUCCACGAGGUCGGCGACUUCUCCUUCAAGCUCGGAGAUCCGAUCUUGCAUGUCGUGGAUCUGGAUACCCCGUUGAAUCAGCUGGUAGGUUUGGCCUACCAUAUCUCUUCUUACUGCCUGGAGGUACCCGUGAACAUCUGCUGCUGUCCAGGCGAAGAGGGUCAUGGCUCUACCCUGAAGCUCUAUCAGCCGGUAGAGAGCUGCCAUACACCUGACGUUGGUGGAGAUGGUGACCAUGGCGCAGGUGGUGGCUAGCACUUCGAUGUUCCCGACGCGGUCAAGCCAUGCCGGGUCCAGCCGGUUCCUGACGGGAAAGAGGCCGAUCGGGUCGAGCGUGAUCUCCACGGGAUGCAGCUGACAGAACUGGGUGAGCAACUGAAGGGCGGCGGAUUCCCAUGUAUCUUCAGGACCAAGGCCAUAGGCUAUGAUGCCAAAAGAGGGCCAGUCGGGACGUACAGGGGGAGGAGGUACCAACACCUGCACUUGACACGUCUGGAUGCCCUGCUCCAGAUAUAACCGUCCAGCAUACAAGGGCGGGGACUGGUACCCAAACCACUUCAGCGUAUCCCACAGAAUCGCGGGAAAUCCCUCGAAAUGCAGGCACGUCGACUGGAAGGUACCGUCCGUUCCAAAAAGAACAUGUCCGGGAACAGCCAUUUGGAACCAAGAAACCGAAAACCACGUGAGAUGGACUCCAAGAAUCAGGGGUCGGAUAGAGAAGCAUACUGUUUUGGCCGAGAGCAACUAAAAGAAACUAGAAAUCCUUAGAUCCCAAAGAACUCUUCUGAACAUGGUUGCUGUUGAGAAAGGAAACUGUACAACUCUUCUGGUUAUGACGCAUGCACGGCCUACCUUAAACAUAACCAAAACAACUGCCCGAACUCGGGUCUUACGCGGUCAGUGCCGGUGACAAGGCAACAAUUACGUCUCUCCCUAUAAUAACUAGUCGGUUCUACAACGCCUCCUAAACGAACGCGGUUAGCGUACCUGCAGAAAAACACCAACACACGAACCUUUCGUGCCAGCACCCACGAAAGCGUUCCCAAACAUUACCGCUCACUAUAGGAACGGCACCCAUGCGUUUAAGGCUGCAUGGACAGCACUCAACCGUGAAAAUAGGUUCCCUUUGAAUGGAACCAUAUAACCCUUCGCAUACUCGUGAUGCGGAAAUCGGCACACGUAUGACAAACGNNNNNNNNNNNNNNNNNNNNNNNNNNNNNNNNNNNNNNNNNNNNNNNNNNNNNNNNNNNNNNNNNNNNNNNNNNNNNNNNNNNNNNNNNNNNNNNNNNNNUCAAGCUAAUCCGAAGUGGAUCCGCCACAUGCGGGCACUAUCCGAGUAGCUUAGUCGUAAAGGUUGUAGACCGAAGUGCGAGUACUGUCGCGUGGCUGAAAGGUACUCUUUUUGCUCCCUCGAGUCGUUUCUGUCCCGAGUAAUUUUAUAUGGUAGUGCAAUGUCAAUCGCACUCCAUAUGGAGUAGCCCCCGAGCCUUAGGUUGAGUCGAAGAGUCAGGCUUAGGGUCAAACCAGCUUUUGUCCACUUUACCCUUGAUCUUGGGAAAAGAAAAAACUGACCAACGGGUACGGUACCCGCAGCCCCUGAGCACUUAGGCGAUCUUUGUCGUUGAAGUGGUCAGCAGUCCGUUGAAUAGAGUAGCCGUUGGGUGUUUAAGGCGGUUAAUACGCAAUUAAUCUGUCCGUUGCGCAACCGACGCGUGGAAACCGGGGAUGGCAGAGAUAAAACUAGAAGGCCCCUUUUCGGUUGUUGUUACGCCGUACGGUAAUCAGAUCUCGUUUUCUUCCUCCUCUGCGCCUCCGCUCUGCGUUUCGCCGCCACUAGUGCCGCCGCCGCCGCUAUUGCCACCUUUUUGAAAAAGAUCCGAGUGUGAGCUCCUUCUAGCUUGAGGUUGAGUCCGUCGAAUGCGCACCAAGAAGAUGGGCAAGAAACCUGAGAAGAUCCAGGGCAAGGCUUCGGCGACGGGCAAGGUGAAAUCUAAGAAAGGGAAGGAGCUGGUGCUGCCAGCGCCGAAGGUGGGGCCGACGAACCAAACUGCGCCGCCGCCGCCUGGGGCAACCUGGCAACACUCGGUGAUGAAGGAGGAAGCGGUCCAAGCGCUAGUCGAUGCAAAGCUCCUUCAGCCGAAGGAGAUUCUUGAGUGGCGCCCCACGUUUCCCAAUGCGUGGCAGUUUGAGGAACAUCCAGGUGAGACAGUGAUGCUCGCUCAUUUUGUGGAAAGGGGGUUGGCGGUGCCCACCUCCGACUUCUUCAGAGGUAUUCUCGAGUACUAUAAGCUUCAGCUCGUGCAUUUGAACCCCAAUGGUAUACUGCACAUGUCUAUUUUUGUACACCUUUGCGAAGUUUAUCUGGGAGUUCCUCCAAGCCUCGAGUUGUUUAGGAAGCUGUUCCGUUGCAAGCCUCAGCCGAGUGCCCAACGGACGAAGUCUUUGGAGGCGCCGGGUUCCAACUCAGGAACUCAGGCGCGUAUAUUGAGUAUAACCUGACCGACUCCCACAGGGAGUGGAAGAAAAGGUGGUUCUACAUCGGGAACCAUGAACCUCGCUUGCCUGUAGUGACUGGUCAUGCGUCCAAGCAUGCGGAAAACUAGGUGAGCAAGCCCGAGGACACCCCUGAGCUCGAUCAUCUGAUGCAGCAGAUCACCGAGUUGAAGGCACUCGGUUUGACAGGAAUCAACGUGGCGGCUAGCUUCCUGAAGAGAAGGGUCCAGCCACUUCAACAACGUGCUCACUCGGGAAGUGAGUACGUGGGUCUGAAGGAUCCAUCGUGUAUGUCCGAUGAAGACAAAUCCGAUGAUGAUGUAGAGGCGCUGCUGGCUAAGUUUUUUAGGAAUUAUCAGGGAGUACCAGUAAUCCCUGCAGCCCUUCGUCAGUAUGAUGCCUGGUAUGAGCCAGAAGUGGUAUGUCUUUUGCUCCUGACUUGUUCUCUUUUGACUUAUGUGAUAUUUGUUGCUGAUGCCGUCUUGUUGUUUGUAGUCUCGAGUUCUUGCCGGCUACUUGGCAUAGUCGGAAGAAGAGUCGGAAGCUGUUGUCGAGGAAUUGGAGGACGAGCCUUCUCCUCCUGUUAAGAGACGCAGAGUAGUCCGCAAGAUGUCUGCGGCUAAGUCUGCUUCAACCCCUGAGAAGUCUCGGGGUACCAAGGUAUGUAGUCGUGAACUUGUCUGUUACUGAUGGAUUUGAAUUCAUUAUUGAUGUGGCAAAUUUUGUUUUUGUUCGUAAAGGCUGUAGAUACGGCGCUUGGUGAAGAUGAGGCUAUUUCUGAAGAAAUGGCCGCGACCGACCUAGAAGGCGGUAAUGUGUCUGUUGACAUGGUGCCGGUGGAGGCGCCAUCAACAGAAACUGGAGUAGCCCCCGAGCUAUCCGCGCCUACUCCUUCGGCUGCCAUGCCGCCCAUUGCUGACCAAGCGGUCUUGGGGCUGCCUGCUGAAGUAGCGGGCGUUGCAAAGGAGGUGUCGCCAGUACUUGCUACUGGUACUUUGCUGUCCAAUGUGAUCGCCAGUGGUAAGCAUUGUCCCUUCCGAUUGUAUUUGUUUGAGUAGUACUGUAGUCUUGACUUUGGUUUUGUAGGCCUUGGCGAGAAGACAGUACCGGUGGCUGUUCCCGCGGCGCCUAGUACUCGACCGCCUAUCGCCGAGAAGAAGCGUGUGUGACUGCCGCCACGUUUAACCCGGUGAGCUUUCUUGUCUGUUUGAAUGACUUUGGGUUGUCUUGAAAUCAUGUAGUGAUGCUUUUUGGUGCAGAGAUGCAGAUGAAACUAUCCCUGUAGAGACAGGGGUAGUGCCGGAUCCCUCGACUACAAUAUCUAUCCCUCUGGAGGACUUGACUGUUGAAGAGGUACCCGAGGUUGACUCCAGUCAUCUUGGAGCUACUAUGUCGAUGCUUCAAGACGUAAUUCGUUCGGUGGAGGUUCCCACCGCUGCAUCGGGCUCGGGAAGUGCUGCCCUAUCAUCAUCUUCUGGCGGAUCGCUGGCCGUAGUUGAAAAAGCCAAACAAGCGACUGCUCUAGGUAUGUCUCUGUAGUCUUUUUAUUGUAGUCGCAGCCGGUAGCUGACAUGAUAAAUGUUGUAGGUGCUACUCUGGGUACGAUUCCUCAUCUUGUGGAGAGUACCCAAAGACCAGUACUUAGCCUGCCCUCUAACUUGGAGUUCCAGAAGGCCAUCGAUGAAUUCCGGGGCUUCUAGGUAGAUUUCCUUGUUGAGUUUGUUGCAUGACCUGAGUAGUUGUGAGGCUCACCACACCAUACUUGGAUUUUUUCAGGAACGAAGUCAUCAACUGGAGCAGGAAUGUGCCCGACUAACAGAAGCUCUGCGGGUUCAUGAAGUCGGGGUGAAAUCCUUUGCCGUGGAACACGCGGAUCACGCGGUUCUGCAGGAAAAACUAGAGAGCCGCUACAAGUCCUUGAACAAGAAGUAUCAAGGUAAGCAUUUCGACUACUCUGGGUGUGUCCAACUGUAGUUGGCUGUGGCCUGAGUUCUUUGUUUUGUAGAGCUCAAGAGGUAGGAAAUGGCUGCAAGGAACCAAGUCAUCGACUGGAGAAAUGCUCAUGACCGAGUGGUAGAUGAAGCCGAACAUCUUCGGGCCGCGCUAACGGAAGCACAGGCUGCUUGCGAGCAUCAGCGGGACCGAGAGAUGCAGAAUGGCGUGAUGCUUGCCAUGGCCAUGGUGGCAUGCAGAGAUCAUGCCCAAACCCUGGGAAGACUUUGGGGCGAACUCCAAGAGCUGUCUAGAGCGGCCGAAGACUUGGUGAACACCAUAGCCCCCGUGGAGGAAGGCGCAGGGCCGCAAUCAUUAGUCGAGCGACUAAGAGCUGCCCCGAGUAAAGUGGCGGGACUUUGCAAGACUAUUUGCAAGCAGGUUCUUGCAGUUGUGAAGUCCUACUACCCGAGGGCAGACUUGGCGGCAGCUGGUGAUGGCGUGGCUCGCAACUGCAUAGAGGAAGCAUAUGCGCAGUACCUCGAGGAGGCGGAGCCUAUUGCACCCAAGAUGUCGGAAUUUGUCUCCUUAGAAGAGCUUUGAGCUUUUGUAUGUACUUUUGUAUUUGUCUCGAGUACUUUGAUACUUUUGAAUGUCAAGCCUUUGGAUUUGUUGUUUGAAGUUUGUUGUCUUGCGAAGAGUAGUUUUACUCCCUUUUGUCCAAACCAAAGUGCUGAAGUCGGCUGGGCCUGACCCUCUAGGGGAGAAGCUUCGUCUCGCCCGACCUUGAGUCUUGGGGUCGGCUGAGCUUGACCCUUUCGAGGGUAAAAACUCCGCAUCGCCUGACCCUGGGUCCUGGGGUCGGAGUAAUCCAAGCCCCCGAGAUGUAGGCCAUGCUUGGCUUGUAGUAGUCCCGAGUGUCGAGUAGUCGAAUGUUGUCGAGUACUCAUCAUUUGAGGGACACGGGUGUACUGUACUCCUUUGUCCUUUGUGGAUGCACGGGUGUACUGCACUCUUUUGUCCGUUGUGGCAUAAGUGAUGUCACGUGGGAGUUGUCAGACUCAUUGAUCACGGGUGCAUAGUAACUCUUGGGUAGGUGGUAGUUGUAGCUUUCGGCUAUAAAUAGGGCCAUCUGGUGAGCGAACCAACUCAAGUUCCUGAGUAGCGAUGAAUUGCCUUCGGUUGCUUCUGUUUGAGUGUAGAGAGCCAUCAAAGAGUGCACCGGUGCUAGAAGAUUCCUCGUAGAUUGAAGCUACCUUCCCUCCACAGACUCCUGCGCUCGUAGGGAUAGCCGCGAUGCUAGAAGAAUCCUUGUAGGAGGUUUCGUCGCACGCCUCAUCUUGCAGCUCAUGAUCCAGUGGGGUACGCGCUGGAACUCGCGAGUGAUGGGUGAUGAGUGCCGCGGUCUUUAUCCUGCUCUGAGAGGGGUGGAGGUGUGACCGUAGAGUAGAUGGGCUCCGCAAGGCUAGCAAAAGAGCAGCCUUGGUUCCCUCUAGGCGCGUCAUGCCGGUUUUGUCAUUGCCGUUGUCAAGGCAGUGGCGAUGCUGGAGUUCCUAGCAUUGCCUUGGGUAGGGUACCUGGGCAUGGCUGCGUUUUGCGCAGGUUCCUUGCGUGUGGGCCCUUCCUCUUGUGGUCGGCAGACCUGAGUGACCUUGUGAUAUAGUAAAAGCCUGAGGCUUAAAUGCAGCCCGACAGUAGGCAGUUGCUUGUAGUCUUUGUGGAUUCUAAGUACUUGUACUCGUAUGUAACCUGAUGUAUCCUUGUUUCAGUAAAGAAAUAUUGAUACGGAGAUUUUGUACCAGGGCAAUGAUCCUUGUUGAGCUAAAAACCCUUGUCGAAGCUGAGGUAUCUUGAAGUCUUUAGUCGGGCAAUUGGCCUGAGUAAUUAUCAUGGGUUAUUGCCUUGAAGCGAUUACUCGGGUGCUGCUAUGGGUAAUAGCGACAGAGAUGUUCUAUAUUCCAGGAGUUUGGCACUUGUUCUCCUAAGAGCUCUUGGAGUCUGUAAGAUCCGGGUCCCGUAACCUUUGAUACGAUGUAAGGACCUUCCCACGGUGAAUUGAGUUUAUGCAAUCCUGACGUGUCUUGGAUACGCUUAAGGACCAUAUCGCCCAAGUUGAAAGAUCUUUCCUUGACAUUGCGGUCGUGAUAACGUCUUAAACCGUCAAGGUAUCUAGCAGAUUGCACUAGUGCUGCGCAUCUUGUUUCUUCUAGACUGUCUAUAUCUGUUCGCCGUGUUUCUGUUGCAAGUUCUUCGUCGUAUUGUUCAACGGAUGGUGAUUGCCACAUGAUGUCAGCGGGAAGUAUGGCUUCCGAGCCAUAUACAAGAAAAUAGGGUGAUAGCCCCGUAGUCUUGCACGGUUGGGUACGUAGGCCCCACAAGGCAUUGGGUAACUCUUUGAGCCAUCUGCCACCUUUGGUGUUGCCAACGUCAUGUAGUCGUUUCUUCAGAGCGUCGAGUAUCAUGCCAUUAGCACGCUCGACUUGUCCGUUGGCUCGCGGGUGAGCAACCGAGACAUAGCGGACGUCGAUGCCGCUGUUCUCGCAAUAUUCCCAAAAGUCGUGAUUAUUGAAGUUUGACCCUAGGUCUGUGAUAAUCCUGUUGGGAAAACUGUAGCGGUGCACGAUUUCAUCCAGGAAGUCGAGGACCCGGUCUGCCUUGGGGCAAGUGACCGGUUUGACCUCGAUCCAUUUGGUGAAUUUGUCGAUUGCCACGAGUACUCUAUUGAAUCCUCCUGGCGCAGUUGGUAACGGACCUAUCAUGUUGAGCCCCCAGCAGGGAAACGGCCAUGUUGGAGGUAUUGUGACUAGCUUGUAGGCCGGUACAUGUUGUUGUUUUGUGAAGAAUUGACAACCUUUGCAUUUCUGAACUAGUUGUUUGGCGUUGGCCAGAGCCAUUGGCCAGUAGAAGCCUGCUCUGAAAGCCUUGCCAACUAGUGUCCUCGAAGAGGCGUGGUUGCCGCAGAUUCCUCUGUGGAUCUCUUCUAGGAUUUCUUGGCCAUCUUCUCUGGUGACGCACUUCAUGAGUACUUCAGAUGAUGCACCUUUCCUGUAGAGCUUGUCUCCGACUAGAACGUAAUUCUUUACUCGCAGGGAGAUUUGCUCAGCUUUAUUCUUGUCGUUUGGUAACUGGUGAUCUUUGAUGUAGUCGAUGAAGGGUGUCCUCCAGUCGACUUCUAUCAUCAUGAUUUCUCGAGAGACAUCAGCAGCCGGGACUACUGGCGGGGUGAUUUGUUCAGGUAUGGACGGCUUGCGCAGUUCAUGUACGAAAAUUCCUGCUGGAACUUCUACACGGGUUGAGCCCAUUUUGGAUAAAACGUCAGUGGCAACGUUGUUGUCGCGGACGAUGUGAUGAAACUCCAAGCCUGAGAACUUGUUUUCCAGUUUACGGACUUCUUUGCAAUAAGCGUCCAUGUUGUCCUUGUUCCGGUCCCACUCGUCAUUGACCUGGUUUAUGACGACUAGAGAGUCGCCGUACACCAGUAGUCGUUUGAUGCUGAGGGAGAUUGCGAGGUGAAGGCCGUGUAGCAGUGCUUCGUACUCGGCUUCAUUAUUAGAUGCUUCCCAGAAUAUCUGCAGCACGUACUUGAGUUGGUCUCUCUUGGGGGAGAUGAGUAAGACGCCUGCGCCGGCUCCUUCAAGUUUGAGGGAUCCGUCGAAGUACAUUACCCAAUGUUCUGGUCGUUCGACUGGUGUUAGAACUUGAUUUUUAGUCCACUCAGCUAUGAAGUCGACCAAAGCCUGAGACUUGAUGGCUGUCCUUGGCUUGAAGUUCAAAGUGAGAGCUCCGAGUUCAACUGCCCAUUUGGAGAUUCUACCCGUGGCAUCUCUGUUGUGGAGAAUUUCGUCGAGCGGGAAAUCGGAGAUGACUGUGAUGUUGUGCUCUUGGAAGUAAUGGCGCAGCUUCCGGGAGGUGAGCAAAAUAGCGUAUAAGAGCUUUUGUAUCGGUGAAUACCAAGUUUUGGAGUCCGAGAGUACUUCGCUGACAAAGUAGACAGGUCGUUGGACCUUGUAAGCGUGGCCGGGUUCAGACCGUUCAACUACUUUUGACGUGCUGACGACAUGAGUAGUAGCGGAGAUGUAUAGAAGCAAGUCUUUGUUUGGAGAGGGAGCGGUGAGUACAGGAGGCUUUGACAAAAAGUCUUUGAGUUGUGUUAGUGCCUCGUCUGCCUCUUCCGUCCAUUUGAACUUGUCCUGGCAUUUGAGAAGCUUGAAGAAGGGUAGUCCCCGUUCUCCAAGUCUCGAGAUGAACCGGUUGAGAGCGGCCAUGCAGCCUGUGAGUUUCUGCACAUCUUUAAUGCUGGCUGGUGCCUGCAUGUUUGUGAUGGCAGAUAUUUUUUCCGGGUUGGCCUCAAUGCCGCGAUGGCUAAUGAUGAACCCAAGUAGUUUACCGGAAGGUACUCCAAAGACGCACUUAGUAGGAUUGAGUUUCCAUCGAAAAGCGCGGAGACUAGAGAAAGUUUCCUCCAAGUCGGCAAUGAGUUCCUCCCGGUUUCUUGUUUUGACGACGACGUCGUCGACAUAAGCUUCGAUAUUGCGGUGAAGUUGCCUUUCAAAGCACAUCUGUAUGGCCCUUUGAUAAGUUGCUCCUACAUUUUUUAGUUCGAAGGACAUUGUUUUGUAGCAGAAAGCUCUGAAGGGCGUGAUGAACGUUGUUUUGGCUUGAUCCUCUUCUUUGAGGCUUAUCUGAUGAUAGCCGGAGUAGCAGUCGAGGCAGCAUAGCAGAGCGCACCAAGCGGUGGAGUCAACCACCUGAUCGAUCCUGGGUAGCCCGAAAGGGUCUUUUGGGCAGUGUUUGUUGAGGUCAGUGUAGUCAACACACAUUCUCCAUUCGUUGUUUUUCUUGCGAACAAGCACAGGAUUGGCGAGCCAGUCAGGAUGAAAAACUUCUUUGAUGAACCCUGCCGCGAGUAGCUUGGCUAACUCUUUUUUGAUUGCUUCUCGUCUAUCCUGAGCGAACCGGCGUAGUCGUUGCCGUUUUGGAGUAGCUUUGGGAUCGACAUUGAGAGAAUGCUCAAUCAGUUCCUUGGGACACCUGGCAUGUCAGCCGGUUUCCAAGUGAAGAUAUCAUGGUUAGCCCGAAUGAAGCUGACGAGCGCGAAUUCCUAUUUAGGAUCUAGCCCUGUUCCGAUCAGGGCUGUCUUGGAAGGAUCUCCUGUCUGAAGGUCAACUAUUUUGAAGUCUUCCUCACUGGCGGGUUUUACUUUUGUGGACCCCGACUUGUUUUCCGGGAUCUCUAGUUCGGUUGGAUGGAGCUUUUUUGAAGCUGUGAAGACUUGCUGCAUGGGACUAGGAGAUUGAGUAGUCGCAGCAAGUUCCACGGCUUCGGUGUCGCAUUCGUAAGAUCUCCGUAAAUCUCCUCGUAGCGUGAGCUCUCCCUUUGGGCCUGGCAUUUUGAGUACCAGGUAGACAUAAUGUGGUAUGGCCAUGAACUUGGCGAGCGCUGGCCGUCCGAGUAUAGCAUGAUAAGAUGUCUCGAAGUCGGCGACCUCGAAUCUAUUGUACUCGAUGCGGUAAUGUUCCUUAGUUCCGAAGGUGACCGGAAGAACAACUUGUCCUAGUGGUAUAGCCGCGUUUCCAGGCACGAUGCCGUAGAAAGGUGAAUCCGUUGGGGUAAGCAUUUCAGUAACGUCGAGGCACAUCUUCCUUAAUGUCUUGGCUAAGAUAACGUUGAGGCCGCUUCCACCGUCGAUGAGUACUUUGGUUAACUUUGAUCCUGCCACAACUGGAUCCAAGACUAGUGGGAAACGGCCUGGUUCUGAAAAUUUUGUCCAUUGAUCUUUUCUGCUGAAAGAAAUUGGAACUUCGGACCAUUUUAACGGUGUGGGGUCCGUUGGCUCGAUGGCCAUGAUCUCCCUGAGUACGAGUUUGUUGGCUCGCUUGGAUGCAGUGCCUGGGAUACUGCCGAAAAUGAUGUUGACGGUUUUCGAAGCUGUUUGGAAGUCGCCUUCCUCAUCCUCGUCGUUCCGGGCUUUAUUUUUACCCUUAUCUCUGUUCUUGGUGUACUCUUCAGGGGCUGGUGGUGCGGGUAAGUCUUGCAUGACUCGGCGCAUGCUGUAGCAGUCUAUCGCCGAGUGCUUGCUAGUCGGAUGCCAUGGGCACUGCUUUUUGAGUAGGUCUGUGAAGGUUGGCCCUUCAUCGUUUCUGCGGUGUCCCUUUUUUCCGGAGCUGGUCAUGGUGGCAACGGUGUUGUCGGGCUUCCUUUUGCGACUGUGGUUACUCGGAUAGGAGUUCCGAGCAUUGUUAUGCCGAGUUUUAUCUGGUUCAUUGUUGUGGUUGUCGUGUCAGCGGUUACGGUGGAACCGAACUGUUCUCGCUCUUUGUCUUCUUCAUCGGCCCACUGUUGCACCAUGACUUUGAGUUCUUUGACAUCAGCUGGUCAUCGGCGACCAAAGUCUUGGUAUGUUCGUCGAUCAUAGAGUCCAUUUUGGAAGCACUCAAUGACGUCUAUUUCAGAGAUGUCAACUAUGGUAGCCUUCUUUUUGAAGAACCGUCGCAGAUAGUCACGUAGAGUCUCGCCUUCUUUUUGCUUAAUUUGUCUUAAGUCGAUCUUGUUGCCUGGUCUAGCCAUGGAGCCGGCGAAGUUGUUGGUGAAAGCCAUUGUUAAGUCUGCCCAAGAAUCAAUGGACUUGGGUUUGAGUGACUCGAGCCAGGUCAGUGGUGCGGGUUCCAUGCAUAUGGGGAAAUGGAUGACUUUGGUGUCGUUAUUGCCCCCAGCUGCUUAAACGGCUAGCGAGUAACAGCGUAGCCAUUGAAUUGGGUCUUGCUUGCCGUCGUACUUGGUGAUUCCGGUUGGCUUGAACUUAUCGGGUAAUUUUGUUUUCAUUACCCGGUUUGUGAAAGCAGGAAAAUGGUUGUAGCUGUCGACUUCUCGUUCGCGUCGACUGUUGAGAAUUUCUCGCAGAUCACUGAAGUUGGACAUUUCGCGGAUCUUCCGAGUAGGGCGGAUGCUUUUAACCGAGUUGGUGCAGCUGACUUCACCAACAUCCUUACGUCGAGUAGGAGCUUUAUACUUGCUUGGACCUUGGCUGUGUUGCCGAGGUUGGUUGACUGCAUCAUCAUUUCGUGGGGCGGCAUUUUUGUCUGCAGCUCCUCUGCUACCUUCUUGAUUAGAUGUGACUCGAGGAACAGACGGGAUUGGUGAUUCCUUGUCGAGUAGCUUGUAAGCCUGCUCCGCGAGUUGUGCGAUCAGUCCGUUGCCGCGCUGCACGAGUUGAGCUGUGACUGCGUUAUCCUUACCCUGAGGCAUCAAUGUUGUUAAAAGGUUGAUUGAGGCGAUAGCCGCGAGUGGAGUAUUGUGCUCCUGAGCCUGGACUGCGUUGAAAGCUCUUUCAAGAUUUGUAAUGGGAAUAUUUGUGGCCAUCGACUGUCGUCGCUCGGCUUGAGUGGCAUUGCGCGCCCUUCGUUGGUUGCACUGCUCGGAGGUUUCACCAUGAGGGGCGUCAGCUGUAGACUCAUCUUCGGAGAUGUUGUCAAUUUGUGCUAAUCGCCUGGGGGUUCUGUUCUGGCUAGUACCCGGGUUAUUAUUCUGAGUAAUAACAAGUAUCUCCCUGUCCGGGUAGUAGCUUCCGGAGCUUGAUGUUGCAAUCUCUGUGUAACUUUCCUCGUGGUUGAGUGGAACGCCUUCUUGAUAUGGUAGGUUGUCUAUAUGGGCGACGAGGCGCGAGUCGUAGUCACGGUCGAGAAGAGGUGGUCACAAUCCCGACCAGUGGACGAAUCUGCCUUGUGAUGUUGAAGUUAUUACCAAUCCUUGGGCUAGACCAGAUAAUGGUAUCUCUGGUGAAUAGGAUGAGUCAGAGUCGACGUCUUCGUCAUGCUCGAGUUUGGAUCGGGUUCGAGCAAGAAAACCUUGGUAGACUUUGGUUGCGUUGCGAAGUCCGUGCAGGAGCUAUUUUAAAGUCGAAACUGACUUGGAUACCGGCUGAGACUGACGAACCCGAGGCGAGUCCGACCCUGAGUCUUGGGGUCGGCUGAGCCUGACCCUUUGUGGGUGGAACUCCGCCUCGCCCGACCCUGAGUCCUGGGGUCGGGUGCGCGUGACCCCUGAGCGGAGGGUUGGAGUAGUCCGAGGCGAAGUCAAAUCCGACGCGUAAUCGAACUUGAACUCGUCGACUUUAAAAUCUUGGUUUUUUCUGGUCAGAUUUUCUGGUUUCUUCUCCUGAACAUCGACAAUCUGGCGCUGGAACGAUUUUGAGCCUUCGGCGACGCAAAGCCAGGAUCAAAAAAUGAAGGUGGCGCCAGCUUCGAUGAAGAAGACGGGCCUGAUGAUGACCUUUACCAUUGAGUUCGCGCUGAGAAACUCGACGAGUCCCCCUACCUGGCGCGCCAGCUAUCGGUGUUUUAGACUGGCAACCCACCUAGAGGGUUCCCUAGGUGGUCUUUUAUGCGGUAAGGGUCGUCGAGAAUCAAGGAAUCAAUGGUGACGCAAGGAACACGAUUUAGACAGGUUCGGGCCGCUAGAUCGCGUAAUACCCUACGUCCUGUGUGUUGGCUUGUAUUGAGUUAUGUUGAGAUGUAUUCAGAUGUCUAUGUCCCUGAGGGGGGUCCCUGCCCAGCCUUAUAUACACGGGAGGGUAGGGUUACAAGUCUGAGUCCUAGUCGGGUACUAUUACAGAGUUCUACUUGGUAAUGGCCCGAGUAGUUUUCCAUAAACAUACAAGACUAGUCCAAGUAAGAUACGCCCAUCCUUUUUCUGAUCUUGUCCGAGUACGUCCCUUGGUGGGCCGUCCAAGGCCUACUCGUGGACCUGGGGUGUAUGCCCGACAGUUAUGGCUCGAGGUCGGGAUCAAACAAGAAGGUCGAGAUGGUCCCUGACUGCUAUUGAGCGGGUUAGGGUGGAGGCCGCUGGGGCUCUAUCUGCGAUUUCUCCCCUAGCUCUAUUUGACGCGUGGCGGCCUCGAGCCCUCCAUGGGCCGGCCUUUGAACCUCGGUCGAUCGUAGCUCGUUCUAGACAAGCUGCUAUUGCUUUGUGACGUGACGCAAAGCAAUUGAAGUGCAAUGUUGCAAAGAUGAUGUAUGAAUGGAUGAAUGCAAAAAUGAUGCAUGAAUGAAGUGAAUGCAAGAUGCAAAAAUUAUACAUGAAUGAAAUGAAUGCAAGAUGCAAAAGUGAUGCAUGAAUGAAAUGAAUGCAAGAUGCAAAAAUGAUGCAUAAAUGAAAUGAAUGCAAGAUGCAAAAAUGAUGCACGAAUGGAUGAAUGCAUGAAUGAAAUGAAUGCAAGAUGCAAAAAUGAUGCAUAAAGAAAAUGAAUGCAAGAUGCAAAAAUGAUGCAUGAAUGCAAUGAGUGCAAGAUGCAAAAAUGAUGCAUGAAUGAGUGCAAGUAUGCAUAGAAAAUAAAAAGGAAAAAAAGGGGGGAUUGAGAAAGUUACAUGGGUCGGACAUUUUAGGUGUUGCUCCCUAUGUGACUUUCACGAUCGCUGGGGUCGAGCUAUCGUUGCUCGUCUCAGUGGUUCGAGCAACCAGGUCGGGGUACCACUAGUGGGUAUGCCCGAGUGGAGUCCGUAUCCGUCGUUCAUGAUGGGGACGCGUGUCCUGUACGUUAGUUUUCCACUGUACGUUAGUUUUCCACUAUAUUUUGACCAGUCUCCCGCCGGGUGCCCGACCCGUCCGACUGACUAAUAGACCUGCCCGUUGACAUAGGCUGCAACCUUGGGAACCUGGGCGUGGCCCUCAAGGUUUGGCUGCUCGUAACCAUAGUCAUGGCGGGGUCCAAUCAGUCCAUAAGCGUGAACUACUUAGGGUAGUUUGGAGGAUGGUAAGCCCUUUACUGAAGUGUGUUCAUUUGUGAUUAUUAGUAUUGGUGAUGCGAAGCUGGUCCCGCCCGUCCUCAUUUUCAUCCUUAGAAAACUUCUGCCUUUUCACUCCUUCCUUCUAAAACUGGCCUCAUUGAUGUAGGCCGCAACCUUAAGAACCCGGGCGUGGCCCUCGAGAUUCAGCUGCUCGUAACCGUAGUCGUGGCGGGGUCCGAUCAGUCCGCGAGCUAGAGUUUAAGUUGCUUUUAGGGUGAAUUAGAGGUUGGGGUGCCCUCUUAUUUGGGCGCGGCCCUUCAUUCGGGUGAGGUGCAUGAUGAUGCAGAAAGUAAAGAGGGGGUGGUGCACCCCCGUGGAGCCCCCGAGCGACCCGGGCCAAGUGUGCUCGGGCCGGGGUGCUGCUGGAGCAAGUGCGGGAAAGAAAGAACGACUAGAAAGGAACUGAGUUAGGGAAAGAAAUGAUGUAACUGCUCGAUGUUCCAAGUGUUGGUGAGGAUGUUGCCAUCUUCAUCCUCCAGUCGGUAGGCACCUGGUCGGAUCACCUCAGCCACCGUGUAUGGUCCUUCCCAUGGCAAAGAAAGCUUGUACUUGUCCUUGGUCGUUUGGGUCCUUCGAAGCAUGAGGUCUCUGACUUCAAGGGUUCUUCCCCGAAUCUUCCUUUUGUGGUACCUGUGAAGAGUUUGCUGGUAGUGAGCGGAGCGGAUGAUUGCCGUCUCGCAUGCCUCCUCGAGCAAGUCAAUCGCGUCCUGCUAGGCCUCCGCGAUCCGGUCAGGGUUGAAUGCUUUUACCCUUGGGGUGCCAUAGUUGAGGUCGGAUGGCAGCACUGUUUUCGAGCUGUAUACCAAGAAGAAGGGGGUGAAACCCGUUGACCAGUUUGGGGUCGUCCUCAGGCUCCAGAGGGCUGUUGGAAACUCUGUGACCCAUCACCCAGCAUGUUUCUCAAGCCAGUCGAAGAUGCGCGGCUUGAGUCCCUGGAGGACCAUGCCAUUUGCCCGCUCGACCUGUCCGUUGGUCCACGGAUGUCCGACCGAAGCCCAGUUGACCCUGAUGUCGUACCCAUCAUAGAAACCCAGGAACUUUUUACCAGUGAAGUUUGUUCCAUUAUCCGUGAUGAUGCAGUUAGGGACACCGAACCAGUAGAUGAUGUCGAGGAAGAACUCAACCACCUCUUGCGAGUGGAUUUUGGUGAUGGGCUUUGCCUCGAUCCACUUCGUGAACUUGUCCACCGCCACGAGCAGGUGGGUGUGACCGCCCGGGGCUUUUUUGAGGGGCCCAACCAUGUCGAGUCCCCAGACCGCAAACGGCCAGGUGAUGGGGAUGGCUUAGAGUUCCAGUGCCAGCAAGUGUGUCUGCCAAGCAUAGAACUGACAUCCCUCACACCUACAGACCACUUCCUCCACAUCGUCUAGUGCCGCGGACUAGUAGAAUCCAUGACGAAAGGCCUUCCUGACCAGUGAUCGUGGGGCAGCGUGGUGUCCGCAAUUCCGGCAUGGACUUCGAGGAGAAAGUGCUUCCCCUGGUCGGUCAGGAUGCACUUCAUGAGCACUCUCGACGGGCUUUGCUUGUAGAGUUCAUCGCCGAUGGCAAUGAACGUUUUGGCAUGUUGGGCGACCCAUCGCGCUUCAAUCAUUUCCGGGGAAAGGACUUCGUCGAGGAUGUAAGCGAGUAGUGGUCUCCUCCAGUCGGUUGGGUCGAGCGCCAUUACCGCCACAUCCCGAUCGGAGCCCCCGAGCGCUUGGUCAGGGUUGGGCAACGGUGUGGUACCAGAGCCUCCGAGCGGUUGGCUGGGGCCAGCCUGCGCCUGGGUCAGAUUUUCCCGGAUGCGGGUGGACAGCUCGUGCAGAUCGUUCACAAAGACGCCUUCCAGGACUGGUUCCUGCCCGAUAGCCAUUUUUGCCAAGGAGUCGAUGGCAUGGUUGUCCUUUAGCAGGAUGUGAUGCUGCUCAAUCCCCCGGAAUUUAUCCUCGAGCUUCCACACCUCUUGGUAGUAUGCUACCAUGAGCAGGCUUUUGCAGGAGGAUUCCUUCAUGACCUACUUGACCACCAGCUCCGAGUCGCCACGGACGUAGAGUCGGGUCGCGUCGAGCUUGACCGUGAUGCGCAGCGCACUGAUAAAGGGCUUCGUAUUCCGCGACGUUGUUCAAGGCGUUAAAGUGGAGGCGGAUUUCAUAACAGAGCCUGUUCCCCUUUGGGAAGACCAGAACCACUCCAGGCCCCACGCCGGUUCCCAUGACCGACCCAUUGAAGUACAUUGUCUAGUACUACUGGGCGACGACAGGGGUCAGGGUCUGGACCUCCGUCCACUCGAUGAUCAAGUCGGCCAGAGCCUGGGACUUGAUUGCAGUUUGGGGGGCGUACUUGACGUUGUGGCCCAUGAGCUCAAGCACCUACUUGGAGAUUCGACCUAUUGUGUCGAGAUUUCGGACGAUUUCUCUGAGUGGGUAUGAGGUGACUACCGUGACCUCGUGUUCGGUGAAAUAGUGAAGGAGCUUUCGAUUUUCCAUCAGCACGGCGUACAAAAGCUUCUGCACCUGAGGGUAAUGUACCUUCGCAUCGGUGAGUACCUCACUGACGAAGUACACCGGUCGCUGAACCUUCAGCGCAUGUUUGGGCUCCUCCCUCUCAACGACAAGAACAGCGCUGACCACAUGGUCGCUGGCUGCGAUGUAAAGAAGGAGGGGUUCCUCUCUCUUGGGCGUGACUAGGAUCGGGGUCGAGGUCAGUAGCGCUUUGAGGCUCUCCAGUGCCUUUUGUGCCUCUUCCGGCCAGACGAAUGCGUCUGACUUUUUGAGGAGUUUGUAGAGCAGCAUUCCCUUUUCGCCAAGUUGGGAGAUGAACUGGCUCAAAGCAGCCAAGCAUCCGGUGAGCCUCUGUACACCCUUGAUGUUGCGUAUCAGACCCAUGUUGGUGAUGGCCAUGAUUUUUGGGGGGUUGGCUUCGAUGCCGCGCUCGGAGAUGAUGUAGCCGAGUAACUUCCCUUCGGAACCCCAAAAACACACUUCUCAAGAUUUAGCUUGACGCUGAAUCUGCGCAGGUUCGCAAAUGUCGCGACUAAGUUAGAGAUCAGGUUGCCUGCUUGAGCCGACUUUACCACUAUGUCAUCAAUGUAUACGGCGAUCAUGGCCUUUGGCUUCCCGUCUAGGUCGGGUUGGUUGAGAGGAUCAAUUUGGUCAGUGAAGCACCGUUGCAUGCACCGCUGGUAAGUGGCACUGGCAUUCCUUAGACCGAACGGCAUGGUCACGUAACAGAACGAGCCAUACAGGGUGAUGAAAGAGGUCGCGAGCUAGUCAGCAUCCAGAAAACAAAGGAUUUCACAUCCCGAGGUCGAAUCGACUAUUUGAUCUAUGCGUGGUAAAGGAAAGUGGUCCUUAGGGCACGCCUUGUUCAGGCUACUAUAGUCAACACACAUUCUCCAUUUUCCAUUCUUCUUUUUUACAAGAACCGGGUUAGCAAGCCAGUCGGAGUGGUAUACCUCCUUGAUGAAACUAGCUUCCAGGAGUUUGGCGAUUUCCUCGCCUAUGGCCCUGUGCCUCUCGUCAUCAAAGCGGUGUAGGUGCUCCUUCACGGGCUUCGAGCUUGGAGCGAUGCGUAGUGUGUGCUCGGCGACCUACCUUGGGAUUCCAUGCAUGUCAUCUGGCUUCCAUGCGAAGACAUCCCGGUUCGCACGUAAGAAGUCAACGAGCUCGCCUUCCUAUUUGGCUGGGAGCUUGGUCCCAAUCCACACCGUCUUGGUCGGGUCGACCGGGUCGAUCUCCAUCACCUUGGUCUCGUCGGUCGGGUUGAACGCACUCGCAGUGGUCGGCUCGUUGUAGUCGGGAAUGGCUAGAGCUACCUCCUUCUGGAGCUUCUUGAGCUCAGUGGAGUUGACGAGACCGGUGGCAUACUCAAGGUUCUCCCGGUCGCACGUGUAGGCGUGCGGAAAGAGACUGCUCACGGUGAUGGUGUUGUUUGGCCCUGACAUUUUUAGCUUGAGGUAGGUGUAGUUGGGGAUUGCCAUGAACUUAGCGUAGCAUGGGCAUCCCAAGAUGACGUGGUAGUACCCCUCGAAGUCUACCACAUCAAAGCAGGAUCUCCGUGCGAAAGUUGGCAUGGUCCCCGAACGUGACGGGCAGGUCGAUCUGCUCGAGUGGGUAUGCUCGCAUUCUUGGGAUCACACCAUGGAAGCGCGUGAUCUUUGAUCGGAGCCUGGAACGGGGGAUGCGCAUCAAGUCCAGGGUCUCAACAUAUAGGAUGUUGAGGCCACUGCCCCCGUCCAUGAGCACCCGGCUGAGGCGCUUUUCCUCGACGAUGGGGUCCACGACGAGCGAGUACUGACCCAGUCGGGGAACGCUCGGGGGAUGAUCCCUCUGAUCAAAAGUAAUAGGGUGGCAUGACCAAGUAAGAACUUGGAAAUAGCUGAAUCAAUAGCACAUACCUCCCGGCGGCGUAUCUUGUGCUAACGUUUGGAGUGGUCGGUGUCGGUCCUCCCGAAGAACAUAAGGCAGGUCUCGGGCUCGGGGAAGCCUUCUCCAUCCUUGCUUGCCACAUCCUCCUUGCCCUUGUGCUCCCUCAUCUUGCCAGCUUGCCGCAGGAAAUGCUUGAGGAGCUCACAGUCCUUGUAGAGGUGCUUGACGGGGAAAGGGUUGGUGCAGGGACUCUCCAUGAGCUUCUUGAAGUGGUCAUUGCACCCCUGCUGAGGUGGCUUGUCCAGUCGGUCGGCUGCCGUGACCACCAUCGAACGGGUUAGUUGGUGCCGAUCCUUCUUGUUCUUCUUGCCUUGCCUCGUGGAGGGACCCUCAUCCAGGCCCUCACGCUUAGCCUUGCCCUUGUCUCGCCCAUUGCUGAAGACAGCCCCAACCGCCUCCUCGCUGGAGGCAUGGUUGGUGGCAAUGUCUAGUAGGUUGCGGGUGGUUCGAGGCUUGUUGCAUCCGAGCUUGUGGACCAGGGACUUGCAGGUCAUCCCCGUGAGGAACAUGCCGAUGAUGUCAGCAUCGACAACGUCGGGCAGAGAGUUGCUCUGCCGCAAGAACCUAUGGAUGUAGUCUCGCAGGGACUUGUUGGACUCCUGCUUGCAGCUCUUAAGUUCCCAGGUAUUCCCAGGGCGGACAUAGGUCCCCUGGAAGUUCCCUACAAAGACCUUCUUGAGGUCCGCCCAGUCGUGGAUGCUAUUGGCAAGCAGGAACUCAAGCCAGGCUUGAACAAACUCUCCCAGGCAGAUGGGGAGAUGAUGGAUGAUGAAGAGGUCAUCAUUGUCACCACCAGCUCGGCAGGCGAGAUGGUAGUCUUUGAGCCAUAUGCUGGGGUUUGUUCCCUCGGUGUACUUGGCUAUGUUGGUGGGCGGCCAGAAGCAUUGUGGGAAGGGUGCUUUCUGGAUGUUCCACCCAAAGGCUCGCGGCCCUAGCCCAUCAGGGCUGGGGCUUCGGUCGCCGCUCCGGUCGCCCGAGUGACGGACACGUCUAGGGUGCACAUCCCUAGGUUCCUCAUCGGACCGAUCCUGGGCUGCUUUGGCGGCUCUGGCCGCCAUAUGGUCGACGUCGGCGUUGUGACGCACCAGGCGGCGCGCGUGGAUGACGCUGCGCACAUCGCAGUUGGGACCCACGUGCUGGCGUUGUGGUGCCGGCGCCUGUACCAGAUCAUGCGAAGGUGCUGUCGCGGUGCUGUGUCCGGCACGGCGAGGUAGAGGAGGCGAGCAAACCGAGAGGUUCAGUUGCUACGCCCCCAGCGCCCCGGUAGGGCAUGAAACCGCAUGCUGCUGGCAUGACGCAGAGCUCUCAGCCUACUGCAUGGUGGCAGUUUCUACCAGCGCUCUGAGGUUGCGGUGGAUCGCCUGCUCCUUAGGGUCAGCGGGCUCCGGUACGCUGGGCAGGAGCAUCGCGGUGGCGGUGAUGUUCUGUCCGGCCCUAGCAAACUAUGGGAGGUCAUCCCCCCUCCCAGCUAUGAUGUUUCGAUGGACCUAACGAGCGCAACCUCAGGCCCCGCUUCCCAGGUUGCGCGCGUGUGGGCACGGAGUGUUGCGCCGGGCGUGCUGGUGGUGGUGGUGGUGGGUUCUGCUGGAGCUGCCGUAGCGCGUCGCCAUGCGCCUGCACCCGUGCCCGAGCCUCCGCACGGUGGUCCGGUAGGGUGUGAGUCUCAGCAGAUUCUGCCACCUCCGGAAGCUGCUCUGGGCAUCCGCCAUAGCGCAUUCUCGGGACAGAGGAUCAUCAAGUGCCAUUGCGUCGCUGUGGCUGGAGCCCUCGCUCUUAAGCUCCUCAUCGCAAAGGAGUUUAAGGAAAGAGUCAGGGGCAUAGUCCGCCAUACCUACGAGCUUGCACGGGGGGAGAGGUGGCACCAUAGCCUUCCAGAGACCCCGCACAUACGCGUCCACUGGGGACGGUAGACCGAAAGGGAGCCACCCGCGCAGCGAGCGCGGUGGUGACUGAGAAGGCCCUCCGGAGAGCUGCCCGAGAGUGUUGACGAGCGAAUACAUCAUGGUAUCCACGUCGUUGGUCGUGGGGUUGGCACUCAGCAGGGAUUCGAUGUGGAGCGCAAGGGCUUCCACGUCAAGAUCGACAAGCGGUUCGCGCGCGAUGAUGCGAGCCACUUUUCCCAGGAAUGCUGGGGGAGCCACCUCCUCGUGGAGGCGGAGAACGCCAAGAUGAUCGGUGAUGAACUCCAAGCUUCCGAAGCAGAAGACCUGGAGUGGCGCGAAGAUGGGCGGAAUCCACGCUCCACCGAGAGCAGGAGCAGGGAACUCCAGCGAGCUGAAACAAAUCGUGUCGCUGGCGCCCGUCGCGCCAGCGACGGCGAGUUGGGCCAUCCGAUGACCUGAAAAAUGAGAACGCAGCAACACCUUCCCCACGGAUAGCGCCAGCUGUCGGUGCGGAUUUUGGUCGAUGAUCAAUUCUACAUAGUUUUGCUACACGUUAAUCGAUAUGGCCUAGCACGCAAUGAUACAGGAUCUAUACUGGUUCGGGCAACGUGCCCUACGUCCAAUUAGGGAGUCGGUCAUCGACUUUAUUCUUGAGCCCAGGUGCUCAAAGUUUGCAGUGGGGGUACAAACAGGAGGAGGAAGACAAGGGAUGCCUGAGCCUCAGCCUUGGCCUCGUCAUUGUGGAGGAGGAACGCAGGGACCCGGGCGUGCGCUAAGUGUGGGCAGUGCGCUGUGUUUCUUGUGUUCUUUGUUGUCUAGGUUGGUUCGUGUGUGAAUCGAUAGGUGGAUGGAUCCUAUCGAUAUGGGUUGUUCUCUAUGAGGGAGAGGGCCUGCCCCCUUUUAUAGUCCAAGGAGACAGCCUUACAGGUUGGGAGAAGAUAGAGGGAAGGAUGUGCUGGCGCUACCUAGUCUUGUCAAAUCCUCUGCCAGCGAAUAUGGUAUGGCCUCCGUCCUCGGUCCUUGUUCUCCUCAUCAGGUCAUCAUACCGUAGCAUCAUGCCAUCACGCCAUAGUGUCAGGUCACCACGCCAUAGCGGGUAGGUUUACGGCACCAGUGUGCAGACGUGCCCGAGGCGUGGCAUGGCAUGGUUUCGCGUACGGCCGGCUGACCCGGGGCCUGCAUCAUUAUCCAUCCCACCUGCUCCCUGGACCCACGGGGGGUGAGUGUCCCUGGUCGGGAGGUCGGUGCAGGUGGUACGGUGGGGACCUGGUCGGGAGAACCAGGUCAGGAGUCCCCAGUCGGGGGUCAGACUGUGGCCCCACUCCGAACAGGUCUUCUCUGGUCGGAGCGUCAGUUCAUCCUCUGGGCCAGAGGAGUUGGUCGGGCUGCGCCCUCAGCCUGGCGGCGCGCAGCGGGGCCGGCCCAAGUAUUCGUGAUCAUUGUGCCUUCUCGUUGGGCUAAGCACAACAGGGAAACGGUCCUGUCGGGGACCCCAGGUCUCUGGACCCGUCAGGUAUAACCUGGAUUUUCUUUUCCAUUAGAUGCCUUGAGAGAACACUAUGCUAGAAAAUGAUUUUUUUCCCAUUUGAUGAAAUAGUCUGAUUAAUGUGUCACUGAUACAUGGAGUACAUCAGAAACUAAAUUUCCGAUGUGUUCAAUUUAAACACUGAAGAACAAGGCCAUUAAUAAUUGUUCUUACAGUGGUUGUUUCCUAUAUUGGGAUGCUUUCUUUUGAUUCCAUACCCGUGGCAUUUUUUUAUCAGUGCACUCAAGCAUGUUAGUUUAAGAGAAUAACUUGUAGGAGAAUCCAUAUGAAACCUAUCACUUUGUGUUUAUUUCGAGUGAAUCUUUAGCAUCCCGUCUAUUUCUGGACCCUACAUCUUAUAUAUGUUUGCUAGCAGAUCUGGGUCUUUGCAAGCAAAACUGUUGAAUAACUUGUGGGAUAUUCAGUUUAACUUAAUUUGUGUCAAUAUUUUCUUUGUGGUAGCGCAUAAAGAAUAAUCCAAGACUCAUCAAGAACAUUUUAUGUCCAUACUGAUUCAUGAGGCUUGUUCUAGAAGUGACUUAAUAAAUAUGAGAAUUGGUGAUUUUUUAGAUACCAUUUUAGUAUAAGGAUGGGCACUUCAGAAGCAUAUUUACAAAAGAGGACAGUAUGCGAUUUUAUUUUCUGAUUUUGGUUGGGUGAAGGCAACUUUAGUGACUGCAAAUUAAUGCCUUCAUUGUUUGUGUUAUGCUUUUUUACGUGAAAGUUUCUAUCCUUAUACACAAAAUGGCUUCAGAUAACGGACAUUUGAGUUUUCUAGGAACUGAACCAUUUUAGGUUGCUAACGAAGUCUUAAGCAUUGUAGGUAAAACCACAGCCUACAAAGUUCGAAUUAUGAUUGGAAGUCUUAGAGUAGCUUUAGUGGCUAAGGUAGAAUAGGAACCAACUAAAUCCUUUAUUUUAUAAAGUUGUGGAUUCUGAUUCUUUUUUUAUUUCACAACCUGACAUAUUGCAUUGCUAUCUGAAUUCUUCUUUUUUAGAACAUUUGCUCAUGCAAUAUCAUUUGGCAGAAGUUAGGAGUUAAAAUAGCUGGAUAGUCUAUGUUCCAUAUGUUUAAGAGUUAAAAUAGUUGACUUUUGAAAAUUUAAUAUCUACUAAAUAAUUAGAAAUAAUUUAUUGUCUUUGGUUACUAAUGAUUUUUGUUCUUAGAAGGAAGAUUACUAAUGAACGGAUGUUUGGGCAUUUUUCUGUGAAGAUGCCCAAGAUGUUGAGUAAAUGGCUGGUGGCUUGGGAGAAUUGCAGGAGCCCUGGUGCAGAGUCCGUGGACUAAUCUUCCCAUAUGCAGUGGGUGCGUCUUGUUUCUGAUGUUCAAAACUUCAUUUAGUUUUUCCCCUGCGGAUCUGGUUGUCUCUUUCCUGGAUGAGGUGUAGUAGGUGAAUUUUCACGUUUGGCUCCUGAUCACCUAGAAUUUGUAAAAGACAUGCCAUAUCCUACUGUUUGAUGGAAAACAACUCCCACCCAGAGAUCUGCAGUUUUUUUUCUAUUUGCGUGUGAACUUUUGAUAAUAUUUUAUUUUUUUCAGCAUUUGCAGACUCGUACCAAUUAGCAAAAUUGCCUUGCAUUUCAUAUGAACUUUUCUUCUCUCUGCGAUGUGUUGGUUGAUCAGCAUAUGGAAAAGACAUUGGUUGAAGUGUUAGAUAGUAAGGUUGGAAAAGACAUUGGUUGAAGUGUUAGAUAGUAAGGUUAAAGAUUAGCAUGGUACCGUAUCCUUUCUAAUAACUACUUUCAAUAAUUCCGACAGAACAACAUAAAAAUGAAAAUGAUUAUAUUUGAUUUAAUGUUUCAUUCAGCUGAGCAUAAGUAUAUUCGAUUUUAUACUAAUAUUUUGCAACUCCACUAUUGUAGAAAUGAUGUAUAACAGUGUAUGGGAUAGGUGAACUACUCUACAGUACCAAGCCUACCACACAAGAGAAGGCACCGUUUGUGUUGUUUUUUAUAGUCCACCGAAUAUUACGAUAGUAACUACAAACAUUAUAUCAUGAUUAUUCUUUUGCAAGUUGAGAUAAAGAACAUCCAAACGUACUUAUAUGUUUAUGUUAUUACUCAUCGCAAAGUCAUUUUUUUGUUUCACAUUGAGAGCAUUUCGCAUGUGUUUGAGUUUGUAGAAAUAAAUAUUUCACAUGAUAAUGUUUGAUGCUUAUAGACAAAAUUUGUUUUGCCCGUAGCAAGAACGAUUACUAGAGUGAAAUUUGCUCUCAGUGAAACAAAACUUAAAAAGUGACGUAAUCAUGAUUCUCUUCCUCGACUCCUCCGGUUUGUGUGUCAGUCAAGUCCAGCAACAUCUUACCAACAAAGAUGCGGACCGAUCGGCAGAACCGCAGAAGAGGACAAUUGUGGCACUGCAAUAGGCUUGGGCUGUGCAGCUCGAGCAUCAAAUACAUGAAGGGCCACAACAUGGUGGAGUCACAACCUAUAACUAUGACAAGGUCUGAAAUAUUAGCAGUGGAGGCAAUUUUUUCCAUUAUUGUUGAAUAUGUAGAAAAUAUGAAUCGGAAUCUAUGCCAAAUACUGAUAUACAAUUAGUAAUGAACUAAAUUCAGAAUGAAAAAAUAUUAGUUUUAUUUCCUUACAAACAUGAAGAAAAACACAAAAAUAAAGAGUAGAUGUGUUAAACAUAAUAAAUAAAUAGGUAAGUUCAGAAUAAAAAUUAAGAACAUAAUAUAUUGAUAUACACUCAGAUUAGGAAGAAAAAUCCAUAAUAAAGAGCCCAUGUAAAAUAGAUUUCACUAAAAACUAAAUUAGUGAUUGGUUGAGGUUUUACAUGUAGAUUAAUGUCACAAUGUUUGAGCGGAAAAGGCGUAACUCAAACCGUAGAGGUUGAGGAGAUGUAAGAAUAGUGACCUAUGAUAAUAUCAUGUCCUCCAACAUAGACAAUGUUGUGAAACAACACGCCAUGCAAACUUAACGCCGGCGCUGCAAAGGCAGGGCAAUAUUCAAGCAAUGACUAAAAUAAGAAUCCCAUGCAACCAUGCUUGAUUGAAAUUGUCAGGGAAGUAAUACCAAGACUGUGGGUCGGAGAUGACAAGCAAAACAAAUGAGAUCAGCAGAGGAGAACAUACGAUUGGAAUUGCGUGUAGUGUCCAAUCUCAAUUGUAGACCUGUCGUGGUUCGAAUCUAGCUGCGCUAUUUGCACGGACCACCUCUUAUAAGAAAUUAAUUGUUAAUACGAAAUUAUAUGUAUAAGUUAUGAUAUUUAAAAAAAGGAAAGUUGUGAGCAUCGAAACUUUUCAAACAUAGAAGUUCAGAGGAAGUGGAGUGCGUGGGCUACGGGGGAAUCGAUGGCCAGCAGUACUGCUGUGGCGCACGCGCCAGUUAGCGUGCCCCUAAAAGCAUCGAAGAAUGGAAGCAUCGCUUGUGAUUACGUCUGGCCUAUAUAUAGACGGCAACUUCGAGUGCCUCACAUCAGUCCCGAACCUUUCUCGUUCAUCUCCUUAGCCAGAACACGUCCAACUUCCAUUCUCUCAACACAAAUGAGAUGUGCAUGCAUGGAUAACCACCUUAAGUCGCCUUUCUUCGUCUUACUGCUCUGUUGUACUGUUGCGACAGUAGCAUACCCUGCUCGCUGUGAGUUAUCUCAUCCGACGAACUAUCAUUCUAUAUCAUACAACCCACAGCCACAGGAUUUCCCAAAUGAGCAACUCUACCGCGCCUAUCUCGUCAUCCAGCGCUUCAAGAGCACCAUCACGAGCGACCCCAAGAAUGUCACGGCAACCUGGACCGGUCAUGAUCUCUGCGGAGAGACGACCUACAUUGGGUUCUACUGCGGAUCGCCGACAGGCGGGGAUAAGAAAUUGACUGUCACAGGGGUCAUUUUGAAUGGCUACAGUCUACAUGCACCGACACUGCAAGGAUUCGUGGAUCAGCUCCCAGACCUUGCGCUUUUCCAUGCUGCUUCCAACAAUUUUGGUGGCGAUAUCCCCCGACUCGCCGGCCUUGAGUACAUGUACCGGCUCAGUGUUAGCACCGAUCCGCCAAUGUAUACUGUAGAUGAUAUUUCGGGGACGGGAACCACUCUCGGGACGACAAUAGACGCAACGGCUGGAAAAAAAUGCGUAACUGCUCACUUACAUUUUGCUAUUAGUAUUGGUAUUCAGCCAGGCGGUAAGGGAGGCAAUAUUCCUGGUGUUACGGAUUCUAAAGCGCUCCUCCUCAACCACAACAACAUAUCCGGGCCACUUCCGUCGAACCUAGGUCUCUCCAAGUUGAGCUACCUCGCCGUCGCCAACAACAGGCUCACGGGGCCAAUCCCAACAUCGAUCGAGCAACUACAAGACUCCCUCCUCGAGGUGCUCCUCCUCAACAACCAGCUCUCCGGCUGCCUCCCCCACGAGCUCGGCAUGCUCCACAAGGCGUCCGUCAUCAACGUCGGCAUGAACCAGCUCACCGGCCCGAUCCCGUCAUCCUUCUCGUGCCUCAGCAGCGUCGAGCAGCUCAACCUGGGCGGGAACCGCCUCUAUGGCCAGGUGCCCGACGCGCUCUGCAAGCUCGCCGGGCCAGCCGGCCGCCUCGCCAACCUCACGCUGCCCGGCAACUACUUCACCUCCGUCGGGCCGGCGUGCGCGGCGCUGAUCAAGGACGGCGUCCUCGACGUGAAGAACAACUGCAUUCCGGGCCUCGCCAACCAGAGGCACCCGGCGGAGUGCGCGGCGUUCCACAGCCAGCCGAAGACGUGCCCGGCGGCGACCCCUCAGGUGGCUUGCCCCGCCGCGGCUGCCAAGGGCGCGGUGGCGGCGCCGGGGGAGAGGAAGGCUAGGGACUACUCCAGCUACGUGACGUAUGCUACUCUGCAUGAGUGAGCCGCUUCGGUCGGCAUGCAGUAGGAGACAGAGUGCCUCGGUGGGACUUUGGCUAUUUGUUCCUUGUAUUCUUGUGUAGUAUUGUGUGUUGGUGUGCUUGUGCUUGUUGUCUAUUUGCUCUGCACGUGUUGCUGUCACUUAGAUCCAUCUUUGUAUCCAAAGUAAAUUAUUGUUGGUGAAGUAAAGUUCGUUGUAUAUCUGUCUCUGUCUUGGAUGCUCCAGAUGUUGCUUAAAUUACGCAAAUGUCGAUCGGAUAUAUGGCAAUGACUUUGAUCAACAUUAUUACUCCAUCAACCUUAAAAAUAACUAAUGUAGGCAUCUCAGCUCUGUUCCAUACGAGGGCCGGAGUCUUAAAUAAACAGUCUAAAAUUACAGCGAUCUUAGCAUCAACUAUAUACCACAUUCUUUUCUGAUCGAGAAGACUAUAGUACCAGUACAUUUCAGGGACAUUCGAUGUCUUCCGCUAUUCGUUUGUGUUUUCAUGUCUAUGUCCGACGCCGGGGUGAACGACUGAUCGAACGAAACCACAAGCUCCAUCUAUCCCAGCCUCGUGAUCGCGUGCUGGCCUUCGCGACAACUUGUCCGGGUCCGGGAACCGCCCCUACGGCGAGGUUGCUCACGCGCAGCCCCAGGCCAACUCCCGGGGCCGGAUGGCACACGACUUGUUGCCAAACCUCUCGUUGUCACACCCCGCGCGCGCGCUCAACUCUGGCCGGCCGAUCGAGCUGCACUGUUGGAGUGUUGGACACGAGACGAGCAUGCAACUGUGCAGCAUCCCCGGCUACACUGAAGACGUGCCCCGCAACCGCGAGCACCGACGCCGACAUGCCAUGCAUGCGUCGUCGUCGCAUGUGUCACGGACAUGGUGGUGCAAAGGUAGGUAGGUAGGUAGGUAGGGGUCGGGUUCGGGUUCGGCCGCGCUCCAGCUACGUACAUGACGACAUAUGCCGCUCCGCAUGCAGACGCGCGCCAGAGCAAACGGCUGGGCCGAACACCUCGGUCGUAUGUGCUUGUGUUCAUGCGAGUGCAGAUCUAGUGUCGUUAGGUUGGUAGGUGCAGGCAUGUGAGCUUAUUGUGACCCUGGUUGUUUUGUUCCGCGGGGUUGAUCUCGCCGGCAUCAACCAUGUGGUGAUGAUGUCCUUGUAGAGUGCUGCCAUGCUGCGUGCUGUGACAAUUUGUUGUACUAGAAACAACUUGUCUUUAACUUCUAGAGAAACAUUAUUCGGAGUUAAGAAGAUAUUGCUCCGCAAUGCAUAACCUUUUGUCUGGUUGGUGUGCGUGUGUAUAUGAGUAUGAAAUAAUAAGGUCCUGAUUAUUUUUUAGAAAAAAGUGUAGGAAGCUACAUUACUCAGUCAGUCAGUCUUAAUCUAAACGGGAUCUUAUGCAUCUAAGAACAUGAACACCACUUAGAGUAGAGAUGAGACAUCCAACCGGCAGCCAUAGUUUGCGACGAUCCGGCCAUGAUUGUCAUGGACCAGGCCGGGAUGGGAGCUGCUGUAGGUGUACUCACUGUAGGUGUACAAGCUUGACGAGAUCACGCCUGCCUUCGGGCCUCCACCUCGUCUGUCCAGGGACGGCGAUGGUGGUGUGGCGGUAGCCUUCGGGCGAUUCCAGCACUGCCACGAUCGGGUUGGCGUGUUGGGGGAGUUCUCUGGAGGUUUUGGUGCGUUAGCAGUUAACCCAAAACCUGCCGGCUCCCCCUUUUCUUAUAGCGCAGGGUUGCUCGGGGCUACAACCAUAGUUCGGUUGCGCCUCCAAUCGAGGCACGAGGUGGACAUUCGCGAGGGAAAUGUAGUCGGGCAUCACCUUAUCCCUCCUAUUUUUCCUCUGUGUUGUUUUCCUUUUGACCACCUUCAAAAUAUUUCCAACAUUCUCCCCUUUUGGUCUAAAGGCCUAUAACUUAUGCCAUUCUUAAAGCAGAAUUAUAUAGGGAGACAAUAUGUGACAAUGGUGAUUAAAAUCCCACUGUAACACAGUUGUCCACAAUGUAUAAAACUACUUAUCAUGAUGGGAGAUGGUUGUCUUAUGACCCUCCAAGAUCACAGGCUAUCCGAUAACCCCAUGCCGGCAACAUGUUCACUGAAUAUAAUGGGAGGUAAGCCUUUUGUUAAUGGAUCCGCAAGCAUUUUCUUAGUACUUAUAUGCUCUAACUCAAUGGUGUGAUCUUGGAUUCUAUCUUUCACAACAAGAUACUUAAGUUCAAUGUGCUUUGCAGCAUCACUUGACUUGUUAUUCGAAUAGAAAAUUGCUAACUUAUUAUCGCAGUAUAAUUUCAGUGGCCUGCUUAUGCUAUCUACCACUCUUAAUCCUGGGAUGAAAUUUUUAAGCCAUACAGCUUGGCCCACAGCUUCAUAACAUGCCACAAACUCAGCUUGCAUUGUCGAUGCAGCUGUUAGUGUUUGUUUGGAGCUUUUUCACGAUGUAGCCUCAUUUGCAAGUGUGAAGCCAUAACCUGAUGUGGAUCUUCUUGUGUCAACACAACCCGCAAAAUCAGCAUCUGAAUAGCCGAUUAUCUCUAAUUUCUCAGUUCUCUUAUACGUUAGCAUGUAAUUCUUAGUGUCUUGCAUAUAACGCAAGGCCUUUCUAAUGGCCUAUUCCUGGAUUAGACUGAUAUCUUCCAAGCAUCCCGCUUAUAAAGGCCAAAUCAGGGAGUGUACACACUUGUGCAUACAUUAUGCUUCCGACAGCUGAAGCAUAAGGAAUCGUUCUCAUUUGAUCAACUUCUAAUUGAUUCCUGGGACUUUGAAAUAACCCAAACUUAUCACCCUUGACAAUCGGAGCAGCUGUGCCUGAACAUUGGCUCAUAUUAUAUCUCUCAAGGACCUUCUCUAUGUAGGCUCUUUGAGAGAGUCCUAAUACACCUUUGGACCUGUCUCGAUGAAUUUCAAUGCCUAAGACAUAAGUGGUAUCACCGAGGUCCUUCAUAUCAAAUUUCGAUGAGAGAAAUCCCUUGGUCUCAUGCAGCAAGUUCUUAUCGCUGCUUGCUAACAGGAUGUCAUCCACAUAAAGCACUAGGAUAAUUAUAGAGCUCCCCUUAGUCUUAACAUAUAUGCAGUUGUCCUUCUUAUUUUCAAUGAAGCCAAUUUGCGUAAUUACUUCAUCGAACUUAAGGUACCAUUGCCUGGACGCUUGUUCCAAUCCAUAAAUAGAUUUUCGUAGUUUGCAUCCCAAAUGUUCCCAUCACGAAACCCUCAGGUUGUUUCAUGUAUACAUUCUCAUGCAAGUCACCAUUAAGGAACGCAGUCUUAACGUCCAUCUGAUGCAGCUCAAGAUCAUAAUGAGCUACUAAGUCCAUAACGAUUCUAAAUGAAUCUUUCUUGGAGACAGGCAAGAAGGUUUUGUUAUAAUUGACUCCUUCCACUUGAGUGAAGCUGUGGCGGAUCCACUUCGGAUUAGCUAGAUUAGACAGGGUUAACUCGCCUAACAUGCGACACUCCUGCCUAAACCAGGUUAACACGAAGUGCCGUCGGAUUUCAUCCGAUUUAACCACUUAAACAGGAUCGAGUUCAGCAACUCACACAAAGGUGAGUGGUUCCAGAGAAUACAACGAGUCCACUGAGUUAAACAAGUUUACCCAUUUGGUUCGACCAUAAAAUCCAACAUCAGGGUUUUACACGGUUCAGGAGAAACAACAGAGAAAACACUAGCGGAAGACUUCGUCGGGGUCGGACAUCCCUGGUGAGGCCGACCGGGACAUCACUGGUUCCUUUCCUCGCCGUCCGAGGAAGGAUCCCACUCGACCGUCCAGCCCGGCGGGAGCUGGGGCGGCCAAGCGCCAGCAAGGGAGGGGUCGGAAGCAGCAACCUCACCUGAAAAACAGGAGCCACAACAAGGCUGAGCUACUAAGCUCAACAAGACUUAACCGAUAGGGGUAAAACUACUCCUCCUUCUAGACAUGCAGGGCUUUUUGGCUGAGGGGUUUGUUUGCCAAAAGUACUAAGUAUCCCUAUUUUCAAGUUUUAGCUCCGGUUCUAGGUUCAUUUGUCAGUCUAGGUUGUGCAACCUAUUCUAAGCAUUCAUAGAACCAAACAAGAUGUGUAGAUAUAUCCACCAAACAUGUCAUCAUCAGAUUCCUCAUUUACUCAGGGUGACACAGUGAUCAAGCAAUCUCAAACUGUGAGAGGCAGACGAAUCGAUUCGAGUUCUUUAACCAUGCAUGGUGAACCUAGCCUCACGACAUCCACGCACCCGGAGGUCGCUUCCUGUGUCGGCCUUCCCCAUCAAUCCCCUAACCCGUGUCGGGCCCAUUUCCUUUGGUGCAAGGUUCCACAGACCCGGCCUCUGCCGUUCUGUGACCACGCUUGCCACCACGUGCGACAACCAGCAGGGGAAACUCCGUUCCAAGAACAAUGGGGCGACCGCUCACGUCUAGGUUCAAUCCGGUACUAGGCUUCCUCAUCCCAUACUAAGUAUGAGGCUAGUACUUUCAAACACUUGAUCACGAACACCACCACUGUCGGGCCUUAGUAAGUUUUCAUAGACAGACGGGGCGAUCAUCCAUCCACCAAAGAGUUACCCAAAACCCUGCCCCGUCCAUCGUCCUUAUAGUUGUAACAGAAAGAUAGACAUCCAACUACUACAACUCGCGAGUGACAGGAGAUCACUCGACUUUUACCGUCUCCUAGUUAAGCAAGGCGACUACACGGUCCAACAGCUAGUGCUCAGAUCAUGGGGACAACUAAGUCAUGCAUCUAGGGUUUCACACAACUCCUAUACGUAAAUGCACAAGCAUGUUACAGAAGGCAUGCGCAAGUCUGGUAAAACACUCAAGGUUUUCAUGCAACCGGGGCUUGCCUUCAAGCAAGGAGGACGGGAACUGCUCGACUUCGGAGGCGACUUCGGCUUCGGAGGACAGGAGCUCGGCUACAGCUUCUUCUUCUGGCGCCGGGUGUAGCUCGUAGAAGCCGUCGGCGAGGUGCAGCUCUACACGAAUGCAAUGCAAGGGUUAGCAUAGACGGUUAUUUCAACAGCAACACUGACUCGCCUGAGCCCAGAAACUCGCGACAAAGAGCAGGAGGGUAUGGAGGUUCAAGAGAGCUGGUGAAGAUCAAGAGGUAAGGGUAGGAAAGGAACUUAUGAUCUGAUCCUUGAACUAGAGGAUGUGAUAUACUAGGAAGCCUCAGACGCAAGCGCUGAAGGGUUCCUACAUUUUACACAUACCCCCUCCAGUCGAAGAAAAAGAUCACAGCCGAGCCCUCGGGCGAGGCGGAUAAGGGUCGGCGGAACAGACAGGGUCGGGCGAGACGGAACCGGGGUCGGGCGAGGUGGACUGGGGUCGGCAACUCACCUUCUUCCUGAAAGGAAGGCUUAGGGUCGGGAAGAAGCAGACUUGGGCGGAGGGACUAAGGUUUUGAACAGAAGCUAAGACCGGCAAUGCUCCGGCGGCGGCGAUGCUUCUUGCGGAUCACAAGAGAGCUUUUACGCAGCACGGAGGAGCAAGCUACUGGGUGACUUGGAGAAAACUGAGAGAGAAUCCGAGAGAAGAACUCCUCAAGAACUUGGUGUGCGGCUCUAGGAGCUUGAGCAGGGAGCGAGAGAAUGGCUAAGGCGAUAAUGGUAGAGGGAACUCCGGCGACUGGGGCAUUCCUUUUAUAGCCGCUGGAACAGAGGAAAGGAAGCGGCGCGGGAGAGAGAGAAUGGGAGCGGCGCGAAGGCCGGGGAGAGGCAAUGGAGUGCUCUGCCAGGACGGCGAUUGAGCGAAGAGGGCGGUGGUGCAGAACUCCGGGGGUGACGCCAGCGAUCAUUGCGCUCUGUCGUCAGGGCGGCGUAGGAGCGGGUAGACCGGUGGUUGAGAUUUGGCGGAAAGCGGGCGUCGCCGUGCGGAAUAUUUGAUAGAAGCGACCGGUUUAACGGCGCUAGAAUCGAGGGUGCACAGGUGAGAGGACAGGCAGCUGCGGGCGCGGGCGAGAGCGCGGAACAACAGAUUGUCGGGCGGCUUCUGACAGAGCGGGGGAAAGGAGCUGUCGCGGCCGCGGUCGGGGUUGGCGGUGGAGGAAUCGUCGUGUAGCGGAGAUCGGGCGGCGCGACUGUGGUCAAAGGGAUGGAAAAGACGGGCGACAUCGGGCUCUGGGGCCGGGAUCUGGCGGCGUGAUGAUGGGCGCGGGAGGCGAGGCUCUGCAGAAAGGGGUGCAGAGGGGCUUCCGCUGCCAUUGGGGAAGGGGGCGCGAGAACCCACUUGGUCGCUUGCCAGAGACAAAACUAAGCAGCGGGCGUCGGAGAAGACGAGCCACGCGGCAGGGAGACUCUGAAGCGGGCAUGCAACUCGAGUGCGACUGUCGCGGAGGAUCUGGGAAAAGAUCUUGCGGGUCCACCGGUGGAUAGAACGGACGUUUGAGGAUGCUUAGCAGGAUCCGACGGUGGGCUGAGAUCGCCGGGGUCGGGAGAGGAGCGAAACGGGAAGGGGUCGGGUCUUCCGGGGUCGGAACCAGGCGGAAAGCUGACCACUCGGCGUGGGAAAAAGCAAGGUAGAUGACUAGGAUCAAGGGCUCUGAUCAAGACUAACUGGGAAGGUUUAGGGGUCGGUCGUUACAGCCUACCCCUCUUAAAAAGAAUCUCGUCCCGAGAUUCAGGCAUCAAAAGCAGGAUGACGUUUUUACCUCCUUGACGAGAUAGAAAACCUGGGAAGCGCUUGUUCAGAUAUUCGUCUGUUUCCCAUGUUGCUUCAUCUUCGGUGUGGUUUCUCCAGAGGAUCUUGUACAUCUUUACCACUUGGCGUUGGGUGUGCCUUUCCUUCUGGUCAAGAACUCGAUCUGGGUACUCAGCGUAGGUCAGGUCGGGCUCUACCUGAAGUUGUUCUUGCUCUAUGAUCUCUGCUGGAACUCGAACACAUUUCUUCAGUUGAGACACAUGGAAAACAUCGUGUAUGGCCGAUAGCUGUUCUGGGAGUUGGAUCCGGUAAACAACGGGUCCACAUAUCUCCACAAUCUCAUAAGGGCCAAUAUAGCGGGGAGCUAACUUGCCUUUUACUCCAAACCGUUGCACUCCUUUAGUCGGGGAGACUCGAAGGUACACAUGAUCACCAAGGUCGAACUGCAGGGGUCUCCUUCGCCGGUCAAAGUAACUCUUCUGUCGAGAUUGGGCAGCCUUGAGAUUAGCUUGAAUUAACUUUACUUGUUCUUCGGCUUCUGCCACUAAGUCAGGGCCAUAGACCUGUCUUUCUCCUGGUUGGGACCAGUUCAAGGGUGUCCUGCAUCUCCGGCCAUACAGGGCUUCGAACGGUGCCAUCUUCAAACUGGCCUGGUGACUGUUAUUGUAGGAGAAUUCUGCUAAGGGCAGACACUUGUCCCAAUUCUUGUCAUAGUGGAUAACACAAGCUCUUAACAUGUCUUCGAGGAUCUGAUUGACUAUCUCGGUUUGACCAUCGGUUUGAGGAUGAUAGGUUAAGCUUCGGAUGAGCUUAGUGCUCAUGGAUGCUUGUAGUUGCUCCUAAAAACGUGCCACAAACUGAACUCCUCGAUCAGAGAUGAUGGUCUUGGGUACACCAUGUAGGGAAAUUAUGCGAUCGAGGUACAACUCUGCAUACUGCUUGACGGUGUAGGUGGUGCGAACAGGAAGGAAGUGGGCGGUCUUGGUCAGACGGUCCACUAUAACCCAGAUGGAAUCAUAGCGUUGCGAUGUAAGGGGCAAUCCAACUAUGAAAUCCAUGCUGAUGUCUUCCCAUUUCCAAGAGGGAAUAGGUAGCGGUUGCAGGGUUCCUACUACCUUUAAAUGACUGGCCUUGACGCGUUGGCAGGUGUCACAUUCUGAAACAUACCGGGCAAUUUUCGGCUUCAUUCCACUCCACCAAAAGGUUUGACGGAGGUCAUGGUACAUCUUAUUGCUGCCAGGAUGGAUCGAGAACUUGGAGAGAUGAGCUUCAUCUAGGAUUUGCUUUCUCAGCUCGGGGUCGGCGGGUACAACUAGCCGGUUUCCAUAAUGCACACCUCCCGUUUUGUCCUGCCGGAAUUGCUUAUAUCCCUCAUCCUUUACUGAGAUCUUACUGAUGAUCCAUUGUACUUCCGUAUCUCUUACUUGUGCUGACCGGAUUUGGUCUUCCAAAACUGAGUUAAGGAUGAUGUGACCAAGGAUUCCAUGAGGAAUAAUCUCCAAACCGAGUUUUCCCAUCUCGUGACACAGAGUCUUGGUGAAGGCUGCUGACAACAAGCAGUUGCAAUGGUGUUUGCAACUGAGGGCAUCGGCUACCACAUUGGCUUUGCCGGGAUGAUAGUGCACUUCCAAUUCAUAAUCCUUUAUCAACUCCAGCCAUCUUCUCUGGCGCAUGUUGAGGUCGGCUUGAGUGAAGAUGUACUUGAGGCUCUUGUGGUCGGUGUAGAUGUUGCAGCGAGCUCCCAUUAGAUAGUGCCUCCAUAUCUUCAAAGCAUGUAUCACUGCUGCCAACUCAAGGUCAUGGGUUGGGUAGCUUAGCUCAUGAGGUCGUAACGCCCGUGAGGCAUAGGCAAUGACUCGAUUGUCUUGCAUAAGAACACAUCCGAGUCCAGUGCCAGAGGCGUCACAGUAUACGUCAUACGGCCUAGAGGGGUCGGGCUGAGCCAAAACUGGGGCUGUGGUCAGCAAGUGCUUCAGGGUCUUGAAGGUCUCUUCACACUUGUUGUCCCACACAAAUUUGGCCUCCUUCUUCAACAACGCAGUCAUCGGCUUAGCUAUCUUAGAGAAAUUCGGUAUGAAACGCCGAUAGUAGCCAGCCAGUCAAGAAAACUUCUGAUCUGGUGCACUGAGGCAGGAGGCUUCCAUUCCAUGACUUCGUGCACCUUACUGGGGUCAACGGUGAUACCUUCCUUGGAGAUAGUGUGUCCCAAGAACUUGACACUAUCCAGCCAGAACUCACACUUGGAGAACUUGGCGUAGAGUUGGUGAUCUCUUAGCCGUUGGAGAACUAUAUGAAGAUGGUCGGCAUGCUCUUCUUCGCUCUUUGAGUACACGAGGAUAUCAUCGAUAAACACCACCACAAACUUGUCCAGCUCGGGCAUGAACACCGAGUUCAUGAGGUACAUGAAAUAGGCGGGUGCAUUGGUGAGUCCAAAGGACAUGACUAGGUACUCGUACAGUCCAUAUCUGGUAGAGAAAGCUGUCUUGGGUAUGUCGCAGGGUCGAAUCUUUAUUUGGUGAUAACCAGAACGAAGAUCGAUCUUGGAGAACACUUUUGCUCCAGCUAGCUGAUCGAACAAGACAUCAAUGCGUGGCAGUGGGUACUUGUUCUUGACUGUCACGGCAUUGAGGGGUCGGUAAUCCACACACAUACGUAGACUGCCAUCCUUCUUCUUCACAAAUAGGGCAGGGCAACCCCAAGAUGAUGUACUGGGUCGGAUGAAGCCUUUUUCCAACAGAUCAUGCAACUGGGUCUUCAGCUCGGCUAACUCAGCGGGUGGCAUCCGAUAGGGUCUCUUAGAUAUAGGGGUUGUGCCAGGGAUUAACUCUAUGGAAAACUCCACUUCUCUAUCAGGUGGCAUACCUGGCAGGUCCUCCGGAAACACAUCAGGGUACUCACAGAUAACAGGGAGGUCUUCUGGACGGGCUCCCGAUAGAGGGUAGGCACAAGGAAACGCAGACUCAGGAUGGGUCAAGGAUAGGGUAGAAUUGCCAUGGGAGGGUGAGCUGAUGCAGAGAGAUUGGGCUACUGCAUCUAGAACCACAUGAUGUCGGGCCAUCCAAUCCAUACCAAGGAUGACAUCUAUGCCUUCUAGGUCAAGGAUGAUAAGGUUUUCCUUGAAGAGGGUGGGGCCUAGCUGGAGAGGUACAAGAAUAACAACCUGAUCCGAUGUUAUCCUUCCUCCAGGAGUGGCGAUCACAUAAGGUUCCUUAGUGUGACCGACACUUAGCCCACAUCUUUCCCUAGACUUACUCCCAAUAAAGCUAUGAGAGGCUCCCGAAUCAAACAACACAACAACAGCUUGAUUUAAAACAAGGAAAGUACCCAUCAUUACUGGCGCACCUUCGGGGAGCUCGGUCAAGCUGGUGUAGUUGAGUCGGCCUUGUCGGACUUGUACCUUGGGCCUUCUUCCUCUGGCUGCCAUGGUGUUCUGACCUUGCUGUUGAUUCUUGUUCCUGGGGCAGUCCUUUGCAAAAUGCCCUUCAUUGCCGCAGGUAAAACAACGGUUACUGGCUGUAGGGUGGGGUGGUGUUGGCAGGGUCGGCCGGGGCACUUGCGGUUGGAAGCCUAGAAAACGAGGCGCUGUCACUGGCGGGGGUCGGGCAAUCCAUGUCCCUGACUGCUGGGGUCGGCCAGGGGCUUGUGGAGGAACCAUCCGGAACCUUCGAGUCGGCUGACUCGGGAAUGCCACAGAGGCCUUCCUCUUCUGGUCGGCCUUGAGAGCUUGCAUGCAGUCCUCCUGAGAAAUGGCCAGAUUGACCAACUCAUUGUAGGUGUCCACCUUGAUGGGGUUCAACCUUUCCCUGAGCUCCAAGCUCAGUCCUCGGCGGAAUCUGUCCCGCUUCUUCUCGUCUGUGUCCGCAUGAUAGCCAGCAUAACGGCACAGGUCAUUGAAAGCUUGAGCGUAAUGCAGCACAUCUCGGGUUCCUUGAGUGAGGGCCAGAAACUCGUUGAGCUUGCGCUCCAGGAGACCUUCUGGAAUGUAAUGCGCCUUGAACGCCGUCUUGAACUCAUUCCAACUGACCACGUGGCCAACCGGCAGCAUGGCAUGGUAGUGAUCCCACCAAAGCCGUGCGGAGCCACGCAGCUGCUGGGCUGCAAACCGAGCCUUGUUGUUGUCGGGGCAUGGAGCGGUGAGAAGCUCAAACUUGAAUUCGAUCGUACGAACCCAAGCGUCAGCAUCGAGCGGUUCUUGUGUCUUUUGGAACAGAGGGGGCUGUGUCCCCAGAAAGUCCUCAUACCGAGCGAUAUGCGGCGGCUGCUGGGCUCUCCCACCAUGUGGCUGCUGCUGUUGCCCUUACACCAGGUGCCUUAGCAGCUCAGUUUGAGGUGCUAGGAUUGCCUCCAAUGGCGAUGGGGGCGGGGGCGGGGGAAGAUCCUGUCGCUGAUCGCUACCGCUGGGCACAGAACCAGACCUAGUGCGAUGCGCCAUCUGCAAGAGUUAACGCUCCAUUAAACUCAUAACCUUAGAGGGACUCCAACAAAUGGAACGUAUAAAUUAAAUCCUUCAAUGCGACUCUUGCCAUUGGUGCAACACACGUCCUCAUAGAGAAAACACACUUUUCUCGUUCUCAGAGUAGAUAACAUCUAUCUUGACCUGGCACUCAAUCUUCAGGCAAAACAGGUCAUAUACAGACUCCUAUGAUCCAACUCAAGCCAAGGGGUCGGCUAGGCGAUCCUUCCGAGAGAACAAGGGGUCGGCAACGAUCCCUACUUAAAAGGUCGGACGGGGCAGAAACUGCAUCAAGGGUCGGCGCACUCUGUCUCGCAAACUGGGGUCAGCCAACUAAACAGGCUCCCCGAAAAACAGCAUAUGGUCAUGGCGCAACUUACUUAACCUAGCAUCCACACCAUACAAAGAUGAAAAAGCUAGGCACCAGAAUUAACUUUAUAUACCAUGAUGUUCCAACACAGGGAGUACUCAACUCUAGGCUAACCUAUUACAACUUUUUCCAAAAAUCUAGGCUGCUGAGGAGUACAACAAAAAGAUGGUUCCCUGAGAACCCUUAAUCUACCAAUGGACACUAUGAGUCGGAGAAGGGGUGCCAUCUUCCUCUAUAUCCAUGCUGGACGCUCCCUCAUCUUCCUCAGGGUCCUCCUGAGCUUCGAGCUGCAUGUUGAGGGCAUGCAUAUCUUCGAGCUCAGCUUGAUGCUCCUCCAAAUGGGCAUUGGCAACUGCCAACUCCAUUUCCACCUCCAUCUUCUCCUCCGAGAGCUCUAUCAUGCCGUCCACGAGGUCGGCGACUUCUUCCUCAAGCUCGGAGAUCCGGUCUUGCAUAUCGUGGAUCUGGAUACCCCGUUGAAUCAGCUGGUAGGUUUAGCCUACCAUAUCUCUUCUUGUUGCCUGGAGGUACUCGUGAGUAUCUGCUGCCGUCCGGGCGAAGAGGGUCAUGGCUCUCCCCUGAAGCUCUAUCAACUGGUAGAGAGCGGCCAUGCACCUAAUGUUGGUGGAGAUGGUGACCAUGGCGCAGGUGGUGGCUAGCACUUCGAUGUUCCCGACGCGGUCAAGCCAUGCCAGGUCCAGCCGGUUUCUGAUGGGGAAGAGGCCGAUCGGGUCAAGCGUGAUCUUCACGGGAUGCAGCUGACAGAACUGGGUGAGCAACUGGAGGGCGGCGAACUCCCAUGUAUCUUCAGGACCAAGGCCAUAGGCUAUGAUGCCAAAAGAGGGCCAGUCGGGCCGUACAGGGGGAGGAGGUACCACCGCCUGCACUUGGCACGUCUGAAUACCCUGUUCCUGAUAUAGCCGUCCGGCAUACAAGGGUGGGGACUGGUACCCAAACCACUUCAACGUAUCCCACAAAAUCGCAGGGAAUCCCUCGAAAUGCAGGCACGUCGAUUGGAAUGUACCGUCCGCUCCAAAAAGAACGUGCCCGGGAAUAGCCAUCUGGAACCAAGAAACCGAAACCACGUGAGAUAGACUCUAAGGAUCAGGGGUCGGAUAGAGAAGCAUACUGUUUUGAUCGAGAGCAACUAAAAGAAACAAGAAAUCCUUAGAUCCAAGAGAACUCUUCCGAACAAGGUUGCUGUUGAGAAAGGAAACCGUACAACUUUUAGAGAUGACGCAUGCACGGCCUACCUUACUCUUAACCAAAAACAACUGCCCAAAAACUGUGGGUCUUACGCGGUCAGUGCCGGUGACAAGGCAACAAAUACGUCUCUCCCUAUAAUAACUAGUCGGUUCUACAACGUAUCUUAAACGAACGCGGUUAGCGUACCUGCAGAAAAACACCACACACGAACCUUUCGUGCCAGCACCCACGAAAGCGUUCCCAAACAUUACCGCUCACUAUAGGAACGGCACCCAUGCGUUUAAGGCUACAUGGACAGCACUCAACCGUGGAAAUAGGUUCCUUUUGAAUGGAACCAUAUAACCCUUCGCAUACUCGUGAUGCGGAAUCGGCACACGUAUGACAAACGUGGCGAAACAAUCAUGCUGAUAGGUUCGUUGGAAUCGAACCGUACCAACCUUCGUAUGGACCACAUACGGAACCUGCGCACGUGUGAUAGACAUGGGCGAAAACAACCGCGAAGAUAGGGUCCUUUGAAUGGAACUCCCUAUCAACCCUCGCAUGCUCGCGAUGCGGAACUCGGCACACGUAUGACAGACGUGGUGAUGUGCUGGAGGAGUUAGCAAGAUAACCAAGUAAUUAUUAGUCACCUAAAACAACCCCAAAAUCCCCUAGGGCCUCUCGUACUAAAGCCAUCCUUAACGAUCGUACGAGAUUUUUCAAAAGUUUCUUGCAACUUUUAGCUUUUCAAAGAAGUGUUUAGGGCUUGUUGGGUUCUCUGAAAUGCUAAACACGGCUCUGAUACCAGCUGUGGUGGAUCCACUUCGGAUUAGCUAGAUUAGACAGGGUUAAGUCGCCUAACAUGCGACACUCCUACCUAAACCAGGUUAACACGAAGUGCCGUCGGAUUUCAUCCAAUUUAACCACUUAAACAGGAUCGAGUUCAGCAACUCACACGAAGAUGAGUGGUUCCAGAGAAUACAACGAGUCCACUGAGUUAAACAAGUUUACCCAUUUGGUUCGACCAUAAAAUCCAACAUCAGGGUUUUACACGGUUCAGGAGAAACAACAGAGAAAACACUAGCGGAAGACUUCGUCGGGGUCGGACAUCCCUGGUGAGGCCGACCGGGACAUCACUGGUUCCUUUCCUCGCCGUCCGAGGAGGAUCCCACUCGACCAUCCAGCCCGGUGGGAGCUGGGGCGGCCAAGCGCCAGCAAGGGAGGGGUCGGAAGCAGCAACCUCACCUGAAAAACAGGAGCCACAACAAGGCUGAGCUACUAAGCUCAACAAGACUUAACCGAUAGGGGUAAAACUACUCCUCCUUCUAGACAUGCAGGGCUUUUUGGCUGAGGGGUUUGUUUGCCAAAAGCACUAAGUAUCCCUAUUUUCAAGUUUUAGCUCCAGUUCUAGGUUCAUUUGUCAGUCUAGGUUGUGCAACCUAUUCUAAGCAUUCAGAGAACCAAACAAGAUGUGUAGAUAUAUCCACCAAACAUGUCAUCAUCAGAUUCCUCAUUUACUCAGGGUGACACAGCGAUCAAGCAAUCGCAAACUGUGAGAGGCAGACGAAUCGAUUCGAGUUCUUUAACCAUCCAUGGUGAACCUAGCCUCACGACAUCCGCGCACCCGGAGGUCGCUUCCUGUGUCGGCCUUCCCCAUCAAUCCCCUAACCCGUGUCGGGCCCAUUUCCUUUGGUGCAAGGUUCCACGGACCCGGCCUCUGCCGUUCUGUGACCACGCUUGCCACCACGUGCGACAACCAGCAGGGGAAACUCCGUUCCAAGAACAAUGGGGCGACCGCUCACGUCUAGGUUCAAUCCGGUACUAGGCUUCCUCAUCCCAUACUAAGUAUGAGGCUAGUACUUUCAAACACUUGAUCACGAACACCACCACUGUCGGGCCUUAGCAAGUUUUCAUAGAUAGACGGAGCGAUCAUCCAUCCACCAAAGAGUUACCCAAAACCCUGCCCCGUCCAUCGUCCUUAUAGUUGUAACAGAAAGAUAGACAUCCAACUACUACAACUCGCGAGUGACAGGAGAUCACUCGACUUUUACCGUCUCCUAGUUAAGCAAGGCGACUACACGGUCCAACAGCUAGUGCUCAGAUCAUGGGGACAACUAAGUCAUGCAUCUAGGGUUUCACACAACUCCUAUACGUAAAUGCACAAGCAUGUUACAGAAGGCAUGCGCAAGUCUGGUAAAACACUCAAGGUUUUCAUGCAACCGGGGCUUGCCUUCAAGCAAGGAGGACAGGAACUGCUCGACUUCGGAGGCGACUUCGGCUUCGGAGGACAGGAGCUCGGCUACAGCUUCUUCUUCUGGCGCCGGGUGUAGCUCGUAGAAGCCGUCGGCGAGGUGCAGCUCUACACGAAUGCAAUGCAAGGGUUAGCAUAGACGGUUAUUUCAACAGCAACACUGACUCGCCUGAGCCCAGAAACUCGCGACAAAGAGCAGGAGGGUAUGGAGGUUCAAGAGAGCUGGUGAAGAUCAAGAGGUAAGGGUAGGAAAGGAACUUAUGAUCUGAUCCUUGAACUAGAGGAUGUGAUAUACUAGGAAGCCUCAGACGCAAGCGCUGAAGGGUUCUUACAUUUUACACAUACCCCCUCCGGUCGAAGAAAAAGAUCACAGCCGAGCCCUCGGGCGAGGCGGAUAAGGGUCGGCGGAAAAGACAGGGUCGGGCGAGACGGAACCGGGGUCGGGCGAGGUGGACUGGGGUCGGCAACUCACCUUCUUCCUGAAAGGAAGGCUUAGGGUCGGGAAGAAGCAGACUUGGGCGGAGGGACUAAGGUUUUGAACAAAAGCUAAGACCGGCAAUGCUCCGGCGGCGGCGAUGCUUCUUGCGGAUCACAAGAGAGCUUUUACGCAGCAUGGAGGAGCAAGCUGCUGGUGACUUGGAGAAAACUGAGAGAGAAUCCGAGAGAAGAACUCCUCAAGAACUUGGUGUGCGGCUCUAGGAGCUUGAGCAGGGAGCGAGAGAAUGGCUAAGGCGACAAUGGCGGAGGGAACUCCGGCGACUGGGGCAUUCCUUUUAUAGCCGCUGGAACAGAGGAAAGGAAGCGGCGUGGGAGAGAGAGAAGGGGAGCGGCGCGAAGGCCGGGGAGAGGCAAUGGAGUGCUCUGCCGGGGCGGCGAUUGAGUGAAGAGGGCGGUGGUGCAGAACUCCGGGGGUGACGCCAGCGAUCAUUGCGCUCUGUCGUCAGGGCGGCGUAGGAGCGGGUAGACCGAUGGUUGAGAUUUGGCGGAAAGCGGGCGUCGCCGUGCGGAAUAUUUGAUAGAAGCGUCCGGUUUAACGGCGCUAGAAUCGAGGACGCACAGGUGAGAGGACAGGCAGCUGCGGGCGCGGGCGAGAGCGCGGAACAACAGAUUGUCGGGCGACUUCUGACAGAGCGGGGGAAAGGAGCUGUCGCGGCCGCGGUCGGGGUUGGCGGUGGAGGAAUCGUCGUGUAGCGGAGAUCGGGCGGCGCGACUGUGGUGGAAGGGACGGAAAAGAUGGGCGACAUCGGGCUCUGGGGCCGGGAUCUGGCGGUGUGAUGAUGGGCGCGGGAGGCGAGGCUCUGCAGAAAGGGGUGCAGAGGGGCUUCCGCUGCCAUUGGGGAAGGGGGCGCGAGAACCCACUUGAUCGCUUGCCAGAGACAAAACUAAGCAGCGGGCGUCGGAGAAGACGAGCCACGCGGCAGGGAGACUCUGAAGCGGGCAUGCAACUCGAGUGCGACUGUCGGGGAGGAUCUGGGAAAAGAUCUUGCGGGUCCACCGGUGGAUAGAACGGACGUUUGAGGAUGCUUAGCAGGAUCCGACGGUGGGCUGAGAUCGCCGGGGUCGGGAGAGGAGCGAAACGGGAAGGGGUCGGGUCUUCCGGGGUCGGAACCAGGCGGAAAGCUGAGCACUCGGCGCGGGAAAAAGCAAGGUAGAUGACUAGGAUCAAGGGCUCUGAUCAAGACUAACUGGGAAGGUUUAGGGGUCGGUCGUUACAGAAGCCCUUAGCUACGAGUCUUGCUUUAAACCCUUCGAUCUUCCCUUUAGAGUCAUAUUUCAUCUUGUAGACCCAUUUGCAGCCUACUGUUUUGGCUCCUUGAGGAAUCUCUACUAAGUCCCAUACUCUAUUUGUUUCCAUGGAUUUUAACUCUUCUUCCAUGGCCUCGCACCACUUAUGCGAGUGCUCACUUUCUAUGGCCUUCUUAAAUGAGUUUGGGUCAUCCACCCUUCCCAUGUCGUGUACUUCUUCACUUGUGUACACAUACUCAUCGGAAAGGUUGGACUUCCUCUCACGUGUUGACCUUCUCAGAGGUUGUGGUGCUACUGCUUGUGGUGCUUCUUCUUGAGAAGAUUCCUGCUGAACUACCUCGGGCUCAUCAGUUGCCUCCCCUUGCAAUCCACCAGCAGGUUCUGCCACAUCUUCACUUUGAUGCUCACUUAUCACAGGUGCAUCUACAUUUUCGCUUAAGGUAGGUGUUACCUCCCCAUGCAUUACUGGAGGUUCCACAACCUGAGAUGUAACUGUGGUAUGUGGCAUAGGAGCAUAAUAAUCCUGUCUUAUGGGUAACGGCUCAUAAGUCCGAAUCUCCUCAAGAUCAAUUUUUCUAGCCUCAAUGCAUCCAGUUUCCUCUAAGAAGACAGCAUGCCUCAUCUCCACAAACUUAGUGGUACGCUUAGGACAAUAAAAGCGGUACCCCUUUGACUUUUCCAGAUAUCCAAUAAAGUAGCAACUUUCAGUCUUAGAGUCUAAUUUUCCAAGUUGUGGAUUGAAUAUCUUAGCUUCAGCUGCACAACCCCAGACAUGUAAGUAAUUCAUGUUGGGCUUCCUACCAGUCCAAAGCUCAUAGGGAGUCUUAGGGACUGACUUACUAGGAACAUGAUUAUUAAUGUGUGCGGCAGUCUUUAAAGCUUCCAUCCACAAACUCACUGGCAGCGUAGAGUUACUGAGCAUACUACGCACCAUGUUCAUAAGGGUACGAUUUCUUCUCUCAGCAACACCAUUUUGCUAAGGCUCACCAGGAGUGGAAUAUUGAGAUGCUAUACCAUUAUCUUGGAGAAAUCUGGCAAAGGGUCCCAGAACUUGUCCAUAUGUGGAGUGUUUUCCAUAAUACUCCCCUCCCCUAUCUAAUCUUACCACUUUGAUCUUUAAGUCAUGGUGAUUUUCUACUUCAGCUUUAAAGAUUUUAAACUUAUCAAGUGCUUCAGACUUUUCGCGUAUGGGGUAAAUGUAUCCAUAGCGGGAGAAAUCAUCAGUGAAGGCAAUGAAGUAAUUAUAACCAUCCACUGAUCUUACAUUAAAUGGACCGCAUAUAUCAGUAUGAAUUAUUUCUAAUAAUCCUGAACUGCGCUUAGCUCCAUCCUUCUUAAUCUGCUUUGCAAAUUUUCCCUUAAUGCAAUCAACACAUUGAUCUAAGUCAGAGAAAUCUAAUUUUGGAAGUAUCUCUUCUCUAAUGAGACGCUCCAUCCUCCCCUUCGAAAUGUGGCCUAAGCGGAAGUGCCACAAUUUCGAUGAAGUCUCAGUGGUUCUCUUAUGCUUAUGGUUGACAUCGCUUACAUUCAUCACAGAGAUAUUAACACUUAGAGGUAAUAAGUAAAGCUUGUCAUGCAAAGGGGCAUGACCAAUAAUCUGAUUAUUAAAACUUAUUACACACUGAUUGUUUCCAAAAUUGCAAGAAUAUCCAUCACAAUCUAAUGCUGAAACUGAAAUCAAGUUCCUCUUAAGUGACGGUACAUAAAGGACAUUACUUAAAUGAAGCAUAAAGUUAUUGCUAAGUUCUAUAGAGAGAUCUCCAAUAGCCUCAACUUCAGCUUCAAGCCCAUUUGCAACUUUAACGGUGCGAGUCUCCCUUCUUAUAGUCCGCGCGCCAUGUAAUUCCUGUGAGGAAUUAGUAACAUGAAUGGUAGCCCCAGAGUCAAUCCACCAUGAACUUAAUGGAAAAUUUACAUAAAAAGAUUCAUCGAUUAUAGAAAUCAAGUCAUCAUUACCAUUCUUGAUGCAUCAUUCCUUGAACUGAGCACAAUGCUUCUUAAUAUGUCCAUAAUCCUUGCAGUGAUGGCAUCUAGGACCCUUAGACGAGGAUGACCCAUCAUUCUUAGGAGGAGGAGGUUGAUUAGGUUUCUUAUUUUUCUUAAUUUUCUUAAAAGGGGAGAUUUGCUUAUUCUUGCCUUUAUUCACCUCAUGCCUGAUGAGGUUGGCAAAAUCGUCCUUCUCUUAUCUGAGCCUUUCUUCCUCCUAAGAACACUUCGCGAUGAGUGUGGGAAUAUCCCACUUCGCGUCACUACCAUUAUAGUUUAUCUUAAAGGGUUCAAACACUGAAGGCAACGAGAGCAUGAUGUGAUGAAGCAGUGUCUCAUCAUUAAGGGAGCAAUUCAAGUCGUUGAGCUUAUCCCUUAGGUCAACGAGACUCAUGAUAUUCUCCCUAACACUGCCUUGUCCAUCAUACUUGGUGUUCAUUAGCUUUGUCAGGAGGGUGCUAGCAUUAGCCUUACUGGAGCCUUUGAAGUACUCCUCAACCUUCUCCAUGAAAUGUUUGGCACUUUUGGGAUGUUUCUCAAUGGCUUCCCUUAUUGCCGGGUUUAUCGUCUGCUUCAUGAUCAUUAGGGCUACCCUGUCUGAUCGCUCCCACCGCUCCUUUUCCUUCUCAUAGGUAGCAGUGCGCUCAGGGAGGGUGGUGUCAUUAUCCCCUUGAGCAGUAGGAGCAACAGGAUACUUAUCCCUCAUGGAGUGGUCCCUGUCCAUGAUGCAAAGGACCAACCCAAUAUCAUUCUUCCAGUUGGUAAAGUUAUCUCCCCCAAGCUUCUGUAUGCCGUUAACAUAGCUUAUGACGCUUGAUAGAGUCAAGUCUGAGGGAAAUAAAAGAAUCUUAAUUAGUGAUGAUGACAAUAGUAAAUAACAAAUUCAAUUUGCGUUGGCUCGAUUAAAGACGUAAGCAACUUUGCAUCACUGUUGGGCAGAAGCAAAGACAUAAUUAAAAUGACAUGAAAUAAUUUUGCAUCACUGUUGGGCAGAAGCAAAAAUAUUGAAGAUAAUAAAAACACUUAGGCAUGUCAAAUUAAUAUCAACAUUGGUUAGAAAUUAAUUGCGUGCCUCAUAAAAUAGUUCUGAAAUAAAUGCCGCGUUGGUUCAAUUUAAUCAGAACUUCAUCACUUAGCGCAUUGGCCUGCCAGCGGCGCGGCCAACGGUCCGUGCGAGCAGCCUGAGUGCGCACGGCAGCCUGCGAGCGGAGCAAAAUGGCCCAGCGCGCGGCGGCGAAACAACGACCCUGCUGAAGGCCCCUGAAUCGGCACGCGCAAGCAGCGCACGAGAAAACAGCCCAGCUCGGACUAAACUUACGGCCCGGUCCGCACGCGGCUAACGUAUGCAGCGGCCCGCAUAAAAACUCAGCAACGAAAACGGCCCAACUUACGGCCUAAGGGGGUGUUUGGAUACGAGGUACUAAACUUUAGGAGUGUCACAUCGGAUGUUCGGACGUUAAUUAGGAGGAUCAAACAUGAGCUAAUUAUAAAACUAAUUGCAGAACCUCUAUACUAAUUAGCGAGAUGAAUCCAUUAAGCCUAAUUAAUCCAUGAUUAGCAACUGGUUACUGUAGCACCACAUUGUCAAAUCAUGGACUAAUUAGACUUAAUAGAUUCAUCUCGCGAAUUAGACUCCAUCUAUGCAAUUAGUUUAAUAAUUAGAUUAUAUUUAAUAUUUCUAAUUAGUAUCUAAACAUCCGAUGUGACGUGUCCUAAAGUUUAGGAGGUGUUUCCCAAACACCCCCUAAACUAGGUUCCCGCGCUGGCCUGGGUUCUAAGCCCAGCAGCCAAUGGUUGGGCUACCAUUUCAGCCCAGCUACCUCCCCGCGGCGAUCUUCACCGUUCCUGAGAUCCAACGGUGGCGCGCACGUCUCGGUCGAUCAAAACGCGCGCCGGCCGGCUCCAGGGAAACCCUAGGCCAUUCGCCUUCUCCCGUAGCCGCAGCCGUUCUUCUCCCGCAACACCUGCCUUCCUCCCCUCUUCUCCGUCUCCGCAUCUCCCCGAUCCCGAGCGCCCGCCGCCGGUGAGCCACGCCGCCACCUUGCCUCAGCGCCUCCGCGGGCCCUCCCGCCGGCAUGGGCGUGCGACCAAGUCGCGCGGCAUGCCGUCGGGGGCUCCGCUGGAGCGUUUUCUCCAAGGCAGCGGGUGCCUGAGCACACGGCGCGGCCGGCCGACGACCGGCGACGGCGAGCCUGAGCUGAAGCUCGCCGAGGUGUUUUCGGCUUCGGUUGCGGCGGAUCUGACGCCGCAGUUCGGUCACGGUGAGUAGACCAAGACGCACCCGUGCCCACGCCACGACCAAGUCAUGUGCGCGCUGAUGGCCGGUGCGGUUCGGCGGAGAGGCACGUCGGCGUCCAUGCGGACCGGCCAUGAUGCCACGCGCGGCCGUCGUGCUCUGAGGUAAGUGCUUAUCCUCGGGUUAGGGGGUUUAGGGUUAGGGUUCUGAUGGGGAUUUCGGCCUUUCUUAACUUGUGAUCUCAUCGAUUCGAUCUCCCCUCCUUCUAAAUGCUGAUGCGCGUCUUAAUUUUGACACUGUGAGUUCUAAUCGCGCGGGGUAAAGCUUAACAGUGAGAUUUUGGGGACGAAUCUAUAGACGAGUCAACCCUAAUCGCUUAAUUAGGACUCCAUUAGGAUCUGAUCUGCUAACUUGUGCAUGAAGUCGAACUUAAAUAACUUGAUUAACCUUGAUUCUAGGCAUGAUGUGUACCUAUAUUGACCUUAGGUGACUUAACAGAUCAAUAUUUAGACUAAAACUUGACCUGACAUGCACUAGAAAAAAGGGAUCUACUCGACUAGAGACACAUGCAAUCCUUACUCAGGGACUUAAAGGGCUUGGAUUCACAUCAAAAACUAGUCGGCGAGGCUAAUUGUGACUUAAACAUGAGCUUUAAAUUUAAACAUGAGCACAAUUAGGCACAAAAUCUCACUGACUAGUUCAAGAAAGGUACUGUGUAGAUCAAGAACAUGACUGACAGUACAACAACAACUCAAUUGCACACUAAGAUCCAAUCUGCACAGCCUUAGGGUUCAAUUCUAGAUGCGUAGGCUAACUAAUACCAAAUGUAGGGAACUACAUUACUCAGUCUUAAUCUAAACAGGAUCUUAUGCAUCUAAGAACAUGAACACCACUUAGAGUAGAGAUGAGACAUCCAACCGGCAGCCAUAGUUUGCGACGAUCCGGCCAUGAUUGUCGUGGACGAGGCCGGGAUGGGAUCUGCCGUAGGUGUGCUCGCCGUAGGUGUACAAGCUUGACGUAGAUCAUGCCUGCCUUCGGGCCUCCACCUCGUCUGUCCAGGGACGGCGAUGGUGGUGUUGCGGUAGCCUUAGGGCGAUUCCAGCGCUGCCACGAUCGGGUUGGCGUGUGGGGGGAGUUCUCUGGAGGUUUUGGUGCGUUAGCAGUCAACCCAAAACCCGCCGCCGGCUCCCCCUUUUCUUAUAGCGCAGGGUCGCUCGGGGCCACAACCAUAGUUCGGUUGCGCCUCCGAUCGAGGCGCGAGGUGGACCUUCACGAGGGAAACGUAGUCGGCGUCACCUUAUCCCACCUGUUUUUCCUCUCUGUUAGUUUUCCUUUUGACCACCUUCAAAAUAUUUCCAACAAAAAGGUCUUGAUUAUUGGAAGAACCCUACGCUACAAGAUUUAAGAAGCUGGAUAGAACUAUGGGUGAUCUGGAGAUGUUUGAGUGGUAUCUUAUUCCCACUUUAGACUAAAACGAAAAAAAUUGUGACAGAACUAUAAGUUUAAGGCCCUCUUUGAAAAAAAGAAAAAUCAUAAGAACUUUGAAGGAUCCCAUUCCUAUAAGAAAAUUUUCUAGGUAGCCUUUUGGAACGACGCACCCUGUUAAAUUCCUUAGGAUAUCUACGUAAUACAUGAAUCUAUAGAAAUUUAGAGAAAAACUAACAUGAAGUUGGACCUCAUGAAAAUUUUUACUUUGUGCCUAUCUCUCUCUUCAAAAUCUGAUGUUUAUUUCCUGCGUUGUAUCCACAUGCUCCUUUAAACAUUUUCUCGUGAUUUCUUUUUUUUUUUUGAAACGCACGAAGGAGAUGCUCACAUGCACGCGCACACCCCCAUGAAUACACAUACCCUACCUUUAUGAGCACUGACGAGAGAAUGAGCCGGCUGAUCUCAACUCGAGAUUGACGAAGCCUCUAUACGCCUCGUUGAUCUACCAUUGAAAAAAUAACGUUAGUUAAAUCCUAAAAUAAAUCGAAAAAAUAUAAGCACUGUACACAGAAGCAAGCUAUCAACGAGCAUCUCACCUAAUAUAGAAAGAACCUAAUAUAGAAAGAAUAACGCCAGUUAAAUUUUAUAUCUGGGUGGAUUAGAUUAGAAACUAAAGAUCCUACAUGAAUUCUAACUCAUUUUAUAUCUGGAUGGAUUAGAUUAGAAACUAAAGAUCCUACAUGAAUUCAAAAGUUAGAGAUCCACCAAAAAAAACAUAAUACUUUGUGUGUACAUACAUUUAUCUUCAAGAAGUGCUUGUAGUACAAUUUAUUUUCAAACCUUCCUAACUAGUAUGUCGUAAUAGAUAAUACUUUAUGAAAUUCCAGCGAAGAUCGACAGAAUUAUUAGUGCCCAUGUCUCCGGGCCACCGAUCUUCACGGGUUCUGUUGUGUAGCUGAUCCCGAAACAAAGCCAAGCCAAGAUGGUGGGAGAUGUUCGAUAAUGAACCCUGAACAUGUCAGAGUUGGUUGGCAGUGUUGUCAGAGUUGGUUGGCAGUGUGGUUACUACUGGUUAGCUGGCAGCUGGGUUUCCUUUCGAGUGAAACUCAUCGAGUUCAAGUUUCUAACUUAGGGGUGUUUUUAUUACGGUCACAUCGGAUGUCGAUGCUAAUUAAAAGGAUUAAAUAUGAGUUAAUUACAAAUCUAAUUGCACAGAUGGAGUUUAAUUCGCGAGACGAAUCUGUUAAGGCUAAUUAAUCCAUCACUAGCAAAUGGUUACUGUAGCACCACAUUGUCAAAUCAUAGACUAAUUAGGCUUAAUAGAUUCGUCUCACGAAUUAGAUUUCAUAUGUGCAGUUAGUUUUUGUAAUUAGAUUAUGUUUAAUAUUCCUAAUUAGUAUCAAACAUCCAAGGUGACAAGCGCUAAAGUUUAGCAUGAGGUUUCCAGACACCCUCUUAGUAGGAGUAUGUUUUUUUUUGCAACGAAAUGAGAGAUUUAUUGAAGCUUAUACAAAGGCAUUACAAACUAGCACACGGAUAAAGUCUGGAGCAUCAACAAAAUACAUACGACUCUACCUCAGUCUAGUUGCAAUGCAAGAUGUGCCAACUCGUGCAUGUGGCUAUGUCCGCCGUCCGCGGCACGAUCGUGUAUCGACGGGUGAUUCUCGACAUCUGCUGUGUAUGUGUGCGGUGAUCUGCCGAAGGCAGACGUUAGCCUUUAAAAAGAGGGGAGUGUAAUACCCAGCUCAAUAUACAACUGUAGUUGAAAUUGGUUGUCCUUUCAAAUAUAUAUCUUCAGAUUAAUCUUUUUACAUGAAAUGAGAACAAAAGUAUAAGAUGAGUGCUAUACAUUUGCGGGUUCCUUUCACAUAAGGAGCUCACAGGUUUUGAAGCUGAACUAAUCGAUAUAGUUUGACGAAGUAAAUUGAGCCUAAAUUGUAUUCAGGAGAUAAACCGACAAAGUGGCAUGGUAUGUAGUUAUAUAUUUUUUUCCAAAUAAAAUAAUAGAUUACUUUCAUUCACCACGUUUUUUUCGAACCACAAUAAAGACAAAACGCUCACAUACGUACGUGCACACUUAACUCAUAAAUAUACUUAACUCAUAAAUAUACGCACGCAACUUUAUUAUGGAGCCGGCAGAUCCUUUAGAUUGAUGAACCACCACUGGUGCCUUGUCAGGCACGUUGCUUACGUGAGUAAAUGUGAGCACCCAUGCUAAAUCGAGGACUCAAAUCUCGAUAAGUAAACUCAAAUCUCGAUAAGUAAAUUCCACCACAAGAGUGCUAGAAGCACUAGGCUCACAAGUGUUCAUACCAUAAGUAGGGCUAUGAACAACCAAAAGCCUAGAAGUAUAAGCUCGCUGCUUUUGUAUUGCACGGUGAUAGCAAAAAGUCUCUUGAUGCCCAUCUUUCUCACAAUAAGAGCAAUGGUACAAAGGCCUAUUUGGAGGUACGGUUCGAGAGGACAAAUUACCAUUCUCAUUCAAGUGAGAUGUUUCUUGGGAUUUAGAGCAAGAAGUAUCAACAACACCAUUUGAUUUGGUACCCACAUUUGGAUCACACGUGCCAUGGGAAAGGCUACGUGGCUUCCUAAAAGCUUUGGCACGCACACAUCUCUCAUGCUUGACACGGCAAAAGCUCGGUGUGCACAUCAUUCUUACAAAAGGUGCAAUGGAACUUCAGUUUGGGAGUAUGAGUUCCAAAAAUGUGAGAAGCACCCUUGCCACUGAAUUGCCUUGGGCAAUACCGGAAGAAGCAAUAAGCUGAGGAGUAGCUAUAAAAGAGCUAUUCAAAGCACUAGCACAGGUGCUAUCGUCCAAAGACUCACGCUCAACACAAGAAGCCAACUCCGAUAGGGAAGAAGCAAUUAUGGAAGCACUAACAUCGGAGUGACAAGAAUUACGAAAAUCAAAAGACUUAGCACAAAGACUCUUGCAUCUUGUGGCCAAAAUCUUAUUUUCAUGUUUAAAGCAAUCACAACUACCACAUGGAGCAUUUCUCAAAUUAUCCAUCUCCUUUUCAAUGCACUUAGCAUAUGUGGUAUGCAAAAAUUAUUUUCUUUCUCAAAAUUAGCACUCAUCUCAUUGCGCUCAACCAACUUGGCGCUCAUAUCAUCGCGCAUUUGCUUCAAAGCCAAAACUUCACUUUCCAAUUCAAUGCAUGAUGUGCAAAUAAGUUCGCAUGAACAAUCAUCAUCAUUCACAUCAAGCACGGCAUUAUUAUCACAAGAAGUAAGGCAAGCAUCAUCAUCUAGAACCAAAGAGCACAUGCUACAAGGCAUAGACUUCAUUUUACAAAUUUUAGCUUUAACAUGCUCAAGUUGUUCAACACAUGUGGUGUAAGUCAAUUUUAAUUCAUUAUUUCAGCAAGCAAAUACUCACAUGAAACCCAUGGUAAAGAAGCAUUAGAUUUCAAUAGAGCAAUUUCAUCUCUAGCCUUAUCAAGAUCAUUAUUCAAACCAACACAUGAAUUACAUGGCAUAGAGGCAUUGCAAUUCAACAAGUCAUUUUCAGAUUUUAAGCAAGCAAGAGAAGACUUCAAUUCACCGUUCAUUUUAAGUAAGCUAUCACAAGAAUUGCAAGGAUUCAGAGCACGUGAUUUCCAAUGAGCAAUUCCACAUUUCAACUUAGCAAGAGAACAUUUCAUCAUCUCAUUCUUCCUAUGCAAAGCAUCACAAAGCUCAAUGUUUCUCUCAUUUUCAUCUUCACAAUCAUCAACACGAUUGCAUAAAAUCAUGAUGCAUUUGGCAAGCGUACCUUGGCUCAUGUCUCUUAGCCUGCGGUAGAACUCACCCUUCGUGAUCACCGUCUUGGUAGUUCUCGAGGAGAUCUAUCACCGCCUCCACUUCUGAUUCCAACUCAAUCUCCAAACUCCUACUACCUGAAGAUAAUGAAACACAAGAAGAAGAGCUUGGUGCCAUAGCUCAAAGCACCAGUUAGGAUUAGUCGAAAGCAAGCUCAAAACUCAAAAAACCAAAUCCGCAAGAAAAAACGCCCUUUACCUUAUCGUCCUAUGGAUCACAAAGCCGAUUAAGAUGGUGUGAUCCUUAACCAAGCUUUGAUACCAAUUGAAGGACUGGGAUGGGCGACCACAGAGGGGUGAAUGGGAGCCUUUAAAAAAAUUCUCUCCAAGAACAAAAUAUAUAUCCCGUUUGCCACCCUAAAUGCACCUCGCUCCUAAUCGCCAAGAUGACACAAAUCAACUCAUGACAAGCUUACCGUAUGAACGAUUAGAAACGUUCAAAGCGUAGCGGAAUCAAAGACAAAAGCUUAAAGGGGCUACUCACAAAUUACUGGCUAAGAAAAGAGCUCUAGUUAACCAUGUGAAAAUCCAUAUAAAAUAGCUAAGCUGCAGCUACUGUAACACUGAUGAGCUACUGACCUAUUGCCACGAAACAACCAGGUAAUACAUCGGCCAAGAACUGAUUAGCUAUUUAGCUCACUGUUCAUGCAUAUAAACAAAGCUAUUGUGCUAUCUUAACAUGCAAAACAGAGCACUAACUGAAAACUAAUCAGAGCUAUAGGUAAUACUUUAACCAAGAACUAUGAUCAGCCAAUUCUAGUACUCGAUCUCAGCACAUGCAUGUAAUGAUUGUAAUGAUUGUUUGACGGUAGCAAGGAAGGGACAUCCAAGAUUAACUGCUCACCUGAUGCAUGUCGUUGCGGCUGUCCGCCUGGGCAGGCCUGGUGCCGUCGGGCUGGUGGAUGCUCUGGCCUCCGUCCCCUGCGCGAGCUGGGCCGCCUAGUGCGUCGCUGGGUGCUCGGCCGCUGGCCACCAGCUGGGCUGCCUUGGCACGAGCGUGUCGCGUGUGGCAGGUCGCUUCGGCCUGUACUGCGUCGGGCCUGCUGCCGCCGGCCUGCAGCUACGUCGCCUGGCCCGCGAGGUGCAGCCGCUGGCCUGCGUCGCACGUGCUGGAUGCCGCUGCAGCGCGUCGCCUCUCCCUUUGCGUGAACCCAAAGCUCACGAACAGAAACAAGAACAGAAGAACACCAAGAAAAACGCCCAACUUGAAACUCGAGCCACGGAUCCAAACCAAACUCGAGCCACAGUAGCACCUCCUCAAGGACUAACAGAUCUAGGAAGAAGAUUCAAAAAGCUCAUGUAUUCACAGCGGAUUUCGAAGAAAACCGAACACCCUUCCCAAAGCUCGGUUUCGGGAAAAACUUCAAAUCCGGGUGCUCGGUGAGGGAUUUGUUAGACAAUCACACUAGCCUUGUUCACACACGUCCUAGCACCGAUUUGCCCCAAAAAAUCUGUCCCAAAUCGCAGCCAAAUCGGACGAACGAAAAUUCAAAAAAAAUUCACCCGAAAAUACCGAAAAACAAAAAUGCUCGGGAAAGAUGAAGUAACUUUACUUCUCCACCAUGAUCAGUUACAAGCCAUUUCUAAGCACAAUCAAAAUUAGGAUGGUAAAAACAUCAACACAAAGAUCUACUCAUCUUCUAAAGACUCUCAAACAUAAAAUAAGAAGUCCACCACCUAACAACCUGUGAGUAUAAUCUGUAGCCGGCCAUAAAGUAGACUAUUAUGUAGCCAGUCCACGUGUCGUGCUAGGAUUAGCCAGUAGCGGUCCCCUUUCCCACCCGCGUGACCCGCGCCUCCAGGCUUCAGCCGAGCAUGCACAACGUAGAGCCAGUAGCUAAGGGCAGUCCUAAUGGGAGAAACCAACCUAGUUUCCAUAGUUUAGGAUAUUGUAUCAAGAAAUCAUCCUUCACAAUGUAACACUUUUUAUCUAGAGUCUAAACAAAAAUCCAACCAAUCAUUCUUCCUUCUAGUACCAGAUCCUUUGUGCAUCAUGUAAAGGAGCUCGAGUGAUGGGUAGCAGCGGUGCAAGCGUAAAGGAUCCGGCAGUAAGUAAGAAGAAACUACUUGGGUCUCCCCAAUACAGAUUUGCUGGUUUCUUGGCUCAUUGGUGCGCGUGAGGACUUGGUUUCCUCUCUAAGAAAUGGUUUCUCUCUCUCCAUAAUAAAUCUACUGCCACAUCAGCAAAUUGCUUAGUUGGCAUGAUAAUUAAGAGGGAUAGAAACUAUCAUCAAUGUCCCAUUGGGACUGCCCUAAUUACAAGCGAGCCGAGCGCGCUGCUCAUUUACUGCCUCGUCCGUGAUCAGCGGCUGGAAAAGGGAAGGCUGGAUUAACAGGUAGUAACUCCCAUUUCGAUGACGCCGGGCAAAGCAACCAGUGCUGCAGGUGAGUCCGUAAUUUUCCAUGCAGUGGGCUUCAUCAAUUGGAUGUCUAAGUCUUGUGGAUGAGUUGAGCUGUGUGGAGGAACCAAUCACUAUAAUGAAGAGACCGAUUUUGUGGUGACAUAGUUAAGUUAAUCCCAAUGUUUGAGAUGAUAAAGUAGACUAUUCACUAUAAUCCAUAUGUAGACUACGCUGUGACGUUUUUGACUACAACUCGAUUGUAUGUUACUAUAAUAUAAUGGUGAGUUACCACAAUACAGAUUGAAACAAUCACUUUUUUUUCAAAUCGGAUCAACUACAAAUGACAAUACAGAUUCAAUACUUGUAAUAUAACAUGACACUAUUCCACGUUGCUGAAUAUGAUACAAAGUGCUUGCUUCCACAUUCUUGAACUCGAUUAUAUGUUGCUUGCUUUCCCUAGCUCCAACUGAAUCUGAUCAUGCAGUUAGGCACCAGGACGGUGGGGAGAAGGCACAAGGGAGCUGAAGCGCUAUCUAUCAAUCAGUGCUGAGUAGGCUGCUCUCUAAAGUAAGUGCCCAGAUGCUACCCAGAGAUUCCGACGAGGCAUCAUCACCUGUAGUCAUUUAAAAAUAAGAACAGAGUAAAUAACAUAUGAUCAUUUAGCAAGCCUGAAAAGCUGGAACUGUACAUAUUGAAUUAAAAACAGGCAUGCUGGAAAGAGCCACAGUUAUGUCCAAAUUUAUAAUAUGACAGCAGAGAACUGGAGAUACUAAGGAAACAAAUUAUGGUAAUUAUGACUGUGGUAACAAAAUUAUCAGAGACAGAGCUCUGCCUUGCCACUGACAUAGUGAUAAGAGAUAAGCAUUAUUUCUGUGUAAUGUGAAUACACUAAUCCAUUGAUAAUAAGUGGACUGGAACUAUAAGGAAAUUUGCUAGCAGGAAAUUGUUAGUCGGAAACAAGUUAGUUGAGUGGCAGUACGGAUAAAUAGACAGUAGGUUAUAUGUUUAUUUUGAUGCAAAUAAUCAGCCAUGUAGAUAAAGAUCAAGGCCUGUGUGCCCCAAGUCCAGCAAGAACCUUCUUAUAUUGUAAAUACUUGUUGAAGUAACGCAUGCAAACUAUGGUAAAUGUUCGGGCAGUUACGAGGAUCCAUCAGGAGGGUGAGUUACCACAUUUCAGUGUCAAGAAUUUUGUAAAUUGUUAUGUGACUUUUAUGCCCUUGUAUGUGGUUAAUCUUUUACGAGAAUUUUAUAAAUGACUCAGUAGAAUCUGUCCUUUAUGAGAUUUACUAGAAUCCAUGGCUGGUUAUAACCUUGUAAAUCCAACAACCAUGACUUACCAGAAUCUGUUAACAGGGAAUUUUGUUACUGAUUUAUUAGAAUAUUUGCCCCUUGUCUGCAAUUUACAAUAAUCUUAUAUUUUAGUCAGCUGACUUAUGAUUUAUUGAGAUCUUACCACCUCAAAAUUUUAAAUAUGAUAGAUGAAUUGUGAAAUACACACAAUGGGUAUAAUCAGUAGAGUAAACGAGGGAAGCAGAAUUACGUGAUGCUUACCUCAGGGUCUCUACGCUGGCUUGGAUUAGGAUGGACUGGUCACCCAAAACCGAAGAACUCCUGCAAUAACACCGGCAGCAAUACAAGUACGGAUGGCACAGGUGCGAUGCUGCUUCAUUAUCACAAACAUGGUGGGCUGGAUUUGAUCAGAAAUUCAGAAUUAAAAAAGAACGAUAUAAUUAUGUGAUGUACAGGAGCUUUAUAAAUAAUUACUUGAUCUAAGUGAUUUACGAUAAUUCUGUAUUUAAUUUAAAAGGUGUGCACCAACAAUGUGGUAACUCUGUUUAUACGAAUACCAUCAAAAAAAUAUCAUUUUUACCACAACUUCAUCACGUUACCUGACCCAUUAGGUAUUCUCUUACUCAUCAUCACUAAUUUUAUUUUUUAGUAUAACAGUAACCACCAGAAGUGAAUUCAUCUAGCACAUCUACAGGUUUUCUGGGAGUGCAAGGCAGCAACAACUAGUCAAUCCAGGUGAAAAUCGAAAAAAUGAAGCAUGUAUAACAAUGAUGCAUAGUAGGACUUACUGCAUGAGAAAUGUCUGAAAAUUUACUAUAUAUCAGGAUCAGGAGGUACCAUAAUUUUUUGUCAAGCUGUUCCAGGAAACCAUUUACUGUGUAAUGAUGAGAUCAAUUUACCACAAAAUGCUACCUGAUAAUACUCAACUGUAGGUAUCAGGUAAAAGUAUCAGGUGGCUGCUACAUUUACAAGUUCUUUCAUUCAUUAUCAGGGUCCAUGUUACAACAAAAGGUCAAUUUUUGAAUUGAGUCCGUUGUACAGUUAAAAUUGUAACAAUCUCGCUCUGCCAGAUUGGCUCAAUUACAAAUGACAGUCUAUGAGCAAAUUAUCUCAUGAGCACUAAAAAAUAGUUUUAGCUCUGAUCCUUUACUACAAUACUGAAAACCAGAAUAGGCCAAACAUCCUUUAAGUCAAUUAACCAUUAUGAAUCCAGGCAUUUUACUGAGAUAUGAAAUCAUUCACAUAUUUGGCAUCAUACUGUUCAUAGGCCCCAUUAAACCACGCAGCAGUGUGAACAUACAGGUAGGUACUUAAAUCACGACUAUUGCAACAAAGCAAUGAUUAAUAGGGAAUCACGAACCUUAAGAUUGAUGGCUGGAUGCAGCUAUGCGCGGCGCUGCUCACCUCAGGAUCUUGUCUCCUCUACGGGCAUGGGGAGUGACGGCCCACCGUACACCAAGAAUGACGGCCGCUGCGGAGGGAUGUCGACAACCAACGCAGGGGAACGGAUUCGAGAUUGGAGUUCAGGUUGGAAUGAGGUCGCAUCUGCGGGAGGAUUUGGGGGGUUCCUAGUUGCGAUUGAAGGCAGGGAGUACCCUCCUCUGGGAUGCAGUCAAACAAUUAAAAUGGGAACGAAUCAAACAAAAACAAAUUAGUACGGACGGAUUUCUUCUCAACCAUACCUGGAUCGACGCCGUCGCAAGAGGGAAAGGGCCGCCGCCGAGAGUCGACGCCAGGCCGCCGCCGGACAGCCGUGGCCCCCACCGAUGGGACCCACCUCCACACAUGGAGAUCCAUGGGUGCAGUCUUGUUACACGCGAGGGGAUGGAGCGUGGAAGCCAUGGCGGACGGUGAGCGGAGGUCGCCGGCUGCUCCAUACGGUGUCGCCGAUUCGGGAGGGUGCUACUGUCGUGAGAGCGGAAGGGCCGCCGCUGGGUCGCUGCAAGGCCGUCGCUGGGCUACAGCGACGGGGGACGGGCCGGGGAAGCCGGGAAGGGGCAGCGGAGGCCGUCGUGUGUGCGUGCGUGCGGGAUGGCCUGACGGGGAACGAGAUAAAUUUUGGGCGGCGGCGGCGGCGAAGAUUGCGGACGGAGUCAGAUGACGAGCUGGAUGAGCCUCACGUCUCGUUUACUCCCGGCUCGUGCUCGACUCGCUUCGCUAGGCUCGCCGGCUCGCUGACUCGUAACCGUGGAAGUGGGGCGGAUGAGCUCGGACGGUUGGAUGAUGCGGCUACAAAAUAACCUAUACUAUGGCUGGCUACAAAGAAACAGUUCUCUCUUUCUAUCUUUACCUAUUAUUAAAGCAAGUAACAUUUCUGCCUGACUUUUCGUACGUCGUGGUAAUUUUGCAAAAAAACCCCUCAAGUUUUCAGAUUAAAGCAAGUAACGUUUCUGCCUAGCUUUUCGUACGUCGUGGUAAUUUUGGGAAAAAACCCCUCAAGUUUUCAGUAAUCAACCCGCAGUCCAAUUUUGAAGAGAGGGGAGCUCGGGUGGAAAACGAAGGAAAGAGAGGGGGUUAAAUGAGAAAAACCUCUCCUUUCAGAGGGGGGACGGUCACCACCGUCGGAGCCUUGGUUUGUCAUCCCCCACCCUCCCUCCGCCGCCCUCCUCCCGCCUCCAACACCAUCCUCGUAUGGCACGACCGCCCCCUCGCCGACGUGCUCGUGCGGCAUGACCGCCCCCUCGCCGACCUGGUCUGCGCUGGCGGUGGCGGACUCGACAGGCGACAUGGGGCACCCAAGCUGAGGUCCAAGCCGAGGUAGGAUCGCUUACCUAGAAGCAGUCCAGGUCCAGAUGAGCGGAUCUCCGCUCCGCCCCCAGUCCAGCGAGUAGAACGGAGGAGAACGACGACCCACCAGGUAUAAUCCCACCUCGCCAAUUUAUAACCAAAAUUGCGGGCUUAAAACCUGAGAUGCGGAUGCGGGUAAUGUCACCUGAGGAACGAAAGAGUGAGGGAUUGGACUAAGUGAUGGAUUCGGCAAAAUCUUCGGGGGAAGCUGUUGUCGCGGCACAGAAGGUUGUGGAGAUGUGCUCGAGGCGGAGGUGGAUGACGGAGGCGCGGAAGGGAGGGUGGCGGCGACAGCUCAAGUUUUCGGUAAUCAACCCGCAAUCCUAUUCCCUUCCGCGGAGACGGGCGCGGGCAUCCAGACGGUCGCGUCUUCCGUGGAGAUGGGCGGUGGCCGCACCGACUGCGGAGACGAGCGGGGGGCAUCCAGACGGCCGCGUCCUGCUUGAUGGCGUGGACGGCGGUGGUGAGCGGGCGGCGGAAGCGGCGGCGUAGGAUGGGGAGCCCCCGCAUCGGGAGCGGGGAGGCCGUGGAGCAGGAGUGGCGCCGACUGCUCCUCGUCAAGAUUCUCGUGACGGAUUUGUUUCCUCCCCUUUUCAGAGGAUGAGGCCGAGACGUGAAGCACUUUGCAGGCCUUGCACGGCCGCGGACACGCGUCUCCGGCUAUUCCAGAUGGACCUUUCUGGAUCCUGCUUCCGGCCGGCCGGCGGUCGAGGGCACAUGCGGUGUCUUCCACCUAGCGUCCCCGUUCAUACUGUGCAAGCAGAGGGACCCAGAGGCAAUUCUUCCUUCUGAAUAAUUAAUCACCCCAUCGAUGCAAAUCACAGUCCAGUAUCUAUCCCGUUGCUCGAGUAGGUAAUCCUUGGAUUAGAUUUGCUGAUGAUUCUGCUAUUGCAGAACGAGCUCCUGGAACCGGCGGUGAAGGGCACGCUCAACGUCCUGCGCGCCAUGAAAAGAUUUGCGGGGUCGGCCAGCUCCUGUAUUCUGAUCUGUGUUAUGGUUGUGGUUGAGGCCUGUGCUGACUUUAUUCCUUGAGCCUGCAGUUUUGGUAUAGCGUAUUGGACUUCGCUGGGAAGGAGGGAUUGCAAUGGUUGUGCUCAAUCCAGGGAUGGUACUGGGUCCAAUGUUAGCACCAUCAGUUAACACCAGUCUCCAACUACUUCUGCAACUUUUGGCAGGUCAGUCACAUCAUUAGACGCUAGGAGCCAUGUGGUACUUUUAUCUUCUGAUGAAUUGGAACUUUGCAACGAGUACAAAGUAUGGGAUGGUACUGGGUACAAAGUACCCAGGCGAAGAAGCUUGAUCUGGAUGACAUCUACAUUGGCUGCGUCGAUGUGAGGGAGCCAUCAUCAGAAGUGCAAGGUGACUGUUGACUAAUAGUAAUAGCAUGUCACCUAUAUUAGUACUCUGAACUAUGGUUAUGUGAUCUUUUGGUACCGAAAGACUUGGCUAUUUAAAGGAUGCUUUCAUGAUCUCAACAGAAGCUCCUUUUGUAUAUGCUUGUAAGUGUAGAAACUGAAAUGUAGAAUCUUCUUGAUGAAGUGUCAGGCAAAUAGAAAAUAUCUAGCUCCCUUAGGUCCUUCGUUGUAUUGGUUAGGUUCUUAUAGUCGCCAUGCCAUGGUUCUUGAGCAGGUCCAAGAGGAGGCAACAUUCCUCUGGAAGAAGCUUGGGGAAUCUUGAUCCAGUUGAUGAAGACUUUCCAUUGGAGCAAGAAGUGAGGGACUUCAAGAUGAGAAGGCUUUCAGAUUUUGGGCCAACUCCUGGUUGGUUGUGUUUCUUUCCUUUAUUCGCUAUGUUAUAUAUAAACAUGUGAAACUGUUUUCUCGAGCACGUGAAACUGUUUGAACCAACAUAGAAUUAAACAGUUAACAUUCGUUUCAGACCUUCUAGAAGAAACCGAACCGACUCAAACCCCAUAUGAGAAGCGCUUUGAUCCUAUCGACAAGGUCACAGAAUCAAUCCAGUCGUAAGUAGCCUGGGUAACUUAGUUUGUUGAAGUGAAGUACCCCCGUCCUCCGACAUCGACGCCAUCAUCCUUCGUCGACAUCCCGCUGCCGUUCCGUCCAGAUCCGGGGCCUGCGGCCGUUUCCCACCUUCGCCCUCCACCCUUGGUCCCGGGGUCGGAUGCGCCCAACCCCUUGAGGGUGGAACUCCGCCUCGCCCGACCCCUGGUCCCGGGGUCGGAUGCGCCCGACCCCUUGAGGGUGGAACUCCGCCUCGCCCGACCCUUGGUCCCGGGGUCGGAUGCGCCCGACCCCUUGGUCCCGGGGUCGGAUGCGCCCGACUCCUUGAGGGUGGAACUCCGCCUCGCCCGACCCUGAGUCCUGGGGUCGGGAGUGUCCGACCCCUGAGCGGAACAUUGGAGUAGUCCGAGGCGAAGUCGAAUCCGACGUGUAGUCAAACUCGAACUGGUUGACUUUGAACAUCUCCUCCUCCUCCACUUCCAGGAGGAGGCUCCCGCCCGUCAAGAAUGGCCACGGCAGCGCAGGUCUUGCAAAUGAAAAUUCUUGUUCAAAGUUCAAAAAUGGUACGAACAAACGUAUAAUAACGUGACAGCAAGUAAUAACCCGUAGCAACGCACGGGCAUUUCUGCUAGUGUGUAUAUAUAUAUAUAUAUAUGUAUUUAGCAAAUGUUCAAAUACUCUUACAUAAAGCAUACAACUCAAAUAUUUCAUAUGAGUAAAACCGUCCAACUUUUUAUCAGGACAUCGAACGGACCCGGCAUCUAAACGACUUCGCUUCUCCUCAACGCAAGCUUCGUGAUGGUGCCACGUGUCCUCUGAUUCGACGUCGUCCGGCCGCACCGGACUCGCCCCCCGAUUUUGAGGCGAAACCGGUCAAACCCUCUCGCACACCCCGCUAGGCGUGACUCACCCCGAUUUUGAGGUCAAACCGGUCAAACCCUCUCGCAUGCCGUGCAUGACGUGACUCACCAAUAUAGACGCGUGUCCGACCUUCGCCAAGCCUUCGACACCUCCAAAUUUUUCGCUCCUGAUCCCGGACCGCCUACUCGACUCGCCUAAAUCCUGCUUGACUCAACCGACGCCAUCUUCAUCCCAGUGUACUCUUGCUCUUCCGUGCACUAUGUGGAUCGCUCAUGACUCCGCUCGGAUUUCUCAGGUCCCACGGUUCAAGUCUACUCGUGUCCACCCUUCAUAGCCCCAGUAUAUUAGCAUGAACCUUUCGCUUGACCUUCAACUCAUGCCGCCGACCGCCAUAUCGCAUUCAUCACCUGCACAUCACAAGCCAAGAGACACAACACACAAGAUAUGUUUUACACAAACACUACAACACAACACACACCUCCGGUUAGCUGUUAGCAUAAUUAAGCACAUAUGGAAUAUGGACUCAAUCGGUAAAAUUUCAAAUCAUCCAGUUAAUCACUUAUCACAAAUAGACAGAGGGCAUGUCACUUGAUCUCUCACUUCCGCUGGACCUUGGCUUCUCCAAGUUGAGCUACCUCGCCGUCUUCGACAACAAGCUCACGGGGCACCUCCCAUCAUCCAUAGGUCACCUGCAAGACUCCCUCUUCGAGGUGCUCCUCCUCAACAAUCAGCUCUCGGACUGCCUUCCCCACGAGCUCGGCAUGCUGAACAAAGCAGCUGUGAUCGACGCCGGCAUGAACCAGCUCACCGGCCCGAUACCAGCAUCCUUCUCGUGCAUCAGCAGCGUCGAGCAGCUCAACCUGGGCGGGAACCGCCUCUACGGCCAGGUACCAGACGUGCUUUGCAAGCUCGCUGGCCCGGCCGGCCGCCUCGCCAACCUCACGCUAGCUGUCCGGCAACUAUUUCAGAUCGGUGGCGCCGGCAUGCGCGGCGCUAAUCAAAGACGGCGUGCUGGACGUGAAGAACAACUGCAUUCCAGGCCUCGCCAACCAGAGGCGCCCGGCGGAGUGCGCGGCGUUCCAGAGCCAGCCCAAGACGUGCCCGGCGGCGACCACUCAGGUGGCAUGUCCCGCCGCACCUGCCGCCGCGCCGGGGGAGAGGAAUGUCAUCAGGGACUACUCCGGCUACGUGACGUACGCUACUCUGCAUGAUUGAGGCGCCACGGGAUGCACUAGGAGACAUAGUGGAUGCCUAGGUGGUAUUUUGGCUUUUUGCCCUUGUAUCCUUGUGUUUUUAAUUAGUGUGUUGGUGUGCAUGUGUGUUGUUCGUGUUCCUAUGUAUGUGCGGCUGUCACGUCUAGAUUUCACUUCUUGUACUACCAAAUCUAUUGUUAAAAUAAAAAAAGGAAAAUCUAUAUUUUUCUCGAGUGUUUUGGAGCUUGCCAAAAAUAGAUUUUCAAGUCUGCAAGUUGGUGCUGCGAUUGGCCAAGAUCGUCUUCCCAACUCCUUUGAGGACUCCAGCGAGUUUAGGAUUUGGGACGAGUCCUUGCAUCGGCACACAAUUACCUAUGGGUGUGCAGGUGUACCUUUGUUCGAUGUGUUUCUCAUUCCCAACGACUGGAUGAACAAGAGCACCGGUCCCAGUUCCCCACAGUCACCGUCAUCCCAGCCUCGUUUGCGUGCCUGUGCAACGUCGAUCGAGCAGCACCUGGCUGGAAAACGCCCUUUACUGUGACGAGUUAGAUUGCGGGCGGGCUGGACAUGGACUUGCGCAUGACUAGCCAGCGGACCUCUCGCUGUUGAGCAACUACAUCACGUUGGUAAGGCCAAUGCAAAGUGCUCUAGCUCUGCGCUGAGCCUCUGAUGAAGAAGGGGUAUGGCAGUGCAGUGAAUCAAGAAGAACAACAGCCUCAUGCGUUCCGAGCUGCAAUCAGAGGCGGCCCGAUCUGGAGCGCGUGUGUCGUUCAUGCGACAGCCGAUCGAGUAGGUGCCCCCCGAGCCCCGACGUACGUGCCAUGCGGCGUCGCAUGUGUCACGGACGGGGGCUGGUCGUGCGGAGGUAGGUACGUAGGGCUCGUCCACAUUCCAGCUGCGCUACGUGACAUAUGCAACUCCGGAUGAGUGAGAUCCACAGGGAUUCAAGGAAAUCAAGGACCGCGCGGCGCGCGUCUUGGUCGCAUUUGCUGUGCUCUCGCUCUCAUGUAAGUGCCGUCGGUGCUUUUGUUGGUUCCACUGCAUGCCCGGACCCGUUUUUGGCUGUUCUGCGGGCCGGGUUGAUCUCGCCGGCAAGACCCAUGUGAUGAAUUCCUACCUGUUUCUUACACUAGUUCACUUUGAUAUUGUUUGAAAUCAAACUUUGUUUAAUUGACUUUUGAUUGGGUUUAUAGCUAGGAAAAAUUAUGAUAACAUCUACAAUACAAAAUAAAUUUACUAUCAAGAAUACGGAUUAAUGACACAAUGUGUAUUUGUAGAUGUUGAUACUUUUCUAUAAAUUUGGUAAAAGUUAUAAAUAUUUAGCUUCGAAUGAUACCAAAAUUUACUAUAAUAUAUCAAAGGAGUAUCCUGGCAAUUUCUUGUGUUUUAUUUGGUUCCAACAAGAUUGGCCAGACAACUCUAACAUAAAACAAGUAUUAUUUGAGUAUGUGGACAGCUCUAGCAGUUAGGUUCUUUCUGAUAGAACUUGCCUACCCGAUUUCAAUUACUUAUUUUGUACAAUUAUUCUUUAAAUAGUAUGCGACAUGCCUGUUGAGGUCUUCAGGACCGUUGGUCUCCAUUAGGGGCAAUUGGAAGGAAGCGCCUAGGCUAGACUUUGAAUCUUCAGCUCAUUGGUUGUCCCGGGCUACAUGAUAUUCAGAUUGAAUAUCACCUGUAAGGCUUUCCUCUCGGUCCUGCCUAGUCUCAGGGAAAAUACCUCUGUUAUCAUUGGUAAUGGGGCUUUCACCUCUCCUUCUGGCAUGAUCACUGGAUUGGGUCUGCGCCUCUUGCGGCGGCAAUGCCAGCUCUGUUCUCCCAUGCUCAGCGACCCAACAUCUCCAUUCAAAGGGUGGCUGCGAUGGGCAGUGGGAUCUCCAGCUUACCGGUCACCGGCUGUCCUCCAUUACGCAACAGGAAGCCUCCUCUCUCAUGGUGGCUCUGCAAACUGUUCAGCUGCUGCCACUGGCUCGCGAUCGGCGACUCAUAUACUCCACCAGGCUGCUCUAUCGAGCCUUGUCACCGUCGGUGCCGCCGGAAACAUUCCUGCCACUCAUCUGGGACAGCUUUGCUCCAAGCAGUUCCUCUGGCUAGCUCAUCCACCGCCAUCGACUCUCGACUGCAGCACUGCUCUUCUACCGGAAUAUCAUCGACUCUGAAGCUUGUCUACACUGUGGGCAGCAAGAAGACCUGCACUCUUCCUUGGCUGCACAAAGGCCUCUGCUUGCUGGACGCUACUGGGAGCAGGCGACCUCAUGUCUCACUCCGUUGAGCAACUAUGGCAGCAGCACCUCCUGGCAAUGUUGGAUGCCCCUAUCAGGUCAACCAUCAUCACCUGCAUUCUUUGGAACAUAUGGAAAGCCCGAAACGCGCGCGUCUUUGAGCACACCGACAUCAACCCACCAGGGAUCCUCCGUCGCACGGCCGCGGACCUGCAGCUUUGGUCUCACCGUGUGCCACCAUCAUCACUACGAUUCUGGAGCGACAAGAUUGUGCAUGUAAUAGAAUGAUUUGUGUUGUAAUCCCUCACCCUUCUUACCUUCCCAAAUCCCCUGUAUGCCUCAAACUUUUGCAUACUUAAUAUAAAUGUUGAGGUCGGUGAUUUGCCUGCCGUAGGUUCCUAAAAAAAAUAUUCAGAUUGAACUACUAGGUCGCCUUCACAUGACGGCCUCCUUCUCCCUCUAAAGGCCAGUAGCCCAGUAAUGACAUCUACCCUUGUUGCUCCCUUGUCCAGUGCCCCCUCACAUCUCUUCUCCUCUCUCUCUGUGGCUCCCUGACCCCCGCCGUCCAUAGCCGCACGCAGCACGCCGCCCUGAGGUCAACUGAAUCGCAUCCGGGUCGGUUUCUUCUAAAAAAAUUGGAUUUCAAAACUUUCAAUGUUGGACUUCACAAAUUUACCACUUUGAAGAUGGACUUCGUAACUUUACCACUUAUCUCACGAACAACUUGAUUUCCCUACCAAUUUUCCUCUUACUAGUCCACCAACCCGUGCUCCCGCACGGGCUAAUGUUUUUAGAAGUUAUUGUAUUUAAAAAUUAUUUAGAAAUUAAACUCCUAGCUAAUAAUCAAAAUUGUUUACCUAGUGCUCUCUUAUUUUUCAAUAUUUCAACAUAAUACUUAUAUAGAUAUGUACCUAUCUUUGUCCAGUUGUGAUUGGUUUUUAAUUAAUAAUUACUCAAUGCACUUUUUCAUCCAUAUUCAUAUUUUUUCCAUUUUGUAUGACACCUCCAAUCCUCCAUACAUUAUGUUUAGCAUACAAAUCAAUAUUUUUCAUCGAUUCCUCACAUACAUAUAUAAAUGGUCUAAAUGGUGGCACUCAUCAUGUGUAUAUACUUUAACUUAGUAUUUUUAUAUUAACAAUGACAUAAAUAGCUAAUUUAAAAUCAUAUAUUAAUUUACUUUUUGAUAUUUCUGUAUGAUACACAUGAAGAUAAUUAGAUUAAGAUUUAGGUGUUUACUUUAGGUUAUUUUUAAUAACGACAUACGUGGAUAACAUAGAUAAAAUUUUAGAAUGACAUUUUAAGUUAUACUUUAUAAUGAUGUGUAUUAGUAAAUUGGAUGAAGGUUAUGGAGUUACUUUAGAUUAUUUUUUAUAAUAGCUAAGCUUGGUAAUUGAAAUAUAGGUUUAGAGCUCGUUUUUGAAUAUUUUCACAAUAAUAGUGGUGGGUAACUUUUUAGAAAAUAUAAUAGUGUUUGAUAUUUUUAAUUUUUAUUAGAAUUUGUCUCUUUUUUCUAGCUUGUCUCAUGGGAACUAACACGGAGGCAACCCAUGGUCCCGCACGGGCUAAUAUUUUUUAAAUAUAUUGUAUUUAAAAAUUAUUUAGAAAUUAAACUCCUAGCUAAUAAUUAAAAUUGUUUAAUUACUACUCUCUUAUUUUUCAAUACUUGAAGAUAAUAUAUGUCAUCGCUAGAUUAAAAAUUAUGGACUAUAUGUUUUUCUUGAUUAAGUUAGGUUAUUAUUUUAGGGGGAUGUAAUAUUAUCUCGAUAGAUGGCUACAUAGAUUAAAAAUUAUGGUUUGCCGGUGAAUGAAUAAAAUGUUGUAUUGGAAGACUUAUUCAUUGUGUGAAUGUUGAGACGAUCCAAGGUGUCUACCUAUCGACAGCCCACAGGAACUUGUCACAUUUAAAAUAGAAAGAAAGCAGGGUGCUAGGAACUUGUCGCAUUUAAAAUAGAAAGAAAGCAGGGUGCUGUACAGUUGUGUUUUCUCCUUUUCCCCAUUCAUCAGAUCACGGAUAGGCAUAGGUGAAGAUAUCAGCGGCUGGUGCAGGUGUGCUCUGUGUUAUCUCGCCUGGCAUUUGUCGUAUGAUUCACUAAUCACCCGUCCUGAUUUCCUACGGUCGGCUCCUCGUAGCGGUCGCUGGCACUUGUGCGGAUCUGAAAAGUCAGGUUUUGGAGAGUUGCUGCUGUAGCCGUCGUUCUUAUGGAUUUCCGAUUCGUCCUCAAGGAUUCGCUUCACAGGUACCUUUUCUCUCUUCUUUUCUUCUGUAUUAUUGAAUCGCAACCUGCGGUUUAUACUGAAUUAUUGCUGAACUGGUAAAUUUUUAUGCUAAUUUUUCCCGAAAGAUUAGCCAUGCAUCUAGCGGCACACCUUUUUUUUCUCUCUCAUUCGAUUUGGCUUGCUGCGGCCAAAACAGAGUCCGGUUUUUUACCCCUUUGAAAUUUCUUAUUCGUAGCUGUGUAUUACACUGUUUGGAUCUCUCCUAUGGUCUAAUAAAUUCACAUCUUCAUUAAUAUUGUACAAAUACCACUGUACACUGAUUGCACCUAUAAUAUUUGUACUUCUUCCAAGGUGGGUGUGUGGUUGAAUUUCUACUAAUACUUUUGCUGGACAUCUUCUAUCAGUUUAUAUCACUGCAUAAUAGAUUUAAGUAAUAUUAUAGGUUCAGCUAAUUUGUGUGAAGAGAAACAUGAAACACGUGAUUUUGUAUGUGGUACUUUGAAGGGCUGAACUACAUUACGUUGUGAAGGCAGAGGUACAUAGUGUGCUACAGAAUUUCCUUGUAGACUAUAUUUUUUGCCAUAUUAUCUUCUGGAGAUUCUUCAUCUGAUAUCAGAAUCUUAAGGCCUUCUCUGCUUGUAACGCGAGACACUGCAACAUACAGCUGUCCAUGUGUGAAGACUUGCUUUGGUAAAUAGAGUCCAACAUUUUUUAGUGACUGUCCCUGGCUUUUGUUUAUUGUCAUUGCAAAGCAUACAGUUAUUGGAUAUUGCCUUCUUUUCAACACAAAUGGCCAUUUUGAUUCGGUUGGUGACAUGAUGAUUCGUGGGAUGUAGACCUUAUUUCCAAUGUUUGUCCCAGUUAUGAUUUGUGCUUCGAUGAACCACUUCCCUAGUUGUGUUAUGGUCAACCUCGUGCCAUUGCAUAGGCCUGCACUUUGAUUGAUGUUCCUUAGCAGCAUUAUUGGUAGCCCAACUUUCAAUUGUAAUUUAUGAUUUGGUAUUCCAGGGAAUUUUAAGCUAUUGAGGAACUCUGUUGGAUACAACUGAUCUUCACUUUCUUUUGUUGAGAUGGCUUUGCAUACUGUAUCUGAGCUUAGGUAUGUUGUUUCUUCACCUGGUAUUUGACUCAUUAUGUAAGAGUUUAUGUUGUCCACCAUCUCAUUUCUUGGGCAUAGUAUCGCUCUUUCUUCUAGGUAUGUUCUGUUACUGUAGUUCCUUGAUAGAUCAGGGUAUGUGUUGUUUACAAUUGUCUCCAAUUCAUCCUCUCCUUUCUGUAAAAUCAAGUCUUGUGGUAUUGUUAUCCAAGCUUCAUCAUCUUUAUCUCCUGCUAAGCCGUCUCCAAUGCUUAAUAUCCAAUCUGCAAAUUCCUGUAUCUUCUUCUUUUCUUCUGUUGAAUUUGUAACUGCAGUUAGGCGCAUAUUUGUUGUGAGCUUAAUUUCUUCAAAGUGCUUCCAUAAGUAUGAUCGCUUUAAGGAUGCAUCAAUAAUAUGAGUUCUUCUUCCUUUUGGUAUGACUGGCAAAGUUUGUCUGAAAUCACCCCCCAUUACUAUUGUCAUCCCUCCAAAUGGCUUGUCUUUGCUAUUCUCAUCUGUAAAUCUUAGGAUGUCUCUCAAGCUCUUGUCUAGUGCCUCAAAGCAGUGUUUGUUUGUCAUAGGGGCCUCAUCCCAUAAUAUCAGUGAUGUCUUGUUUAAAAGUUCUGCUAGUAAUGAUCCCUGCUUGAUAUCACACGUUGACUCGUUAUUUAUGUUCAGUGGGAUGUGAAACCGUGAAUGUGCGGUUCUUCCUCCUGGUAAUAGAAGUGCUGCUAUACCACUUGAGGCCACGGCUAAAACUAUUUUUCCUUCAGAUCUUAGGGAUUUUGUUAUAGCCUUCCAAAGAAAUGUCUUCCCCGUUCCACCAUAUCCAUUGACAAAUAUAAGUUUGCCAAGUUUACUGUUAACUGAUUGUGUUAUUGCAUCAAAAGCUUUCCUUUGAUCAAGAUUUAAUUUCUGUAGUAGCUCCACACACUCUUUUUGGAGAGAAUUUCUGUCAUAGUUUAGCUCCUCAUUCAGCAACCUAUUUCUCAGACCCUGCAUGACAGUGUUGUCUGGUAGUGGCAUUCCAUUAAAGUCUUUUAGAGAUUUUCCACCUUUUCUUAGCAACUGCUCUAUCUCUAUUAGUGUAAGCUUCUUCUUUUGUUCUGGUUGUAGAUGUAAUCUUUCAAAGUUCAUGAACCUCCUUUGGUGCCUCUCGAUGUCCUCAGAAAGUAGUUCCCAAUUUGAUUCCCACAGUUUCAGAGGGUCCGUGACCUCACAGAAUAGCAAUAUCGUGCAGAAAAGUUGUCGCAUCUGGGUUGCGGAAGCCCAAAAUGAAGCCUCUUUGAUGCAAUCGUCCCACUCAUUGUCAUCAUCUAGUAAACCAAGGGCGUAACACGUUGAUUUGUAGGUUUUGUGGAUAACACCAUCCACUUUUCUGAUGUCUUUGAAUGACUUGCAUCCUUUCACAAUGUUCAGCAGUAUUCUCAAGUAGUACCUAUCUCCACUUGCAGGAUGGGCAUAAUAGAUCCUGCCUAUGGAUCUUUUUCCACCACGUCUCGGCUUCUAUUCCUUUUCUUUUGGGUGCCAUGUCCACUUAGUUGGAAAUUCUGCAUAUGUUAGUUCACGGGCAUCUUCAUGCAACCGAUUAGCUACGUGAUUUGGUUUUGAGUCCUAUAAAAUGUGGAGUUGUUUAGUUAGUUUGUAGAUAAAAUAUCUACGUGAUUUGGUUUUGAGUCCUAUAAAAUGUGGAGUUGUUUAGUUAGUUUGUAGAUAAAAUAUCUUGGGACGUGUGCUAACAGCUUGGAUUUGGUUCUGAUCCUUUUUAAAAUAUAUAGUUGUUAGGAUAUUCUCGUUAGUUUAUCUGUCUUAACUGAAACAAUAAAUUGAAUUUUUUGUAAGAUGAAAUUGUUAUUUUAUUUUUUGGUUCAUGUAAGAAUUUUUAAUCAUCAUCUGAACUAUCUAUGUGUAUAGCAGCCAUCUUUUAUAUUGAUUAAAGUGCACGUCCUGUGGUUGUGUCAUAUAGGUGUACCAACUAUGAAAUUAUAUUUUUGGGAAACUAAUCGAUUUAAGUGGUGCAUAGUCUAUUCAAUAUGGGCUUAGCAUCGAUCUAGCAUGCCGACUCGAUUCCUUCUUUAUCUAUCUUUUUCUAAUAAUUGCUCCUUCUCUUUCUCUCCUCUUCCUCACGCCAGCAACAACUGCCCAGCUCCAAUUUUCCUCCAUGAGCCAACUACAGAAGGACAUCUCUAUCUCGUGCACCUCGUCCAACCAAUCCACAGGGAACAAAGCAGCAGCAACAUCUUCUCAAAGUUGGUUACUCCCUGUUCUGCAAGCAGCUACAACACCACCAGUCCCUCGCUUCUCCAAAAACCCAAACAUCAGCAGUCCCUCAAUCCAAUUCGCAACAGUACCAUCAGCUAAUCCAUCAAAUCUAACUUUGAUUCCUCGCUUGAACAGCUCACCUCUCUCCUUUUUUUCUCAACUGAGUACAGCAACGCAGCAGUUUGAGAUCCCUAUUCUUUGACACAAAAUCGUCAAACACGAUUACCUUAUAGUGGGCAUGCCGUGCCAGUCAAAUGUUCACAUGGCAGCCUCCGCGCUAUUUAGUUUUGUCCACUCUGCCAACGAAUUUUUCCCAGUGCACAUGUGGUAAACACAAACUGGGUUGUUUUCUCUUUUAAAUUACUGAUCCCUAACAAUAUAUAUUUUUGCUAUUACAAAACUCUCCUAUGAUCAAAUAGUACCUUUAUUAAUAGACUACAAAUAAUAUUGUUAACUAAUCCUAUCUAUUCUAUUUUCUACUUCUUCCAAGGUGCUUGGGUGCUUUAGUAGCUUUUGAAACUUCGUCCGGACAUCUUCGAUCAAACAUCUGAUUGCAAAUAGAUUUAAGUAAUAUUAUGAGGUUAGUUAACUUGUUUGAAUUUAAAGAUGAAAAUUGUAAUUGUAUUAUACAUAAAUAAUUCUAUACCUAUUGUUUGUAUUUUGCAGGUAUUCUCCUAAUCCUUGUUGACCUGUAUGGAGAUGUUUGCUUAUUGUUCUUGUUGUCUUCGCUUACUUCUUUUACACCAGUUUCAUGCUUGCUCUGCAAAUUUUCUUAUUAUCGUUAUUAAUGCUAAAGAUUAGUAAAGGUCAGACAACAGAUGCGAAUUGAAUUACCUCUUCAUCUGAUACUUUCAUCUUCAUCUCCUUUGAGUCGCCUUCUUGAUUUCUCCUUUUAAAUUUCUGGACACUUUGUGUCUUACUGUCUCCAUCAAACUCAUUUGGUUCCUUCUCCUGCAAAAACUUUAAAAAUAGUAUUAUAUAUCCGGUAACACUAUGAACUAUGAUCUGAUUUCUUCUUAGAGUAUUUGUUCAUCAACAGAUGCGAAUUGAAUUACCUCUUCAUCUGAUAUUUUCAUCUUCAUCUCCUUUGAAUUGCCUUCUUGUUUUCUCCUUUUAAAUUUCUGGGUUCUUUGUGUGUUACUGUCUCCAUCAAACUCAUUUGGUUCCUGCUCCUACAAAAUUUUUAAAAUAGUAUUAUAUAUCAGGUAACACUAUGUAGUAUAAUCCGAUUUCUUCUUAGAGUUUCUGUUCAUUUGUGCAGUAAAAUUCCUAUUAUCAUAAUGUCAUCAUGUUUUUGUAUAAUUUGCAAAUAUUGUUACACAUACAGAAAAGGUUUUUUUUGAGGUAAACGUAUAAUAAAUUUUUAUGUCCAUACCUCCUCAUGGUUAUGCCGUUCAUUUUCUUCAUCUGAAUCUUCUAUUUUACAUAUUCUCUUCCUUGCAUUCGGUCUCUUAGCUUCCAUGCAUUCUUCAUCUGAGUCUAGUACUGUAAUUACAUUUCUUUUUUUGUAUUUCUUCCUUUGGAGGGUCUUCUUGUACUCACUGGCAGUAAAGUUAUCUUCGUUGAGACCCUUUAGCUCCCAGUCAUUGGUGUGUCCUUCCUACCAAAAUAAAAACCUUAUCCAGUAUUGAAGACCUAAUUAACAAAAUAGGAAAGAUGAACCGUUGUUAGUUACAAUACCUGUGUAGUUGGAAUUUUUUUCUUCAUAACUUUUUUGCCUUUUCUUCCUUCUCGGUUAACUUUCUUUGGAUUUGUUUUUAUUCCUUUGCUUGAACCUUGGAUAUCACUAAUAACCAUCUUUGAGUUGUUGCCAUCUUCUUCCUAAGAUUGCAUAAAUUAUUUAAGUGCUAAGGAAGUAUUUACCCAAAUACAAAAAUGACAUUUCUGUUUGUUGAAAUACAGUUGUAGUAGAAGUGUUUGUCUGCAUUACAACUUUUUUGCUUUUCCUUUUCAGCCGAACACCUUUCUUCAGAUGUUUUUUUGACCUUUUGGAUGAACUAAGGUUUUCAUCUCCAAUGACAUCUGAAUUGCUGAUAUAUUCAUCCUAAAAAAGAACUUGUCAAGUGUUAAAAAAAUAUUUAAUAAAAAUAUAAGAGAAUACUUUUGUUUAUGGAGUACCUUUUUUUCUAUGUUUUGUACGGAUAUUUUUCUAUGUUUGCGUUUUUUCUUGUCACUUCUUCUGGCAUCUUCUUUUUCCUAAAAAUUGUGAAUUAUCACAUAGAAGAGUAUAUUAAUAUAGCCUAAGAAUUGAACAUAUAUCAUUUUUUAAUUUAAUUGCAAUAGAGCACUUUCUAAUGCAUACUGAUCAGAUUAGAUAUUGCACUAUCCGCUAUUCCUUUAAAGCUUAGUCAGCCUGCAAUUUUGCAUGAAUAAUAUUUUUUUUGCAUGUACUGUAAAUAGAAUGAACAAUGAGAGGGAAGUGAGUAUACUUUUCUAGCCAAUCUUUCUCCAGUCCUUAUGGCUUUUUGUACGAAUGUUACUUUCUUGGUAAAAGAGUCAUCAGUGUCUACCUCUUCAUUCUCGGUAGUUAUGGUGUAGCAUUUGUCUGAGUUGUCUUCUACUUCCUACAAAUAAUCAAAAAAAAAAUAAAUGUAGGUUAGAAUUUGUUUCAUUGAUAUAGUAAAAUUAUUAAAUAUUAAGGAUUCUAAAGAAAAAAGUGCAAUAAAAACUUAAUAAUAAAGUGUUACCUUUUUUACACUUUGCAUUCCAAUUCUUGAACUACUCUUUUCUUUUAGAAAAAAUAUCUUUGAAACAGUAUAAUCUGGUCUAAAACUUGUCAAGUUGUACUCGGUCAAUCUGAAUUGAAAAAUUAAUGUUUGACCACAUAUUUUUUGAAUUGAUUCUGGUACCUCCUUACUAUCAUGAUCAGCUGAGCUGAUCAUCGAAUCUGCUGAUUCAUUAAUUAUCAUUUCUGCUUCCUUGUCAAAAAGUACACAAGAUGCACUUGUAGUCGGAUCACUUAUUUGAAGCUUAAUUUUGAAUCUGCAAACAUUAUUCUCCUAUGAGAAAUAAAAGUAUUAUAAUGAUAUUGUAAACUACUAAAUAAUUUACCGUGCUUUAGGUUCGGCUCUCUUGUCACAUUUAUUGCAAUAAUAGUGAUCAAACUUCUUUUCAAGUUGCUUCUUACAAUCGCCUCUACUACAUGAGAUGUAGUACCAACCAUAUGUUGCAUUAAUUUCAUUUAUUGUUGCUUCAACAGUAAAUACCUUAUCCUGAAAGUAGGAACAAUACCAUCAUUAUGUAUGUAAGUCUUUAAAUAGUAUAGUGUGUAAUGAACAUACUAAUUCAUACCUGAUUUGAUGCUUCAAAUAAUAUCAAAUUUAAUUCUUCUAAAGUUCUUCUGUUGUACUGCAUUUGGUCUUGCAAUGUCCCUUUUAGAUGGUCCUCAAUAUGAAUCUCUUUGACAAUAUUAUCAAUUGAACUAACGUUUUUUAUCAUACAAAAGAAUGUAUCAUGUUAGAGUGCAUGCAACAUAGAUUAAAAUAGAAAAAUAAUAACUAAUUUUUCUCACCUGUCAUGUGCAUCCUUAGUUUCAGGAAUAGGUAGAUCUACAUAAACUUUUGUUGCAUUGGUUGACGAUAGAGAAUACCCUGAGAAAAUAUCAAUUAUUUAUUUUCCUAGGAGGUUAGUUUGUUGAAUAAUUAAUAUUGGAUAACUCAUAUUGAAUAAAGACUUACUUCCAAAUUUCCUCACAGUUGUAGAUGUUAUUGCGAUGACAUGGGAUUUUGUCUCAUCAUCAACUUCCUCAACUUUGUCUCCCCAAAAUCUAACUUUAACUUCAUGAUCACUACAAAUUUAAAAGUGCAUAAUAAUAAAUAUUUAAAAUAUCUAACCAUGAAAUUAAUUAUUUGUAGGGGCACUAUAGAAGAUAUUUUCUAGUUCAACAGAAGUUCUAUAACAUGCAUGUAAACGUUGAAAGUUUCGUAGUUGUUUACUACAAAAGAAAAGAGAAUUACUCCAUCAGAAGCACAAUAUCACGGAUUUUGGUAAAUCCAAAGUUUGUUCUUGUUUCUUCUAUCGGUCCAAUGUGUGCUGCGACACCUAUAACAUCUAUGAAAUAUAAAUAUGAAUUAUUAUUAGAUGGCUGUCGAAUGAGUGGAAGUGUAAAAAUUGAAAAGCCAGUAAUGGUUUACCUGAUAGGUACAUGUCCACAUUUAUUCUUGAUGAAAGCAUAUCCGUGCUCAUAAAAUUGAAACUAUACUUUGGAAUGUCUUCAGUAUCUUUGACCGUUUUUAGUGUAGUUGUGGGCAAGAAGUUGACUAUUCUGUCAUUUACCACUGGCCGAUACUUCUGGGCUGCUGGUGUGAUUCUGACAUUUGCAAUUGUGUACACAUUGCCUUCUUCAAUCAAUGGUUUGAACUUAUCCAUAUAGGCCUUAUUGAUAACACCGUGCAUCAUGGUUCCCUAAUUUUGCAUCAUCAAUAAUAAUUUGUAAACAAAAAAAUAUACCAAAAAUUGCAAUCAAAGUGAACAUCCAUCAUACCUCUUGAUCAAUAAGGAUCAUGUCAAGACUUAAUUGUUCGCCACUACUGAGUAAGGUUGCAUUCCACAAUCUGGUUACCCUUGCCUUGAUGUUCCACAAUUCCUUUCCCGGUCUAAUUUCAGAUAAAGUUUUGCUCACCAUUGCAACUUGUUGAACUGCAUAAGCAAAAGAUGGUGAUGGAUUCAAUUGGACUAUUUUUCUAUAUAAAAGACAUUAUCUACAAACAUGGAAUUCAGUUGCAUGCUGUACUACUACAACUGGAUCUAUGUAUUGUUGGUUAUUACCGAGUGCCAGAUACUAACAGCUUAAUUUGCAGGUUGGUGGCAAAAUGCAAUCUCUGGAAUGUCGUUGUAAAUAUCUGCAUGUGUUCGACAGUAGCAACUCAAGAUUGUUAUUAUUCCAUAAAAACAUAAAUGAUUGUCGUGAUUGGUCAUACUUAAAUGUAUUAUUUUAAUUUUGAUACAAAGAUGCGAUAGGAAUAACAGUUUGAGAACAAUGGUGAGAAGCAAGUCAUCUAUACCACGUAUGCAGGAGGCCAUACAAUAACAAAUUAUUUAAUAGUACUAAUAUAUUCCAUGAAAAGUUAAUCUAAUUAUAGAAGGGGAACCAAACAAUUUGCAAGCUUGCAUGCGACCGUGCGCAAUGUUACUCCUCAAUGAAAACAAACUCAUAUCUGCCUUUGAGAACAACUGUGAGAAGCAAGUCAUCUAUACCACGCGUGCAACAGGCCAGACAAUAAACAAAUGAUUUAAUAGUAGUAAUAUAUGCUAUGAAAAAUUAAUCUAAUUGUAGAAGGGAAAUCAAACAAUCUGCAAGCUUGCAUGCGACCGCGCCCACGAUGAUAACAAACCCAUCUCGCCUAUAACUCAAUUCUCAUUAUUAGAAGGGAAAUCAAACAAUCUGCAAGCUUGCAUGCGACCGCGCGCACGAUGAUAACAAACCCAUCUCGCCUAUAACUCAAUUCUCAUUAUAUUGAUUAUUUUCCUCUCAUAUGACCAUGGAGAAAGACAUACAGAGAGACAAAGAGAUUACAGUACUGGUAGAUUGGUUAGGGCAUUCAUCUAUGGAGAUUAUUCUAUAGUAGGAUGAUUUAGAGAGAUAUUGGUACCUUUGGUUGAUGGUCGUCUUCCUAUGAGAAAAGACAAAAGACAAACUGAAACCCGUUGGAGCUCAGCGUUCUCGCAAGCUUGGUGCCUGUUGGAAGGAUCGGGAGAGAGAAUCGCCUGCUUCUGAGCGCCGGACUCUAAAUUUCCUGUAUAUAUAAUGGCCAUGCAAACUAAGCUCCGGACUCUGAAUCACCAUUAAGGUCUAAAAAUAUUCUGACAUUCACGUGGACAUUUUAAUCAUGUGCGGCUAAGAGAUAGAUUUAUUGAUGUACGUAAAAGAUAUAUUCUUGCUAACAGAUAGAUUCAUUGAUGUAUAUCUCACGUUCACCUCAUAUUUCACGUCCGACAAUUAAGUCAAAUUACAUGGAGAUAAAGAUUAGGGGUUGCUUUAGUUUAUUUUAUAUAAUGGCAUAGGUGGGUAAUUUAUAUAUAGAUUUAGGGGGUUACUUUAGGUUGUUUUCAUAAUGGCAUUGGUGGGUAAUUUUUUUGAAAACAUAAUAGAUCCAAUGGCUAUGGUGAUUUAAAUCUAUAUAUCGAUGGUCGGAUGCUUUGCUUUUUUGUGAGAAUUUCUAGGAUUUCUCUUUUUUUUUAGAGUGUCCACCUAGGAAUCCUAGGUGGCUUCACCUGGAGGCUUCAAAAGGAGCCUCCAAUUAGUAAUAGUAAGAUUGAUUUUUAUUUCUUUUCCAAAUAACAGCCACCCAAAAUGACUAAAAUGCCCAUAACCACCUCUCUGCUAGCCACUUCGCGCCGUUCCCGCAUCAGUCGCCGCCGCACAAUUUGGUCCGGAGGCGGAGAUCCUACCCUAGCGCUCGGCCGCUUGAGACACCCGCUGGCUGUCGUCGCCAGAUUCAGUCCAGACUCCAGAGGCCGCUAUCCUCCCCUAAGAGAAGGUCAAUAAUAGAGCCAAUAUCUUUGUCUAUAAGACAAGACAUGUCAUCAACAAAUGAUAUUGCAAGUAAGGUGCACAGCAAUGGUCGCUUAACUUACCACCUCAAAACUCUUAUUAAUAUUUCUUUAUUCAGAUUGGCCCACCCAUCAGCACCUAAACAGCUUUGCCACUGCAUGCUGUUUAAUGCUGUUGUUCUUGGCUUCUGUGUUCAGCUUAUUCAGCCGGCUUAUCAGACACCAAACAGUAUUUUUCUCUCACAACAAAUCAGCCGUUUCAGCUUUUCAGCCGGCUUAUAAGCUGAAGCGAACAGGCUAGCGCCAAGCUGAGCACUUUUUUCUUCUCUCUCCUCCACGGCAGCAUGACUACAAUUGUUGUACCUGCUCUAACACCCGGUGCUGACCUCGAGUAGCGCGUGAGAAGAGAGGCGCAUCACCCACGGGCCAGUUGCUACGGGCACGUGUAGGGUCAUGUUUAGUUCACCCCCAACUCCCAACUUUGGCACUAUGCAAAAAGAAGAUUCCCCAUCACAUCAAACUUGCGGUACAUGCAUGGAGUACUAAAUGUAGAUGAAAUUAAAAACUAAUUGCACAGUUUUGUUGUACUUUGCGAGACGAAUCUUUUGAGGCUAAUUAGUCAAUGUUUGGACAAUAAUUCACAAAUACAAACGAAACGCUAUAGUGUGCUACAGUGCCAGCACAGUAAUUUGGCACCUCCCAAUUUGGCCAACUAAACAAGGCUUAGGAGGGCUGCAAAUUGCUCUGUGCAGCCACGCCCCGAAUUGCUGCCGCGUGUCCACCCGACAGAUCCAGCAUCUUGCUCUCAGCUCUACUUCAACCAUCAGCCGAACGCAUGCGGCACGGUUCUCAGCUCUGCUUCUGCACUUGUCUUUCAGUUUUCAUAUUCAAGGAUUGUAUUGGCGGUACAGAAAGUGUUUCAUAUUGAUUUUGGUGAGAAGUGUAUGUAGAAGUAAGAUAGCAGUGAGUUGGCUACGUCCGGAGUAAGGACUAAACUUAAAUCCUAAACAAUCCAAACAGGGCUUAGGCCAUUCAAAAUGAAUCAACUCAUGGGAAUAAAGAAAGGUUAGACAUGUUCUGAAGAUUGGUUUGGUGUUUUGUUCCAGUGGUUGAUUCGGUACUAGGUCCACCAUCAAAUAAAAAAAAAAAAGCCAAACUUCUUCUCUGCUGCUUGCUCAUGAAGGCAUAAGAGGCAUGUGUUCUGCUUUUAGCUUUGUUUAUCCCCUAUGAAUCCAUGCAAGUAUAAGAGUUGAUUCUUUGUCUCUUUUCCAUGAAUCGACUACUUCCAAUGAAGAUGAAUCGGUUCAUCACCUCCACAUCAGACCAUGAAUUGCUUGGAAAGGGCCAAUGGCCUUGUGGGGCUAUGGGUGCCCUAAGCUUUUAAGUUUUGAAGGACUACUAUGACACCAAACAGAACUUGUUUAACCCUAAUAUCAACUAUUUUCCUAGUGAUUUCUUUUUACGAAUUGUCGGCAUGAUUUUUCCAAAAUUUUAUUAGAAAGAGAAAAAAUAAUUGAAAAAAGGGUUUGCUCCCAUCAGCAUAUAUAGUGCCCUAAAACUAAGAAUAAAUUUGUUGGCUGCUGCUGCAAAUUUUCUCAUACUCAAAUUGGCUAUCUAUUGCAAUUUUUUAUUGAUUAGGUUCUUUAUGUAUGAAAUCCGUUUACCUGGAUUUGAAUCCUCGAUUUACCAGGUGCUCUAGUUUUCCUUGAUCUAUUUGAAGGAGUAUCAAUUUGUUUAGAUAAUAUUCUCCCUUGAAAGCAUGCCCACCAUUCACAAAAACCCUGUCAAGCACGGCAACUGUACAUGCUUUCUUGUCGAGAUUGGACGAUACGUACCAAAUGACUUGACCGACCUUGUCAGAGAAAACCUACGAAUGAAUUAUGACCACACAACACAUUCUUGGAAGCGCCAUCAUCACAGAAAAGAGCCAAAUCAGAAGGAAUCUCGUGCUGGUAAACCAUCACCGCCCCAGCUGAAUUUCGACCGCAACGAAACGGCACGAGACAAGUGGUCCAUGAGCCUAGAAUAUCUCCGUUCAAUUUCAGUAGAAAAGUACUCUGGUAUUUUAGGCUGGACACGCCGCAACAAUCUUAUCCAGCUCAAGCAGCGACGUACGGCUGUAGUAUAGAAGAGGAGACGGGCCGGGACCUGAAAAAUGACGGUAGCUGUUAAGUUUGACGGACUCGGGUCUUCGCUACAGAAGCGGUCAAGCUAAGCCAAGGCCAGUAAAUCUGUUUUUAAACCCCGGGGGGCCUUGGCCAGCUAAGCAUCAAAGCUCACAGUACACAACUACACACCACCGUGUCGCAAGUGAAGCACGCUCCGGCCUUGCAGAGGUGCACCAUUCUCGAUCAUCUCUAGUCCUGAUUACUAUUGCUUCUGUUUUUGUCUAGUACUCUGCUGACUUACCUACCAUAUCAGUUUUUUCCGCGUGAAGCGGUAACACCUGACAAAAGUUCAGCCUUUCUGCUUUAAACAAGAAGUAAAAUUUAGAUAUAUUUCAUGUUCGAGCGCACCACAUCCGUAGUUCGAUUGAAUUGUAUUGUUGUCGUCGCUAGAACAUAUUAGAUGCCAUGAACGGGCAUAGUGAUACAGCGAAGCUCCACCAGUGAACGUAGCAUGGCCAAUAUUUACUGUUUACAUUUUUGCAGGUGCCUUGUUUGUCAUGUGUUGCGCUAAGCAACCCGUGAAAAGCAGCAUGCUCUUACUAUUGGUUUGGCUGCUGCUAUCAUAUUUCUUUGGCAAUAUUCAUUGCUCAACUGUCCCCAAGAACAGCACGGACAUGCUUUCACUGCUUGAUUUCAAGCAGGCCAUCACUAAUGAUCCGGGGAAAGUUUUGAGCAACUGGACUGCUAGCACUCCUUAUUGCCAGUGGACAGGCGUCAAAUGUAGCCGGACGCACACAGACCGUGUCGUCGUGCUGGACCUCGCCGGCCACAGUUUGACGGGCACGUUGACAGCUUCACUUGGGAACUUAACGUUCCUUAGGAUACUCAACCUGUCCGUGAAUCACUUCUCUGGUCACUUGCCACAUCUUAACCAUCUCCACCAAUUGGAGGUCCUUAAUCUGAGCAGUAACUCCCUACAAGGGGUAAUUCCAGAUACACUCACAAACUGUUCCAAUCUUAGAAAAUUAUUCCUUGCCUACAACUUUCUAGAAGGUGAAAUUCCACUGAAUGUUGGUCUCCUAUCAAAAUUAUCAACAUUGCAACUUACGAACAAUAGUCUGACCGGAGCCAUCCCACCAAGUCUCAAUAAUACUCUGCUAGAAAAAAUCGGCCUUGCAAAUAAUCGGCUCACAGGAAGCAUUCCAAGUGAGCUUGGAUAUUUGUCAAAUCUGUCAGUUCUGCUUCUCGGCGGCAAUAUGCUAUCAGGUGUAUUCCCAGCAUUCCUACUUAACAUGUCUACCCUAAUUGGGUUACAUUUAGGUAGGAAUUUGCUACACGGGGAGUUGCCAUCUAACAUCGGCAGCGUGUUCCCUAGUCUCCGUAAUCUUGUUCUAAGCAUCAACAAGUUUGAAGGCCAAAUCCCAGCUUCAAUAGGCAAUGUUCCAAAUCUUGAAGUGAUAGAUCUAUCAUCAAACAAUUUCACUGGUCAAGUUCCUAGUUCUUUUGGUAACCUUCUUCAGCUAAAUAAGCUAAUUCUAGAGGAUAACAUGCUUGAAGCACCAGACACCAAAAGCUGGGAAUUCUUAUAUGCCUUGAGAAACUGUAAUCAUUUGAAUGUGCUCUCACUAGCAGGAAAUCGGCUAACUGGAGCUAUUCCAGAUUAUAUUGGCAAGUUGCCCACUGGACUUGCAAAACUAUAUUUGGACGACAACCACCUAUCAGGGUUAGUGCCCUCAAGCAUAGGAAACCUGACUGGCUUGAUUUGGUUGGAUCUAGAUAACAACAAACUUACUGGUACAAUUGGAGAAUGGAUUGGGAUGCUAAAAAAACUACAAUAUCUAGAUCUUAGUGAGAACAGCCUCAAUGGGCCCAUCCCAUCCUCCAUUGGCAAUCUUACGCGGUUAGGGGUCCUAGAUCUAGGACAAAAUGAAUUCACUGGUACUAUACCUACCAGCCUGGCAUACCUUCAACAGCUCAUAGAUUUGGAUUUCUCCUACAAUAAAUUAGAAGGUAACCUACCUUCAGUGGUUUUUAGUAUCCCAACAUUGACCACAUUCGUGCUGUCGUACAAUAAAUUAGAGGGUCCAAUGCCUUCAGAAGUUGGUCAUCUUACACAACUCACUCUACUACUUCUUUCAUCCAACAAAAUCUUUGGUGAAAUUCCUGACACUUUGAGUCAAUGUCAAGAGUUGAAUAUCCUCGAACUGGACAAAAAUUGUCUCACAGGAAGCAUUCCGGUGUCUCUUGGUAACUUGAAGAGUUUGAGCGUGCUUAAUCUUUCCCACAAUAAUUUUUCGGGCUUGAUCCCAUCAGCUAUAGGUGACAUAAAAACUCUCACCUGCUUGGAUCUUUCUUAUAAUCGUCUACAAGGAGAAAUACCAUUCGGUGGAAUUUUUGCAAAUGCAACAGCUGUUUCGUUAAACGGCAAUUCGGGACUCUGCGGAGGAUCUUUGGAUCUGCGCAUGGCCCCAUGUGCUUCUGUUUCAUCUCAGAGAUUUGAAAGACAGUACUUUUUAAUCAAAAUAUUGAUCCCAAUAUUUGGUUUCAUGUCACUCAUACUAUUAAUCUAUUUUGUUCUCGUUGAGAAGAAGAUGUCAAGGCCGUAUUCAUUGCUGCCUUAUUUUGGAGAUAAAUUCCCUAAAUUUUCUUAUAUGGAUCUGGCUGAAGCCACAGGAAACUUCUCUAACUUGGUUGGGAGAGGAAGCUACGGAUCAGUGUACAGAGGGAAGUUGAUCCCUUCUAAACUGGAAGUGGCAGUAAAGGUUCUUGACCUUGACAUUCAUGGUGCAGAGAAAAGCUUCAUAUCAGAAUGCGAAGCAUUGAGGGGCAUUAAACAUCGAAAUCUUCUACCCAUAAUAACUGCAUGUUCGACUGUUGAUAUCACUGGCAGCUCUUUCAAAGCUCUAGUUUAUCCAUUCAUGCCUAAUGGGAAUUUGGACACAUGGUUGCAUCAUAAAGAAGGGAAUGCUUCAAAGUAUCUAAGUUUAAAUCAAAGAUUAAGCAUAGCUGUUAACAUCGCAGAUGCAUUGGAAUAUUUACAUAAUGACAAUGGAAGGACGAUUAUACAUUGCGACCUGAAGCCUAGUAAUAUUCUCCUGGAUGAUGAUAUGACUGCUCAUUUGGGGGAUUUCGGCAUUUCAAGUUUCCAUAUUGAUUCUGUGUCCACAUCAGUUGAGGAUCUAAAUAUGGCUAGUUCAAAAUGCAUUGCUUCCAUCGGCGUGAAGGGGACCAUCGGAUAUAUAGCUCCAGGUAUAUAAUUACUGUUUGUUCGAUUUUCAGCCAGUAAUACGUUGCAUAAGUAUAAUUAAUGAUGUUACAAGAACUGCGUUAUUUAUAUCUACAGAAUAUGGUGGAGGUGGCCAUGUAUCAACAUAUGGGGAUGUUUAUAGUUUUGGGAUUGUACUUCUAGAAAUGUUAACCGGAAAAAGGCCUACAGAUCCUAUGUUCACGAAUGGGCUCAACAUUGUCAACUUCGUCGAGAGGAGCCUUCCAGAUCAGAUAUUCGAUAUUGUUGAUGCUCCAGUCCAGGGAGAAUGUGAGACCUUUGCUCAAAAAGGUGCCCUAGUAGAAAACAGAAUCUCACGUUGCUUGCUGACUCUGCUACAGUUAGCACUUUCUUGUACGUUCCAAUCGCCAAGAGAAAGAGCCAACAUGAGAGAAGUAGCCAGCAAACUUCGUUCGAUCAAGACGUCACAUGCUGGCGCGAAAUUUUUUUGAAGAUGCUGAACAGUGAUUACUGAAAUCAACACGUACGGGCAUGCCCCUCAAUAUUUUAAUGAGUAAAACCCUGUUUUGCUCUCCUACAGUUGUCUGGGAGAUUAAGAAGGAAUAAUUAUGUUACGACCAAAAUUGGCAUAACCAGGAAUCAUUCUGUUGAUACCAAAAUUAUUAGCACAAAGCUUGCUCACUACUGCAGAUGACUUUCGUAUCGGCUCAUACGUGCCCGUCAAAAGGGCACCGAUGCAUCAAGUUCUUUCACACCGGUGCAGAAAACGACAGUGAACAUACUGAUGUAUAGCACACCGGCACGUUUACUUAAUUGUACCGCCGCACGAGUAAUUUCAUAAUCUAACCGGUCUGGACAUAUAAGGAUUGAUUCGCUAAUUAGGGUCUGUUUGGAAAGGGUGCUAAACUUUAGCACCCUAUUUUUAGCACCUUUUUAGCACAUGGGCUCCCAAAUAGGAGUGCUAAAAGUUGUGCGCUAAACUUUAUCACCCCCAUUUUCUUUAGCACACUCAAGGGGUGCUAAAGGGUGUUAAACUUGCUAAAAGUGGUCCUCAUCCAAUUUUUUCCCUGAUUGCCCCCUCUCUCUCUCUCCUUCCUGCCACACCCCUGCCGCCCUCCGCGGGACACGCUGCCUCUGCCCGGCCAUGCCGCCUCCACCGGCCAUCCCUCCCUCCUUCCCCACUCCGGCGCCGCCCACUUCUCCUCCGUGAUUUCCUAUUUCUCAUGCCGGGCGGGAGCUAGGCAGAGCCUAACCUCGCGGGAUCCGGUGCGGACGGCCUCUGUGGCGGAACCGCCCAACUUAAACUGGUUUAAAUGCAUCUAAUCGCUGCCGGAACAGCAAUUAUCCGAAACGCACUUAAAACAGUAUAAGUCCGGUCGUCCGUCGAGUGUCCCUAGGACUCCUCGAAUGAUCCAUGAUACGUCUCAUAGCCAUACACCAGGAUUGUUUCCAUGAUGGGAAAACAUCAACAAAUAUUACAUUUUUUCAUACAUACACGAGGUACGAGUUAUUACAAGACGUAGUUUGAAAUAAACUUAACAGUGCAGGUCAGACAGAGGUUCUAGGAAUUAAACAUAAACGGGUUCAGGUGGGAGAUGAGCAUUCAAAGAUUUCUUCUAAGGGUAUUGCGAGACUCGUAACAAUACCCUAAUUUUUUGGGGCUUCCUCCUCGGUGGACUCCUGCGGUGCCUCUGAAAACAGCCACAAGGGAUAACCCUGGGUACUUAGCAAGGCUUACCCGACUAACCAAUAUAAUAAACUUUCCUAGACUAUAUGACAGCUUUUUAGGUGUACUGGUGGACACACCUUUUUGCCAAAGAGCUUACUAAAAUUUCGUCCUUAGCUUUAUCUUUUAUUACACUUAAGUUAUUACCUAAUUAUUCUAAAUGAUGACAAAAAUAAAUAUUUUGUAAGCAUCAAGAUAUUAAGUCAUACACCAAAACAUUAGUGGAAAGAUAAUGCAUUCGUGAAUUUAUACUACGAUGCUCAACAGUGAUCAAGUGCAUUCAUAACCGAGAAUUGCGGUGAUCCGGAUCAAAUUACAUCCUGCAGGAAAGUACCCUGGUCACCAGUUAUAUACGACUGUCCAAGUCAUAUGUAACGACCUUUCGAUUAUCAAAUCCAAGGAUUGGGAAUAAGACUACCUGGACCCAGGGACGCACCCCCACAUGGGAUCCCACGUCUGGCCUGAUCUCCAUGUGAGUUUCAGGCUACGCCCCUGCCAAUCUCCAGCACAUCAAGCACGGGUACGAAUUAUUCCCGAUCAGAGGGUUUACUAACCUACCAGGCUUUACUGGUCCCAUACCCAGUAAGUAACCAGGUGUCAUUCACUUGAUCAAAGGUUAAGACAACGAUCGGGCCUUAACCAAAUUAAUCUAGCAGACAGAACUACAUCCUUAGCUUCUGUCCGCUUCUUAACUUUCAAGCUAUCUUUCCAUAAUUAGCAUGUAUGACCCAACAUGUUACCUUAAGGUUCGGUAAUCAAGUUACUUAAGCGACUAAGCAUUUCUAGACUUGGUAACUUACUAAAUAUUCGAACAAGUGGCAAAGAUGUCCUUAAAACAAGGUACGAUAAUGCACUAGAAUGGGUUUCAAUCAACUCCUAGACCUAGUGCAUUCAUAUAGAAAAUAACCGAUAAUUGGACACAUGAAAUAAUAACUCCAAAAUAAAUAGGUAUAAUGCACCGGGGCUUGCCUUGUUCUAUAAAAAAGUUAGCACUGUCUGAAGGAUUGGCCUCGCAGGGGACCAACUCAAUAAUCUCUUCGAACUCCGGAGAUCCUUCUGAAAAUUCCGAGAAAUCCUCUUCCGGUGCUUCGGUGUCUAAGAUAAAGCAUAUGCAGGGGUUAGUGAUGCAACUUUUUGAAUACAAGACUAUACAACUUUCCUUCAUGAUAAAGUUGCAAGCCAACAAGGGACUAUACAAUUUAUCAUGAUAAAGUUGCAAACCAACACAUAAAAACCCGAAAAGAUUAACCCACCAUUUUUAUUUCCUUCACUAACCUUACCUAAGGCUCUUUCUUUUAUUUUUAGAAAAUGUUAUAAUUAUUUUCUAGUCUUGAAACCUAAUUUCCUAUGGGUUAACAAUGAUUUGUGAUUAUGAAAAUGUUAUUCCAUAUUUUAUGCAUUUUAAUAAAGAUUAAGUAUUUAUUUAAAUACCUUAAAGAAAAGGCAUUAAACAAAUACCUAAAUUUUUAUUAUUUUUUCUAGGGUAUAAAAAUUUUAAUGCAUAAAAGGAAAAUAAAACAAUCCUAACAAAAUUGGUUUCACUAAUUUUGGACACCCCUAGAAAUUUCUGUAAUUUAAAUGGUGAUAACCGAAUUUAAUCUAUUAUUCUAUAAAAGGAAAUCUAAAUUUUCCCGGAAAAACCUCAGCCUACUUUUCUCACGCACCCUUACCCUACCCCCUCUCUCUUACGCUGGGCCCGCGACUCGGACCCACCCCCUUCUCUUAUUCAUCCUACCCGACGACCAUUUCUCCUCGGCUGGGCCCUACUGGGCCGAUUUCUUCUCUUCUCCUCUUUCCUUUUCUUAAUUUGGCCCAGCGACUCAACCCCUUCUUUUCUUUCCUUCGCGCAUCUUCCGACCUGUCUCACCGGCCUACCGGCCUGCUGGACCUCACGGGCCCCCAACCUCUUUCCUUUACCAACCGCCCACACUGGCACUCGGGUCUACGGGACUUCGGCCCACCUGACGUCUUCGCCCCGCCUGCUUCCUUCCUCCCCUUUCUCCUCUGACGCGUGGGCCCACAAACACCAGAGCCUUCUUCCUUCUCGCGCCAAAACCCGAGCGCGGCAGGGGGCGGCACAGCUCGCCGGCCGGUGCCCCACCGGCGACGGGGCCGGGCUGGGGAAGCAUCCCCAUGCCCUAGUGCACCUGUGCGCGGCGGUAGCUCCCCGGGAGGUGGCCAGAGCCAUCCUCUCCACGGCGGCGGGCGACGGCACUAACGGCCGGCCGUGACUAAGCACGACGACGGCGCAGCCCACCCUUUCGACAACCUCUACAGCUUCCUAGUACCCCAAGGACUCACCUACGACUGUCCACACGGAAAGAGAACGAAGGCAAGGAAUUGCUCACCGUGAGCAGGAGGUGCGGCGGUGGCGGACGGAAACGACGGCGAUGCAGGGCACGCAGGCGGAGAGGCUGGGCAACAAGCUGCUAGGGUUGUUGGUGGGGUGUGAGUGGAGGUGUGGACGGAAGGAAUCGACGAGAGCUGCGGUGUGGUGGAGGAAUUUUGCUCGGUGGCGGCGGCGUGACAGAGAGGGUGGCGGCGUUAAAAAGAACCGACGGUAAACACGGCGGCGGGAGCGGUAGAUAUAUGAAGUUUUUACCGUGCGCAUGGUCGACACCGUGGCCUAGCUAUGGCCUUGCGUGGCGUGGAGGUGGCCUAGCUGUUGAGCUGGACAGCGGGCAGGACCACCGGCGGCGACACGUCAUGCUCAGCUCUGUUUUCUCGUCUCCCCCUUUCUUCUUUCAUCAGAAAGUUCAGAGCCUUUCCACGGCCGAUUUUCAAUCCGACAGUCCACAAACCUCUUAAGCAAAGUUGGAGAUAAUCUCAAACCCUUUGAUUUAUAUUUAAACUUCUACCCAAGAUAAACAUCAAAAGGUUGCCAAAUUUCGAGUUUUUCUCUCAGACCACUGAAUUGCUUCUGAACAUCUUGAUUCAGUUCGACAGUCACCUGAACAUGGUCAUUUACCCAUCUUUGGAAUUAUUUUCAGUGGCCCAAAUCCCUUCUUUUUAAUCCAACUACUAACCAUUCAUACUCUACAACCAUCAGGGGUUCCAUUUUGCUCAUAAACACCCCUACUUUCUGCACUACAUUUUUCUAAAUUUUGCUCCAAACUCGGGAUCUUGCUCCAAAAUGACAGUUUCAGCAGUCCAGUCCACCGUGGCAAAGUGCUGACUUUGAGCUAAAUUUUAAAUUUACUCCCUUUACUGUUCUUGAUCAACAACACCCGAAUAUACUUGUCCAAAGUUCAUACUUCAUCACUGUAUAGUUGCCUUGGUCCACUUAUUUGGAAAAUUUGGCAGAAAUCAAUUUCAAAAAUGGAUACUUGCACUGUUUUUCCGAAAAUCCAUUUUCGGACAGUGAACAGUACACUCCUGUUUUAAAUUUUUCCAUUGCUUUUCUUGAGAUGUUUAGCACUAAAUUUAGUCCCCAAUCUUGAUUCCAAAGUUCUAAACACUCUCAAGCUUCCAUUCCAUAUUUUUGCCCAAUUUUUCUGAAUUUAGAAUUCAAAAUUCAAAUUUCGGUCAAAUUUGACUUUUAGUCAGUUUCUUCUCUUUUUCUCCAUAAUUCACCUUUAACUUUUCUUAAUCACCUUUGAUGACUUAAAACACCAGGUGUUACAGCCUCCGGCAAUCAGCGAUGGCGGGUGGAGCCCCGGCUUGGUGGCGUUGCGACGAGCCGUGGGGACUGCGCUAGGCCGCCGCCGUCGAGCCACCCGGUGGAGACGAGCGGCCGCUGGCAAGGAGGUGGACACGACGAGUUGGGGUGAGUCGCCGGGAGCAUGCUCGGCCUCGCCACCAUGGGGAAGCAGCAGAUGCCUCUGCCGCGGGGUGAGGCGGCCUGGGCGGAGCAGGGGCCGCAGCUAAUCACGGGCGAGGAGGUCGGGGUGGAGGACUAGGGUGGAGCUGGGCCGCUGCGUCGACGGGGGCUGCCGCAGCGGGGGCCGGGACGGGGACGGGAGGCGGGGGUCGUGCGGGGGUGCCGGGCUGACGGCAUCGGCGGCGCCUGGCCGUGCAGGGGUGCCGAGGCCGGUGGCAUCGGCCGCGCUUGGCCGUGCGGGAGCGGCGGCAAAGGGAGUGGGAGAGGAGAUGCGCGAGGUGGGGUGAAGGAGGGGAGCUCGAAGAGGAGGAGGAAGAGGGGUAGUGCGCCAACCAUAAAUGAGGGGCGCUGUUGUCAUUUGCCAUCAAAUGUGCUAAAGUUUACCACACUAUCCAAACAGCUCAAGGUGCUAAACUUUAGCCCUCCAUUUGAGGGUGCUAAACUUUAGCACUGAAGUUUAGCACAAGGUUCCAAACAGGACCUUAGUUAAAGGUAGCGGAUUGAGUUAGAACCAUCUAGGUUAUCCUCCGCACCAAACCCUACUAGCACGUUCUAGAUUAGCGUGUCAAUUUAAUAAGAAGGAAGUUCAAGCUUCAUAUCCUUCCACUCUGUAUAUUUAAAUGCCUGACCACUCAAGUAUCUGCAUGACCUACUCGCACUCUAUGUGUCUCUCUCUCCAUCUCUGUGUUUCUAUUACCCACCAGCCUAGCUAUAACGGAAAUGUUCGUCUCUCGCCACAUCUUGCAACAUUUUAACAUCUAGGAUGGCGAUUGCGUAGUCGAUCCUUUUGGUUACCACAAGCAUGUCCAUUGGCAUGUGCCUAGCCACAUAUAAAAACUGGAAGGUCUACAUCAAAAGCUUCCUUCUCCUAAGGACGUGGCAAGGUCCAUGACCACUCCUGGACGUGGUGGGAUGAGUAGUGAUGUUCCGCCGCGUCAAGAAGCUCGUCAUCAACGAGGCCUACUCUCAGCUUCUUGAGACCGGCCGUGCGUGUAUGUUAUUUUAGUUACUUUGAUGUCAGUCUAAAUUUCGUGAUGUGGACGUGUGUAAGUAACAAGAUCCCGUUAGGCUAUAGUUUGUGAUUUUAGUAACUGAGUGACAACAUAGUCAUUGGGAUUAAUGGUUUGUCAAUCAUGUACCUUGAAGGUUUUAUAGGUCCCAAGAAUGCAAACUAAACCAUGGCAUGAUCCAAAUGACGAUAUUUUCUGUGCUCAAAUGGCGGUAUUCAACUCAGAAAAAUUAGUAGCACUGGAUAAUCUGAUGGUGCAUUGGAGCAACCAUUGGACUAACCAUUGGAGCAAUUAUUACAAUGGGAAAGGUAGGGAAAAACUUGCAGCAAGCACUGGAUGAUCCGACGGUGUAAUUUUUAGUAGCAUUGGAUGAAUUCUGAAGCGAAGGCACGGAAGACUGAAGCAUCGGAUGAUCCAACGCCUAUGUGGAGGUGACUGUUGGACCAAGCAUAUUUACUGUUUCAAUGCCCAUCGGAUGAAGCGUCGGAAUAAUUUUGGGCGGGGGCCAACGGCUACUUGCAUCAGUAGAUGAUCGGAUGCCUACCCAAAGAGACCAUCGGAUCAUCCGAUGAUCAUAGCUUAGCCUUUGGAGCAACAGCUCUUUGAGGUCCUUGGACUAUUUAUACCCCCUCUACUCGCCCAUUUUGAAAUUAUUGGAGUGUCCAGGAGUGUAAGACAAAAACUCAUCAAGAAUACAUCCAUGCUAGCAAAAGUGAUAAUUCAAGAUUUAGCACAAGCUUAAAAGAGUGAUUAGUGAUAGGAUAGGCCUAGAGAGAGUGAGUGCAAGGUGCUGCUACCUUGUAAUUUGUUCAAGGAGUGAACCACCAUUGUAAGCCUGGUGUGCCUGCACCUUGGGGCCUUGGUGGCUCGUCGGCAAAUCUUCAACCCUCCAGCUUGGUGUGGAGUGGCGAUGACUGUGUGCAGGCGAUGAGGAGACCCCUUCCUUCGUGGAGAAGCUCCGUAGUAGAGAUAGCGUCAAGGUGAUCGGAAGAAAGGAAGUGGUGAGCCUUGCCGUCAAGCUUCUCAUCUGGCUUGGCGAGAGCCUUUGUGGCGAGCUCAAGACCUUUGACCGAGAGAGAGUUGGUGACCGGGAGCAUAUCCUUGGUAGAGCUUCAGCAUGAACUAGGGGUGGCAUUUUCCUACCAAUACCACGGGAUAAAUCACCGUGUCGAGUUUGCAUCCUUCCUAACCCACUCAUUUACGUUUUCACAUUUCAUACUUGCAACUUGAGUACAUGUACUUUCUAGAGUAGUAUCUUGAUAGGAUUAAUUGGCUCUAGGUUGCAAAAUUCUUUGUGAGUGGGAAGUUUUUCACUACAUCAACAAUAGUUGCACAUCUAGAUAGCAUGAUCUAUUUUAUAUUUGAUGCUUUGAAGUGGAAACCAUAGGUCAAGAUUUUAAGUUUGCCUAAUUCACCCCUCCCCCUUUAGGCUACGAGCACCGAUUCCUUUCGAUGUGGAACAACAUGUACUGAUAUUUAGUGUAAUAAAAUUAUUCGCUUGUGUUUAUUAAGUUUUCGAAUUUUGUUUCUUAUUUAAACAACAUUCUAACCGGUCUAGAAUCGAGCUGCUUAGAAUGAGUUCCUGCACUUGUAUUAAGUUUUCCUACUCCUCUGCCGCUCGCCGCUUCUCCCCCGCUCCUCCUCCUCUAAUGUAAAUGGUGUCAUCUGCGGAACAGGUGGCCAAGGCAGCGGCAGCUUUGGCGACCACAGUGACGUGCCUCGCUGAGGCCAUGGCAUGCACGGUGGUUUCCGCAACCGCGAGAGAGGUGGUCCUCCGCUCCCUUGCCGUAGCCGCCACCGGAUCUGCAGCCAUCCUGACUGGAUCCGCAACAGAGACGCAGAAGGCCCUUGCAUCCUCCACCCGUGCCAUCGCAGAUGCGGCCGCAGUGGUCGUGGGGAGGUAGGCCACACUGGUGGCAGGGAAGGUUCGUGCUCGCGCGGCCUUGGAGAGCCAGCUAUGCCUCCCCUUCGACCAUAACCUCCAUCGCAGUGGUGGUGGCAGGCGGUAGGGCGGCCGGUGCUCUUAACCUUUCUUUAUCUCCUAAGGGGGGAAAUAUUUCUUUAUUUGUCAUGGGGCUUUUUUUUCGAAAUAUAGACGCUCACAUAAACACACUCACACUCAUCACUAUGAAUACACGCAUGCAACCGUACCCUUGUGAGUACCUUCGAGAUACUGAGCUGGUAUAUUCUUGAGAUUGACGAAGUUACAACUGGCGUCUUGCUGUUGACGGGUACGUUACCUACCACUGAAAUAAUAGUGCUCGUUAAGUUUUAGAAUAGAUCUAAGAAAAUACGAGCAUCGAUGUCGAGUCGAGUAUUCGAACUAGGGUGAAUAAGUUCCGCUAUAAGCUGUGCUCAGUUUCUGCCACGGAGCUUUUCAGUAGCCGUGAAAGACAAGCAUUGAACCAUGACGCAAAUAAUUUGUCUCGCACAGCUAGAUCUACCAACGGCUAAAGCAAAAAAAAAAAAAAGCUUUGACGGUUUCAAAUGCUUCCACGUGGUUGCGUGCACGUGUCUGCGGAUCUUAUUAGUAAAAGCCAACAAUUUGUAUAGGCACAAAGCGUCAAAGCCCAUGCAACCUGUACUUAUUUGAAUCAAUACAUUGAAGUUUGUUAGAUUAAGUCGUAAUUAUGAGAUGGACAUAAAAAUAUGAGAUGGACAUAAAAAAAUAAUUUCUGCCUCCACCCGUUGUGCACCAGCAGUCCGGCACUAUAUAUAUGAAUAUUAUGUCGAAGGUUUCAGUAUGUUAUCUCUCAAGCGGGCCUGCUCAUCAAGUGCUCAACCACCUCUGUUCCAGAAAACACCGCUCCUUUUCUCAGUAGAACUAGCAAGGCAUGGCUAACCACCAUAAGCGUUGUCCCUUAACCAGUGCCUUCGUCUUUAUUCUCUCUUACAUUGUUCUGAUAGCAUCAGUAGAGUCAGCAAGGCCAGGAUUGUCUUACAACCAACAUUCUCCUACAUACCCACAGAUGCACGACUUCCAAAAUGAACAGCUUUUCCACGCGUAUUUCGUCAUUCAGAGCUUCAAAAAUACCGUCACAUGCGAUCCUAGGAACAUCACGUCAACCUGGACCGGCCCUGACAUCUGCGGCAAAAGGAGCUACGUGGGCUUCUAUUGCGCGAGAAAGCAGGGACCCGGUAGCAACCUCACGGUGACUUCAGCCAUUUUCAAUGGCUUUGGCCUGUGUGCGCCAAUGCUUCGAGGCUUCCUCGACCAGCUUCCCGAUCUUGCUCAUUUCCAGGCUACAUCUAACAAUUUUGGUGGUGAUGUCCCCAGCCUUGCCGGCCUGACGGAGGUGUCCAACGUUGAUGCCAACGGUAGGCGUAAACAAAAUAGAGAGGGAUCACAGAGCACUACAAGUAUUGAGAUAGAUAAUAUCGGAGUAACGGCAAAAACGAUGGGUGACCUAGUUCACGCAAUCACGCAUCCCUUUGAGAAUAGUAUUUCAGCACACUUACCCAAAAACAACUCAAGCCCUCGAGCCUCCUUUGCGCCGCCUUCCUCAUUGAGCCCAAGCACCGAGAGGCUUGGAUUUCCAAAGAUGAACUACCUCGCCCUCGCCAACAACAAGCUCACGGGUCCAAUUCCACCAUCAAUCGCAGAGGCACAAGAUACUCUCCUCGAGGUACUAUUCCUGAACAACCAGCUCUCCGGCUGCCUCCCUAACGAGCUGGGCAUGCUCCACAAGGCGACCGUCAUCGACGCCGGCAUGAACCAGCUCACCGGCCCGAUCCCUGCAUCCUUCUCGUGCCUCAGCAGCGUCGAGCAGCUCAACCUGGGCGGGAACCGCCUCUACGGCCAGGUGCCCGACGCGCUCUGCAAGCUCGCCGGCCCAGCCGGCCGCCUCGCCAACCUCACGCUGUCCGGCAACUACUUCACCUCCGUCGGGCCGGCGUGCGCGGCGCUGAUCAAGGACGGGGUGCUGGACGUGAAGAACAACUGCAUUCCGGGACUUGCCAACCAGAGGCGCCCGGUGGAGUGCGCGGUGUUCCACAGCCAUCCG